rnacentral:lncRNA from 1 species
UCUUAACAAUGCCUUGCUGCUGGAAGUACCUGAAGCCUUCUUGGCACUUGAUUCAGCAGAUUCUCAAUUUCUUGUCACUUAUUUUCUUAUUUCUUGUAUCAGCGCCCUCCCAGGUACAACCGAAGACGACGAACUGUUUGAUGGUUUUUUUUGUCUUUCUCAGCUGUUGUUAUAUCUUAAUUAGAAAUUCACUUUUCAUUUAGUGUUAAUCUGAAUACGAGAGUGGAUUGAACUAGGAGUAAUCUGCUGCUUCUUAAUGUUCGAUAAUUGGAUCGAGAUUCACCCUCUCUAAUCAUUAUUAGCUUGGUAUAUUCUUGAACCUCAACAAGUCAUGAAGAAUCCCAUACUUCUUCCCGCCAGUUUAAUAUUGGCAAUUCACCCUUGUUGUUUACAUAUCGCUAAUCCGUUACCAAAUUACCAAAUUGUCUAAAUUUUCUUCCUCCAGUACAGUGUUUCCUUUUCAUUUCCAACUUUAUUAAAUCAUAUUAACUUUACUGAUUUGGAUGAGCUGAGGAUGAAAGAAGAGAUCAGUGCUGACACAUGGUGCUUCCCAUUCGAGCAAUUGGGGUGUGUAGAAAUGCUUUAUGACUUGCAUUCCAGCCGAUGAAGUUGUUAUGCUUGUAUUGUCACAUUAAUUAGGCCACAUUUUUGUCCUGUCAGAUAUCAGUGUAUUUUUAUUUGUAUUUGCAAUUAUUUUACUCUUUUCUCUCAAUUUCUAUUUGGUCUAUAUGGACCAUGGACAAUCAAUUUGGAUGCCUAUACCCCAGUCUAGAUUAUAUAUAUAUUUAUGUAUGUCUUGCUAGUAAUCUUAUCAUCCUGGAAGAUAACAGCACAAAAAUGUGAGUGUGCUUUACGUUUUCGUUGUCAACAGUCUUGGUUUGCUUAUAGUUUUCCAGCCAGCAUGUUUCUAUGCCAAAUAUGUCAUUUGACCACACAAGUAGGUGUGGCGACUUAACCAAGUAUCAGUCGACUAAGAUGUAGACUGUUAGUCAAAAGCCCAUCUAUAAUUCAACCAAAAAUUCUAUAGAAGUUAGUCAUCAAACAACCAACGUAGAAAACAUCCCUGAAGAUUCUAAUCCUCUGAAAUUCUUAUGAAAAACAUUUAAAUCAGAGGAGCCCUAUACUUGAGAAGACGUCAAAUGUGCAUGGUCCAUUUAAGAGCUAUCAUGGAAGAGGGAAAGGAGAAAACCAUGCCAAUCAUGCUUAUGAACGGAUGGAGCAAAAAUGUUUUAAGAGAACUGGAUAAGAUACCAUACCACUGGUCUGAGUCUAACUAAGUGGUUGUUUGGAUAAUGAUGGUAAUCGAUCUGUUUUUAGAAAACGAGAUUUAGGAUGUUUUUUUAGCAAAGUUUGUUUUACUUGUUUUUCUGUUAAGAAAGACCUACACAAAAUUAUGUUUGGGGUCUCCUUUGGGCUUUUGAAAGAUAUUUAGCCGAUAAAUCAGGCCGUUACGUUGGACUAGGCGCUCAACCUAGAUGCCCGCUUAUGAGGUUGUUACCUCCUUGAAAACAGGUGUUAUUAAAAACGCAUAUAUUUCCAGAAUGGCUGGUCCGUGCUGUGUGGGAGAUGAACCGAUAAGGAUGGGCCGUGCGGGGUGGCCGUUAAGACGGCCGUGCACCUACGGGUCAGCCUGGCACAGAAAAAUAGCUGGUCCGCGCAGAUUUUUCUGGUCCGGGGACGACGUUAACGACUGCCGUCGCAUUAAAUGCGCCAGCUUUAUCGCAUUUUCUGGAUGGAUACAGGCCCAAUACUUCGUUGAAUACACCGAACGGCGCGGAUCCUCAUGCGAGUGGACGGGAAAGAUAUCGAGAUCAUCUAGCACAGGCUCAGAAUUGAAUUUUCGAUUUUUGUCCCUUUAUGCUGGCUAGCCACACCGCUUCUACUUUAAGAAAAGCAUUGAAAGCUCAUAAUUCUGAAGCUCCGUCAUCCUAAUAGACUGGCCUUGCCAAGGACACACUAGGGCAAGAAGUUCAUCAUCUGUUUAAAAUCGUCAUUGCUCCCCACCUACCCAAGAAGAAACAAGAACAAAAUUUUUAUUGCCCGUUCAAAAUAUAUCGUAAGCUCUUGCCUACCAAGGGACCUAACUCAUAACCGGAGCGUUGGUAGUUAUCGACCAAACCGAGAACCAAUGACUUUAUUUCACUACCACAAGUCUUCCAUAAAGAGUGAGCCUUCACUAAUCUUAUUCCUCGUCUUACUUCUACUGGAAUUGUUUAUUCUCAAUCAUGCAUUAUUCGUUUGGUCCAUGCAUACUAGUUAGGAAUUCAGAUUUCAUAGAUGUAAGCAUAGGAGACACCAGGAACUGUCGGUGAAUAUCCAAGAUUAGAACAUGCACAAGCCUGUUGUUGAACUCUAACACGUAAACUAUUUUCCCCGUCUGACCAGCGCACAUUGUAUGUACCCUUGUACUCCAGUCUUCUUAUACACUAGUCUCUCGUGCUAUUUCGUGCAGCGAGCAAUCCAAUCUGGUGAUGCACCACGAGGACAUAUUGGGCGUCGAAGACUGGUUCGCCUGACAAGCGACCUCAAGAGAGAACGCUAGCAUGGUCAGUCGAUUUGGUUACACUGGGGAGAGGGACAAUGGGGACGGCUUCGAAAUAGCAUGACUCAGAUGGCAGCUCGAUGCGACAAGGACCGAAGAGCCUCUAGAUUUAGGUGCACGUCAUCCUGGCUCCCAGGCCGAAAAUACAACAGGGCAUUUACGACUUUUUUUCACGAUACAUAUCGAUGUCCCCUGUUUAUUGCUACAUUUUUUAAAUAAUAUACUGAUAUGUAAGGCACACAAAAAGAGAAUUUUCUGGCUUAUCAACAAGAAUGAAAGUAAGCCCCUUUAGAUACUUGUAUAUUAUUUUGUGCACACAACAUGUAAAAACAUAUAUUGAUGAAAAUCCGCAUGCAUAUACUAGACAUCUAUAUGUAGUUUUUUUUUUCAGAAUUGUUUGGGCUCUAGGAAUCAAAUUUUCUAUAUAUAUUUUUAAAAUAGAACGACUUUUGUUUGUAGUUUUUAGUACUCCCUCCUUCCCAAAAUGUAGGGUUCUUUGAUGCAUGACUUGACUAUUAAUACAUACCAAAAUACAUGGAUUGAGCAUAUAUAAAUGAUAUUCUCGUAUUUAUCUUGCAAAACAAUUUUAUUUCAUAUACCUUUAUAUUAAUUUUCUAGACAUACAAGACUUAAAAAUCAUUGUGUGAUGAAGACUAGAAAAAGUCAAGCACGCAUUAUAUUUUAAAAAGGACGGAUUAGUAAAUGCGCUCCUUACAUGUAGUGUCGUUGGGGCCUGUAUGAUGCAACGUCACAUGUUAGAGUAUCUACAUCUAGUCCCCUCAAAUCUUCCUCAAACGUUCGCGUACGUGCCGCACACUGGCCUAACAUGAGAGAAAAGACAAAAGGUGACACAACCACACACCUCAUAUCAUCUCUAUACUCUUCUCGAUAGGUUCCGAUAAAUAUAUGUACUAUGGAGAGCUGGGAAUGAGCUAUUUUUUCAAGAAGUAAGACCGAGCAAGUGUCAGUAGAAACGAUGUUUGUAUAGUUUCGAGAAAGUAAUGUUUGUAUGGUGAGGUUUUCAACGUGGGAAAACAAAGGCUCCAGCCAUCCUGACCCGCGAAAAAUAUACUCAAUCCGUCCAAAAAUAAGUGUCUGAAGUUUAAUACAAUUUUGUACUAACAUUGUAUUAAAGUGGGGACACUUGUUUUAGAACGGAGUGACUAAGUGCUGAUAUAUCCGAGUACAGCUGUUUUGCCCGGGGAGCACAAACAGAUGAACAGUAGCAGAGACUGGUAUUGUCCAAACAAAACAAAAAACGCAGAGACGAGUUAUUGUCUCAGGCGCCGUCCAUGCAUGCCUCUCAAUGCCAAAACAUCCGAGGCCAAAGUCCCCAAAGCACCGCAUGAAGCAUGCAGACGCGAGGCAGGCUCAGACCUCCUUUGUUCAUAGGAAUUUUGUAUAAAUCGUAAAGGAUAGGAACUUCGUAGAAAAAAUUUCUUUAAACUCUUUGGAUUGUAGGAAUGGUUUCUAUUUCUAUGUAGGAUAGGAUCCAGUCAUUCACAUUUCAAAAAAAAAAAAGCCUAGACUCAAUGGAAGGGAGCUAAUUCCUACGGGAGGAUGGGCAAGAAAGAACCUCCCGAUCCGGAAAAAACGGAUCGGAGAUCUCGCGCACAUCCCCAGCCACCACAGUCCGCCGGCGGCCGCUAGGAGGCUGGAUCUCGGGGAUGGCUGUGUCUGGGGCGGAGGGAGAUGGCUGGGGGCGGCAGGUGGUGCUCGCUUCGUUAUCGUGCGCCGAUAUGUCACUGUCGGCGUCUCGGUGUGCGAGAGAGCUGAAGAUGGUGGUGCCAGCGUUCGCAGAGACGACGACAUGCACAACAUCGUCGGCAACGGAUGCAUGGGUAGUCAUGGCGGCGGGGGCGGUGGCCUCCGUUGGUCAUUGCGGUGGGGGUGGCGGCCCUCGAUAACCGCGAUAAGGAGAUGAGGUGGCACAACAGUGCAUAUUCAAGUGCGUCGGCAUAUUUGCAGGCAUAGCGGCGGUGGUCGUGUGCGGCACUCGAUACCGGCUCAAAGAGGAUUUUCGUCCGGUGCAAGGGCGCCGGCCAUCGCACAAGGAUGCUCGAGGCGCGAGCGACAGAGUCCCACGCUGGUGAGCAAGAGGCGCAGUGGUGGUUCCCCGUCGACUUCUAGCUCCGAAGCAGCGGCUCCGAAGGUAUGGAGCAUGCUGCAGUGUGAUUGGCGCCGGUGUGGAGUAGCAGCGGCCAGUUCCGCACCGAGACAUGGGCGUCCACCCGACGGCCGUGACGAUGGUUUAAGGUGGGAAGGCGUCCCACCGAUCUGCUAGUGCCGUUUGGCACUGGCGUGAAGUACUGACGAAGGCAACUAUCAAUGAUCUGUCAUCAAGAUGCUGAUUGGAACACCGCUUCAUGUCCGGGGUGAAAACUAUUGUCCUGACCAUUAUUGGUCGGGCUCAGCAGCGACGAGUGUAUACCUUCUUGAAGGCGCUGCUACGGAAGAAGUCGACUUAGUCGUUGGUGUUAAUUUCAUAUCUUGUAAUGGUUCGGCCAUGAUUGCCUUCGUUUUGUACUUUGCUGAAUAAUUAAUAAAAAUGGCUGUAUGCAUUGCAUUGAUGCAAAGGCCAGGGGUUUUAACCUCCUUUUCCAAAAAAAAAGCCUAGACUCAAUGAAAAAUUUCCUAUGCUAUGCAACAAAUAACAUGUAUUUCUCUAUAAGAAUUGAGAUGUGUGUCAUCUUACUUUUUAUGAUUUUUCCUAUUUUUCUAAUACUAUUCCUUUACUAUGAACCAAAGAAGGCCUGGAAUUAAAAGGCACACAAAACAAGACGUCCACCCAUCCACUCGCCGUCUUCUCCAUGCAUUCCAGCGCCCUACCCUGACGCCACUGCGCGCGCCAUUCCCCUACCACUACCCUCUUCAAUCUACUUGUCCACAUGAGUCCGAAGCAGAAACAAGACGAGCUAUCUAAGACCAACUCCAGCACGCGACCCUAUCCUGUCCGGGUGCGUCCGUUUGGGGCAAAACGGACAAACCAGACGGCCCAGCGCGCGGGCGCAAAUGGACUUUUGUCUGUUUUCUGUUCGCUUUCGACCCAUCCCUGGCCCAAGUUCGCGUCGCUUUUGGGGUGAAAUGGACAGCGCGCGGACAGGCGGGACGCGCGCGUUUGUCCGCCAUUUCCCCCCAAACCCUCCCACGUCCCGCCCCCACCCUCCCCCGUCCAUGGCCGAAGCCGAAUUCCGGCGGCCUGGCCGUCGACCCGCCCGGAAAGGUGAAGAAGAAGGCGGCCAAGGGUGCAAGGAAGCCGUGGUCGGAAUGCAUGCCGGAGGAGCUCGCCAAGUUAGACGCGGAAUCGGCGAAGAGGAGGAACCGGAGGGCAGCCGUCAAGGGAAAGACCGCCGCGGCCAAGUUCACCGCCGAGCGCGAUGCGAUGGAGGCCGCGCGGCGCAAGGCCGAGGUCGAGGAGAAGGAGCCAUCGUCAACAAAGCACACGCCCUCCUCAUGCUUAGCAUUUGUCGUCCGGCGGGUUUCUCUGCAGCGUCCGUCGGCUCGGCGAGCAAAGGUCGUCGGUCGCCAGGCCUCCGCACUGCCAGUCGCCGACGUCGCGGACCACUCCUAUGUCGCCGGCUUUCCCCCGCCAAGGCAUGACGGCCAGACCCAUUUUUCGGGGUCGCCGGGCGUUGGCGUGAUCGCGCCGUCCACCCCGCGCCCCUCGGCCGUCAUCGACCUCAACGUCACGCCGGGGGUCCAGCAGCGGCGGCCGGCUGUCCGUCGAGAUGCAAAGAAAGCAAGCACGGCCACCGUUUACGGGCACCGUGCCAUCCCCCCGCGUCCUGUUCGACGGAAUGCCAACACCAACGCCAACGGUCGACGACCCCUUCUACAACCAGUUCAUGGAGGAUGUGAUCUACGAGGGUCGGCAUGGCGGUGCCUACGAUCCCGACGAGAACCAAAGUCAGGAUGGCCUCGCCCAGUACGUUGCCGAUGAAGAGGCCCACGACCAUGCUGACGACCAUGGUGACUCGUGGCAUGAAGACGAUGACAUCUGUUGCGAAGGUGAUGGUGAUGAAGAAGAAGGCAAUGACAUUGAUAUUGGGGGCGAACCAUUGUUCAUCGACGAGCUCACUCAAAGAGCGGAAGCACAAAAGAGGAGGAAGAACAUUCGCACGGGUUCAUAUUCACAAGACGAGGACAAGUUGAUUUGCCAAUGUUGGAUGGAGAUUAGCCAAGAUCCAAGGAUCGGCGCGCAACAAAAGGGCCUAGUUUUUUGGACGAGAGUCCACAAAACAUUCCAUGAAAGGAAGAUGUUUGAGCGCUACCAAAUUACGAGCGACCGUGGCAUCACCUCGAUUCAAUAGAGGUGGUUGUUCAUCCAACAAGAGUGCAACAAGUAUUGUGCCGCACUUGAGAGCGUUGAAGCACGGCCCGUGAGUGGUCUCGGCAUUGGGGACAUGGUAUGCUCUCCUCAUCCUAGUUCUUUCGUUGCUACGGCCAUGAGACUUCGGCCUUGUAUAUGUUUGCAUGUUCAAUUGUUGUUGAUCAUGUGGUGUAGGCAUUUCAAUCUUUGGAAGCAUUCAAGGCCCGGCACAAUGACAAGCCAUUCACUCUUACGCAUUGUUAGCGAUCAUCAACAAUUGCCCUAAGUUCAAGGAUCAAUACCGUGAACUUCAAAGGAAGAGAGGCAAGAAGACGUCCGCGUUGGCCGAAGGUGAAGAUGGCGAGGCGUUGAAGAGGCCGAGGGGCAAGACCAGCUCCAAGGUGGACGACAUACGUGAUGCCUCAUCCAUGGCCUUGCAUGAGACUUUGCAUGGCAUGAUGUCUCAAAAGGAUGUGAGGGACGAGAAGAAGCGACAAAGCAAGGAUGAGCAAAUAAAGCAAUACCUAGAGCUUCAAAGGAAGAAGCUUGAGAUGGAGGAGGCGGCCAAGAAGAGGAAGAUCGAUAUGGAGGAGGCGUCCCGGCAAAGGUAGCUCGACAUCGAGGCCGACAAUGUCACGGCCAGGCAGAGGCAGCUCGACAUCGAGGCCACCAAUGCCGCAACCAAAGCAAAGGAGGUGGUCCUUGCGAUCAUGAGCGUGGACUUGACCAAGAUGAGUGAGAAUAUGAGGAGCUGGUUCGAGGCCAGGCAGAAGGAGAUGUUCGACGCCAACGGCCUGAACUAGGUCGUCUGAUCGGCAGUGGCCAUUCUUUUUUGGAGGCUGGCAUGGGUGCCGGCCGGCCGUUGGGCUGUGUGCCGGCGAGAAACACAUUCAUUUUGGAGGCUGACUGUGUUGCCGGCGAUCAAAACUAUUCAUUUUGGAGGCUGGCUGUGUUGCCGGCGAGGACGUGUUGGUCGCUGGCUGUGUUGCCGGCGUGAACUAGGGCCGCUGGCCUAAACUAGGGCGAGGUAUUUCGAAAGUUGUUGUUUGAAAAUGAAGGCGGACAGGAUGUGGUCAAAGGAUGCGUCCGCGCGUUGGGUGCACGGCCACCGCAUCCCACGACAGGCCCGGAUACGACCUCAUUGCUCUACCAAAACGGACAGAAUAUGGACAAAGCGGACGUCCAUUUGGGGUCGUGCGUUGGAGUUGGCCUAACCGUGUCACCGCCGCUGUCCCACUCGUCGCCUUUUGUGCCUACGCCCACCUGUGCGACGGGCCGUGCCGUACUGCAUGACGUGACGCUGAGCUAAGCCGAUGGCGCCGUCACGACGGAAGUGCCCGCUGUUGGCGCCGCAUCCUCGCGUUGCAGCGCCGCUCUUCUUCUUCCUCUAUCUCACACAACUCAACUCUCUCUUCUCUGUUGCUUUGUUCUUCUUUCAAGAACACACGAACGCACACGGUGGGAAAAACUCAUAAACUCACACAUACACACACACCUCACCGUGGAGAGAGACUAGAUUUGCUUUCUACUCCCGGUGAGACACACAUACACUACAUUGUUUUGCCCAGCCUUCACGGCCUUAAUCUUUUUCAUUAACUCAAUGCAACACUUAUAUACACAAGGAGUUGGCCUCACGCACCCACUAACUAGCCGGAAAGUCCGGCCACUAACCCACACCCGGCUAACUACCCUAGAAUCUAUCCGGGCUACCUAACAACUUAUCCAUGCAGCCACUAACUAACACAUCCAUGCAUUUGACUAACUCAUCUAACUAAGCAGACCCAAUACUAGCUUGCGUGCACACACAUGAUCUCAACUUUACGUGAGUACACUGCCGCACCUAGUGGAUGAAUACGACUACAUGAUGCAUGACUCAACUCACGCGACGAAACAAACACGAUGAACACCUAUACAACAAGGUUAACUCUAACACCCGCGCCCGUGCGCAGCAGCAGUAACUUGGAGGCGGGCAAGCCAGGCGCAACAGUGCGUCACUCUGCGAGCUUUCUUUUCUUGCUCCUACACCGCCCGGCACCACGUGUGCUGCUGCCUGCUGCCACGCCAGGUCAUGGCUUUCACGUCAAAGUAGCGAGCCGGCCGUAGGGCCGACGCACAGACGCACGCAUGCACUCCUGGUCUCCCCCGGUCUCGCAUGCGCCCCGCACUGUAUUAUCUUCUAGUGUGUGUGUGUGUGAUUUGCACCGUGGUUGCCCUAUCGAAUAGUGUUGGUAGCUUCCAUGCUUUGGAAAUGGUGGCAGAGGAGGAAUAAACUGAACAAAAAGGAAAAUGUGAGCACAAUUGAAAGCACAUCCAUUCAGGCACCGAGGAGGUUUCGCUGGUUAGCUUGUUGGGAGGCGCCAAUCGCGGUAUAGUAUGUUAGGUGCUUGAGUUCUAGUGUGGGCUUGGCCCUCGAUGUAUCGGUUUUUGCUCAGUUUUCCGGCAAUUAACUGGGCAGCUAUCUUCUUCUUAAUUAAUGAAAAAGGCAAAGCUUUUGUCUCUGUUUAAAAAAAAGAUGUUCUUGAAGUAACUUGCAAAUGGUUUUAUCUAGCUGGGACAAUGUUGGGAGGAUUGUCGACUCGACUUAAAAGAGGCCACACCACACCUAGAAGAAAUUGGUUCUAUUUAGCUCGUUUUUCCCUUGCUGAGAGUGGAAUUUUCGUCCCAUUAUGUUGGCUAGCCGCAUCUACUUAAAAAACAUAAAAAGGUCAUUGUUUUGAAGCUCCCGCGUCCUAAUAGACCGCCUCGCUGAGGACUAACAAUUGCAAAAAAAAAAUGAUCAUAUGUUUAAAAUGCUCAAUGCUCCCGACCUACCCAAGAUGAAGUUAGCACACAAAUUUUAUCAUAUGUUCAAAAUAUAGCGUAAGCUCUUGCCUACCAAAGGACCAAACUCAUAACUAGAGCAUUAUUAGCUAUUGACCUAACCCAGAUCAAAUGCCUUCAUGUCACUACCUCGGGUCUUUCAUAAGUAGCAAGCCUUCACUAGCUUAUUCCUCAUCUUAUUCUUACAUCAUGCAUUAUUUGUUUCAUCCAUGCAUACUAUUGAUUUGAAUUCCAUAGAUGUAAGCAUAGGACACACCAGGAACUUUUGGCGGAUCCUAACUCCACCCCUAUCCAGUAUCGUGCCCAUGAAUCAGAGGUACAUGCUAUCAGUUCAAAAACUAAAAGUGACCUUUUGCGUGACCGUAUCAAGGAGAUGGAGUAUGUGAUUACACAGAAGACCAGGAUGGCGUUGGCCGCGAGCUUGAGUAUCAUUGCACACCUGUUCAAAACGGUUGACAUGUACGAGCUUCGCAUGUACAAGCUUCACAUGAAGGGUUUAUAGAUGACCAACAAACUCCUUCCUGACACGGUAGCCCGUAUUCCCCUGCAUGCACCUGCAAUGAACCUGGGUACCGAUAAAAAGGAGACCAAAUCAUUAGCAUGUUAAGUUUGGGAGAUUUUGAAGCCCUUUGUAUCUCUCAUUGCUUUAUUUAGUUUAUUUUCAGUUAAAGUUUUAGUUUGUUUUAAUUAAAAUAAAGUGGACGAUCAUGUUCAUUUGAUUGUGUGAAGAUUCUUAUUUCCAGUGAGUACUGGAUAGCCUUAAUGAAUGUUUUAUUGCGCUAUUCUUGAAACCAUAUUAGAUACUCGGUUAUAAUGUGUGCUAAUGUAUUUGCACUUGAUAAUCUCUACUCCUAAAGGGGGAGUCCGUACGUCGUUUCAUUAGGACUCGAUCCCCCCUCCUACCGAUUUUUAUUAUUGCUACCGAUUUUUUACAACGGAAUAAACCGGCAGGCAAUCAACCAAAAAGGUAAACCGGCAGCCAAUGAAGUACACCGGCAGCCAAUCAACCAACCAGUCAGGAUUGCCAAUCAACCAUAAUCAAUUAAGAUUACAUAUAUGUGGCAGCCAAUGAACCAAUGAACCAAUCAAUCAGGAUAUUGCCAAUGAACGAACGAAGUACACCGGCAGCCAAUCUACCAAUCAAUCAGGAUUACAUAUAUGAAGUAAGUCAAAACCUUCCAAAGCCUCAAGGUUCGCCAGAUCCGAUGUAUUCCAUAUAUAACACAAAUCAUAUCACGAUUGAGGAUCAAGAUGUAGUGUUUCUGUGUACAGCCGAAACCUUCCACAUUUAGCAAAAAAGCAUAGUAGGGCUGGGCGAGCCAGAUUUUGCCAUAGUAGCAAAAAAACACAAAUGAUCUUGCCAUCGUAGGUGAAGCCAUCCCAUCGAAGAGUUUGCCAUGGCCGGCCGACGACCCCCUCCAUGCCAAGAGUUUGCCAUGGGAGAUGAAGCCACAGGUCAGCACCAUUUGCCCUAUGCAUAUGAGUACAAGAUCAAUGGUACAAAAAAUCUGAGAUGCAAGUUCACCUCUGCCCUAUGUAUCAAUUGAUGCAAGUCCCUUGGUAUGAGCCUCCACAGACCAGCUGUAGAUGGCUAAAUCAAUACUUGCGUUGCAAGUCACAUCUCAUUUGGUUAGAACAAAUGCUUAGGACAUAUAUACAUAUGUCAACGCAUACAAAAUCAUUAUUGUGCAGCAAGAAAGAAUGAAGAUGCAUGUACAAUCAUUACUCUGCAGCCUACAAAUACAGUGAAAACCACUUUGACACCCUCCACAAGAGGAACUUUACAACUGAGCAUAGCAACGGAUGAUCCGGCAAACAAAAACCGAAGAAAUUGUCGACUAAUCACCUCUUGUCCAGCCGAUAAUAUAUAUUAGCACUUAGAAGGCUCAGUUUCUAAAUAGUACCCAUUUGUACUCAAUUAAACACAAUUUGGAAUGAUCUCACCUGCGUACACGUCAUCAACUAUGUGCUCUGUAAAGACACCUUAGGGUGUGUUUGGGAGCCAAAGUAUUUUUGUAGUUUUUAAAGAAUACGGUGGUUUCUGAAAAAACCUUGGUAUUCAAUACUUUGAGUUGUUUGGAUGAAAACAAUACUCAGUUUAACAAGUGGUAUCUCUAAACCUGUGGUCUUUUUGUAGUAUAUAAAAAAGAGGUCCCGACCUCUUUUUAAAAAACUGAGAAUCGUUGGCUGGGCACUCUCUUUGUGUCCAUGUCGUAACUAACUCGGUCUUUGAUUGAUUACAAUAGAUAACUCUACUACUACUACAGAUCCUACAUCUACUAUGAGAGAACAUGCCCGUGCAAGGCUGCAUGCAUACGGUGGCCAUUAGCACAAACUGAUCCGUGAGUGUAGCUCAGUAUGCAUGCAACAAUGUAACAAUAUGUGCAAACCAAAGAAAACAGAGAAAAUACUAUGGUCUUUGAAAAAUGGUGUUGCCAAACUAGGCCUUAAUUGCACGGUGUGGCCUUCAAUGAUAGGACCAAGGUUCCACAAAACAGAAAAACAGGCAAGAAGCAAUGUAAUGAAAAUAGAAGGCAAAAUAUACAAAUAUGCUAGCCACAAGUGAAUAGGGAAACUUUUUGUAAACAGAGAAUUGAAUUAAUGGGCAAAUUUAUCUGAAAUAACCAACACUUCAGUUUCAAAAGCAUGACUGCACAAAGUUAUCUAUUUGCUGCACAAACUUUUUGGACAAAUUACCGAUCUUUGGUUUUCUAUGUAUGAUGUAUACUUAACAUUUUUCUUUCUUUUUAGACCACCGACAUAGCAUGGAGGUCUCAUGUGAUAUAUCUAGUGUUGAUCAACAUUCACAAAUGACUCCAGAGCCAGGUAAUUGCACGUAAUUAUGCAUGGUUGAACACAAUGGGCAUGCAUACCCUUGGUCUAUCUUUUCAGAAACAUUUUUAUUUCUUUUCAGAGAGCCGACCUAGCAUGGAGGUCUCAUGUGAUAUAUCUAAUGUUGAUCAACAUUCACAAAUGACUCCCGAGCCAGGUAAUUGCACAUAAUUAUGUUGUGGUUGGGACAUGCAUACACUUGGUGUAACUUUUCAAUGACAAUUGUCUGUACAGUGAUUGCCUCAAACAACUUGACCCCGUUUGGUUCUCGCUGGGAAAGGGUGAAUCUUGAUAAGCAACUCCGAGAGCGCAAAAGACUUGAACAGAUGGAUGUGAAAAAUGGCCUCUGACGCCCUCUUGGUGAUAUCACCAGUGUUGAUCAACUCUCCAAACAGAGUCCAGGUAUAAUGAUAUAUAUCUAAAGGAUGAUGGUACGCAGGACUUGUUUUUACCAAUUUAAACUAUUCCUUUCGCAAGGCAUGGGAUCUGGCCCAAAAAGAUCAAGCAACUUGUUUAUACGUGAAGCAAUAAUCCCCUCUACUUCAAACAUUACACUCUCAGGUGAUGAUAAUAUUUUCACUGUAUUUGUCAUCAUUACGUAAUUUAAACGUCACAGCGGUAAAUUUAAUCAAUUACACAUUCCACUUGCUCGUAAUUUGCUUUGGUAAACAAUUAUUACUAUUAUACCCCUUAUCGUACAUGGUCUGGAUUAUUUUGGCAAAGAGCAAGAAUCUCCAUUAUUUUAUCUAACAUAUGAACAUAAGUAAAAAUAAUAACUAUUACUAUUGUAGCUCCAGACUUUGGUGUAUAUGAUGAUGGAUGCAAACAAAUCAAAAGUGGGAACAUUGAACAUAAUGGUUCUGGUAACGUGUGUAGCCCGAGAAUAACUGGUCCAGCUACGGUAGAUCAUGAUGGACUACGUAAAAGGACGUUAACACGAGAACAAAAGGAUAUUAGAAACGCACGGAGAAGAUCAGCUUAUAAGAAGAAGAAAGAAGAGGAUGGAUACCAGGAACAAAGGGAUCAGUUAAACACACAAAGAUGAGAAGCUUAUAAGAAGAAGAAACAAGAGGACACCAACUCUGGUGAUGACUUAGCCGAACAAAAAAAGAGAUAAAAAACGCACAGAGACGAGGAGCUUACCAGAAGAAGAAGGAACACAUAAACACACAAAGACGGGAAACAGAUCAGAACCAUCGAGAUAACUUAACACCCGAGCAGAAGGGGGAGAUAAGUGCUCGGCGCAGACAACAGGAUAAAGCAAUGCGGACCACACCCUGUGCUGAAUCCAUUGCAAUGCCUCAUCUUGAUUCACACUUACAGAACAGAUGGUAUUCUCCCAUCUCUACUCCACGUCUUAUGUCCGUAUGCACAAGACCAAAAUUUUACCAGCUCUGCAUCAUUCCAGCCGCCUAGCAUUGCAGUACCAUGGACAAUAAUACCAUGCUUAUAGAACCUGAGCAACAACCCAAUGGUCAACAAAGAGAUCGUGCUCCUACCGUCACGUUGGCGUCCACAUACAUUUGCACCCUCGAAACCGACGGUAAUUCUGCCAUCAAUGACCAUCUUCCAUUUUGUAAUCAUUGAAUAGUUAUUUGCCAAAUAAUAACUCAAAAAAUUGUGUAGCUACAUACCUAGGCAGAACCAUGGAUGAUAAUGCCGUCGAGGGUGACGUCAUUGAAAACAAUGACCAUUGGGUUGAUGCCAGGGAACAUCCCAAUGAUCCGCUAACAAAUGCACAUAAUGGUGCUGACGAGCAGAGGAAUGAGUCCAGAGCUCAACGUAGGGCUCGAGAGUGAGCUUGCAAGGAAAGUAUGGCACCGAAGAAGCCUCAAGAGAAAACCGGCAAGCGAAAAGUAGGUAAGUGAUAACCCACAAGUAUAGGGGAUCGCAACAGUUUUUGAGGGUAGAGUAUUCAACCCAAAUUUAUAGAUUCGACACAAGGGGAGCCAAAGAAUAUUUGUAAGUAUUAGCAGUUGAGUUGUCAAUUCAAUCACACCUGGAGAUUAAAUAUCUGCAGCAAAGUGAUCAGUAGCACAGUAGUAUGAUAAUUUUGAUAGCAGUGGUAGCUGUAACAGUAACAGUUUUGUAGCAGUUGUAACGAUAGCAGUAGCAAUAGUAACUUAGUGAUAACCCACAAGUAUAGGGGAUCGCAACAGUUUUCGAGGGUAGAGUAUUCAACCCAAAUUUAUAGAUUCGACACAAGGAGAGCUGAUACGUCUCCAAUGUAUCUAUAAUUUUUUAUUGUUCCAUGCUAUAUUAUAUUCAGUUUUGGAUGUUUAUUGGGCUUUAUUAUACACUUUUAUAUUAUUUUUGGGACUAACCUAUUAACCGGAGGCCCAGCCCAAAUUGCUGUUUUUUUGCCUAUUUCAGUGUUUCGAAGGAAAAGGAUAUCAAACGGAGUCCAAACGGAAUGAAACCUUCGGGAACGUGAUUUUUGGAACAAACGUGAUCCAGAGGACUUGGAGUCUACGUAAAGCAAUCAACGAGGAAGGCACGAGGCAGGGGGGCGCGCCUACCCCCUGGGCGCGCCCUCCACCCUCGUGGCCCCCUCGUUGCUCCACCGACGUACUUCUUCCUCCUAUAUAUACCCACGUACCCCCAAACGAUCAUAUACAGAUCCAAAACCCUAUUUCCACCGCCGGAACCUUCUGUACCCGUGAGCCCAUCUUGGGGCCUUUUCCGGCGCUCCGCCGGAGGGGGCAUUGAUCACGGAGGGCUUCUACAUCAACAUCUUGUGUGUGUAGUUUACCUCAGACCUUCGGGUCCAUAGUUAUUAGCUAGAUGGAUUCUUCUCUCUCUUUGGAUCUCAAUACAAAGUUCUCCUCGAUCUUCUUGGAGAUCUAUUCGAUGUAACCUUCUUUUGCGGUGUGUUUGUCGAGAUCCGAUGAAUUGUGGGUUUAUGAUCAAGUUUAUCUAUGAACAAUAUUUGAAUCUCCUAUGAAUUCUUUUAUGUAUGAUUGGUUAUCUUUGCAAGUCUCUUCGAAUUAUCAGUUUGGUUUGGCCUACUAGAUUGAUCUUUCUUGCAAUGGGAGAAGUGCUUAGCUUUGGGUUCAAUCUUGCGGUGUUCGAUCCCAGUGACAGCAAGGGAAACGACACGUAUUGUAUUGUUGCCAUCGAGGAUAAAAAGAUGGGGUUUAUAUCAUAUUGCAUGAGUUUAUCCCUCCACAUCAUGUCAUCUUGCUUAAAGCAUUACUCUGUUCUUAUGAACUUAAUACUCUAGAUGCAUGCUGGAUAGCGGUCGAUGUGUGGAGUAAUAGUAGUAGAUGCAGAAUCGUUUCGGUCUACUUGUCUCGGACGUGAUGCCUAUAUACAUGAUCAUACGUAGAUAUUCUCAUAACUAUCCUCAAUUCUAUCAAUUGCUCGACAAUAAUUUGUUUACCCACCGUAAUACUUAUGCUCUUGAGAGAAGCCACUAGUGAAACCUAUGGCCCCCGGGUCUAUUUUCCAUCAUAUUAAUCUCCCAACAACAAGCUAUUUCUAUUUCCGUUUAUUUUAUUUUGCAUCUUUAUUUAUCUUUAUCAUAAAAAUACCAAAAAAUAUUAUCUUAUCAUAUCUAUCAGAUCUCACUCUCGUAAGUGACCGUGAAGGGAUUGACAACCCCUUUACCGCGUUGGUUGCGAGGUUCUUAUUUGUUUGUGUAGGUGCGUGGGACUCGAGCGUGGUCUCCUACUGGAUUGAUACCUUGGUUCUCAAAAACUGAGGGAAAUACUUACUCUACUUUACUGCAUCACCCUUUCCUCUUCAAGGGAAAACCAACGCAGUGCUCAAGAGGUAGCAAGAGCCAAAGAAUAUUUGUAAGUAUUAGCAGCUGAGUUGUCAAUUCAAUCACACCUGGAGAUUAAAUAUCUGCAGCAAAGUGAUCAGUAACACAGUAAUAUGAUAGUUUUGAUAGCUGUGACAAUAGUAGUAGUAACGGUAACAGUGAUAGCAAUGAUUUGUAGCAAGUGUAAUAGUAGUAGCUUAGCAAGAACAAUAUGUGGAAAAUUCGUAGGCAUUGGAUCGGUGAAUUUGUUGGAUGAUAUUCACCAUAUAACAGUCAUAACCUAGGGCGAUACGGCACUAGCUCCAGUUCAUAAAUAUAGUGUAGGCAUGUAUUCCAUAGAUAGUCAUACAUGCUUAUGGAAAGAACUUGCAUGACAUCUUUUGUCCUACCCUCCCGUGGCAGCGGGGUCCAUAAGGAAACUAAGGGAUAUUAAGGUCUCCCUUUAAUAGGAACCAGAACAAAGCAAUAACACAUAGUGAAUACAUGAACUCCUCAAACUACGGUCAUCACCGGAAAGUAUCUUGAUUUCUUUCACCCCGGGGUUUACGGAUCAUAACACGUAAUAGGUGAAUAUGAUGGUGAAAACAUAAACGGUUCAGAUCUGAAAUCAUGGAACUAGGGCCCUAGUGACAAGCAUUAAGCAUGGCAAAGUCAUAACAACAUCAAUCUCAGAACAUAGGGGAUACUAGGGAUCAAGCCCUAACAAAACUAACUCGAUUACAUGAUGAAUCUCAUCCAACUCCUCACCGACCAGCGAGCCUAGGAGGGAAUUAAUCACUCCCCGUGGGGAGCAUCAUGGAAUUAGCGAUGAAGAAGGGUUGGUGAUGACGAAGACCGAAGAUUCCACUCUCCGGAGCCCUGAACGGACUCCAGAUCUGGCCUCCCGAUGAAGAACAGGAGGUGGCGGCGGCUCCGUCUCGUGAAACGUGAUAAUUCCUCCUCCCUGAUUUUUCUUUCCAAAUAUAGGUAUUUAUGGAGUCGGGAUCAGGGUCUGCGGGGCCACCAGGUAGGCACAACCCACCUGGGCGCGCCUGGAGGGUGUGGCGCACCCUGGUGGGUUGUGCUCACCCAGGGCCCCCCCUCCGGUUGUUCUUGGCUCUAGUAUUUUUCUUUUAUUCUGAAAUAAUUCUCCAAAAAGUUUUGUUCCAUUCUGAGAACUUUUAUUUCUGCACAAAACAACCCCAUGGUAGUUUUGCUGAAAACAACGUCAGUCCGGGGUAGUUUCAUUCAAAUUAUGCAAAUUAGAGUCCAAAACAAGAGCAAAAGCGUUAGGAAAAGUAGAUACGACGGAGACGUAUCAACUCCCCCAAGCUUAAACCCUUGCUUGUGCUCAAGCAAUUCAGUUGACAAACUGAAAGUGAAAAAGAAAAACUUCUACGAACUCUUUUGUUCUUGUUUACAUAAAUAAGAUUAAGUAGCCCCGAGCAGGUUUUCAGCAAAGAUUAUGACUAGACAUGUCAAAAAUAACUCUUAGAAAUUAUAUUAACUCAUAUCAAUGGCAUAAGAAACUAUCGAGCAAUAAUAAGAUAUCUCAAAUGACAACACUUUGUCAAAACAACCGUGAUAUAAUAUGGCAAUAGUGGUAUCUCGCUAGCCAUUUCUGAGACCGCAAAACAUAAAUGUAGAGCACCUCCAAAGUUCAAGUAGCGACUAAACGUUGUAAUUCAUGGUAGAAAAGAUUCAGUCAUGAUGCAUCCAACAUUAACUAUGCACAAUGCAUGAGGAUGACAAUAGUGCUCUCAGAUCUGGCGCCUAUUUGAGAAGGUGAUGACUCAACAUAAAUGUAAAUAGAUAGUCGCUUCGCAGAGGGAAGAUGGGAUUUGCAGCGGUGCCAGAGCUCAGGUUUCCAAAACAUAGAUAAAUGUAAUUUGGGAAAUGCACCCUUCCUGUUUACAUCACGACCGAAAGUUAUCAAUAUCUUCCAUGCUAAACACAUUAGUGGCGGUUCUCAAGCGAUAAAAGUAAAGGUUUACUCCCCCUCCACCAACAAACACACUCCACGGCUAGCCGAAUCCAUGGGUGUCGUCGAUAUCAACAUCAUUCCUGGGGGAGUUUUGUUUAAUUAUUUGCUUUUUUUAUUUCGGGACUGGGAAUCCCUAUUACUGCCCCUCUUGUGCAAGGACGAGUGAAUAAACACUCAUCAUGAGAAUAACCCGCUUAGCAUGGAAGAUACCGACUACCCCCUGUCGCUCUACAAACAAUCCAGGCACACAAAAACAGGAGUUUUAUUUGAUGUUUUUAGAGGUGGCACGUGCGGCAGGGUAAUACCGCAUAUAGGUAGAUAUGGUAGAUUCAUCUGGAAUAACUUGGGUUUUAGGAUUUUGAUGCACAAGCAGUAUUCCACUUAAUACAGGCGAAGGCUAGCAAAUAGGUUGAGAAGUGGCAAGCUAGAGAGUGAAAACGGUCAUGAACAUGCGUUAUGCAUAAUUAACAUUGAAUACUAGCAUGAGUAGGAUAUGGACAUCAUGAACAUAAAUAUUGUAGAGGCUCCGUUGGUUUUGAUUCAACUACAUGCAUGAACAUGUGGCAAAUCAAGCCACUUGAAACAUUCAGAGAAGGAUACCAUGUCAUCAUACAUCAUAAUCAUUUUAAUGCAUGUUGACAUCCAAGAUAAAUCAUUAUCCACUCCUAGCCAUUUAAGCACGGCAUGAGAAACUAUAAUCUCUAAUUAUCGUUGCAAACAUGUUUGAUCAUAAUAUGUUGAACCGUGGAUACUAGGUUAAACAUAUUUACAAAAACAUAACAAAUUGAGUUCAUACCCGUUUCUCUCUACCACAGUCAGUUCAUAAAAUAUCGUCAUUAUUGCCUUUCACUUGCACGACCAAAUGAUAUGAAAAUAAUAAUAGUGGAAGAGUGACGUGGACUAAGCUGGAAUCUGCAAACAUUUUAUUCAAAACGGAGAAUACAAGGUAAUAUGGGCUCUUUGUUGGAUCAAUAGAGAUGCAUGUGAGAGCCACUCAACAUUUUCAUCGUGGUCUUCUCCUUGAUAUGACUCAAUAAAAGGAAAAGAAAUUUGGAGAAACACACUGGAAUAUUUUUGGAGUUUUUAGUUUUUCGUGAAGAAAGCAAAUUAAAUAAAAAGGGAAUGCAAAAGCAAGAAAAGCAUACACGGGAAAACUCCCAACAAGCAAAAGAAGAAUAAGGAAAUCUUUUUGGGUUUUCUUUUUAAAACUUCAACUAACUAAACUAGAAAGAAAAACCGAAAAGAAGCAGGAAACAUUUUUUUGGAUUUUCUCAAAGUUUUUCAAACACACAAAAAGAAAGCGAGAAAAUAAAUCUAACAUGGAUAAUACAAUGAAAAAUUGUGAACACCGACAACUGAAAUAAAAUGUGUGAAUGAAUGUAAUGUCGGUGGAAAUACGUACUCUCCAAGCUUAGGCAUUUGGCCUAGCUUGGUAAGCCACUCGUAACAGCCAUCCGGUCCCAUCGCGAAGUGCCGUGGCGGCGGCACCUAAGCGUCCCACUCCUGAGGCUCCCCCUCUGCAGCUGCCUGGGCGUUCCGGUAGGCAAUGAUGUCAUCUGGCAUAAUCAUGCAUCCGCCCCUGACAAUAGAAUCAAACAAAGCAGGUGCAGGCAAUGGAAUAAUAUCACAAGAAUCCACACUGAAAACCAGAUUGUAAGGAAUAUUAUUAAUAGAGUUAUCAAUAUCAGUAAAUUGGUGAUCCAUCAUCGCCCGGUGAUCUAAAUAAACCUUGGGCAGAUGAUAAUCAUGUUGGCGAAUCUGAAUGUUAAAGUGACUCGCUAAACGAGUAGCAUAAAUAUCGCCAUGAAUUUUUUCCUUGGUUCUAUUAGGUUGUGUUUGGUUCACGUCAUGGGGUGGAAUGUAACGGGUCCAUUACGUUCCUAGGCCCGAUUCCUGUGUUCGGUAGCAACGAAGAAUUGGAACCUACCCAUUCCCUCGAACGGAAUAUUCGCGUGAGACGCGGAACGCGCUCGUACCUCCGAUUUGGAGGAGUCACGUGGAACGCCUCGCAUCUGUUGCCUCCCCCACUACUCCGUCGUCUCCAAACCCAAUCACAGCGCCGCCACUCCCUCUCCUUCUUCUCCCCUUCUCUGGCGACGCGUCUCCUCUUCUCUCACUCCCCGGCGACGCCUCUCUCUAUCGCCUACCAGAGCUCCGCUCGGCCCUCCGGCCUCCUUGCCCAUGCUCCGUGCCGGACCGCUGCGGGUCUCCGCUAGCUGAAGCUGGAAUACAAAAAGCGGCUGCACCUCGCAAGACCCUCGGUUGCAAAUCUCUGGCGCUGCCGGCGACUGGGCAAGUAGCUGCAAGCGGCGACGGCAAUGAUUGAUUUCAUUCGUAGCUAUCACAACAAGCUUGAUUUGGGAACCGUUUAUGGGUGGAUGCCUUGUAUUAUCCUAAUCACAGCAUCUUGGUACCUUUUCCUAAUCACGGCAAGCUCGAUUUUCAACAUGUAGAGAGAUGACUUGUAUUUUGACAGUUUUUGGACAUGUAGAUACUUGUAUUUUUACAGAUAUUUGACAUGUAGAUACUUGUAUUUUGACAGAUUUUUGACAUGUAUAUGACUGGAUAACUAGCAUUUAUUUGACAAUUUUUUUUAUUAAUGUGUCUUAUUUGUGUUUGAUGCCAAAGUCAAUAGUGCGAUCAACAAAUUCAUCCCAUUCCGUCUCAGAAACCAAAGACUGAAAUGUAACCAUUCCAUUCUUGUGAAUUGUCCCUACCAAACACAAGAACGGAACCGACCCAUUUCAGUGGAAUGGAGCCAUGACAUUCCAUUCCACUUCGUUCUCGAACCAAACACACCCUUAAGGUUCAGACGGUGUGCAAUAAUGGCCCCGAGGAUAAAGGUGUUAUUGCCGUAGAGUCCACGGCGUAAAAUGGCGAAAUAAGGAGCACUGAGUGGACCGACCUUCUCUCUAGAAAUUAAACACUUAGCAAUGAAUAGAGCAAAAUAAUGCAUAGAAGUAAACUCCAAGCUAGCGGCAGUAACACUUGAUACACCUCUGUCAUCUCCCACUGACAGACUACGAUAAAAGUCCUCAAACCCUGCAGGUUUGGGCUCUCUUAUUUCCCCAUCAAAAGGGAUCAACAUAUAUCACAAAAGUCAAUGAGUGGUAUCUGACGGGUUUCAGCAUAUAAAUUAAACUGCACUUCAGGAGGAUUAUUCCUACUCAGAAAAUGGAAAUUUUGCACAAAGGAAUUUGUAAUGAGGUGGUAUUGUUCACACUCAGCUGCGAUGAAGUUGGUUAGCCCGGCAUUUGCAGCGAAUUGAGUGAACUCUUGAUGGAUCCCGGCUCCAUCCAUGAAGGGGUUAUGCGGCCAUUCGCACGGCCGCAUCUCCGCCCUUCUCCGUGUAUGGAGAUCAUUGUCCGAUGAUUCCCCAAUAACUCCCUUAGCAUUUUUCUUGGAGGCAAACUUCCUAAAGAAACUCAUCUUAUUCCUAUAGAUAAAAUUCUGAAAAAAAUUAGUCCACAAAAUUUUAGUCAACAAAACUUAACAAGAUUGAUAGCAACUACUCAUAAGGGUCCAUAGAGGCUAUAAUAAGCAUUCAAACUACUUAGAACUCUAUGAAUUCGACAUGCAAGCUCAUCUACAGUAGCACCUAGAGUAGCUAAUUAUUCAAGAUAUGAUCCACUAAAGCAAAAACUAAUUGGAGCAAUGGGGCAAUCACAUACCGAGUAGCAAUCCCCCAAAACAGUUUCGGAGAUGGAGCUUCGAGCAAAGAGAUCGAAAUCCGCGGGUUUGAGAGCAAGAACACGAGAGAGAGAGAGAGAGAGAGAGAGAGAGAGAGAGAGAGAGAGAGCAAUGGUGAUUUUUUCUGGAGGUUGGAGAUGACAUGGGCUAAAGAGAUAAGUGAGAGGACCCACGUGGGGAUCACAACCCACCAGGGCGCGCCUGGGGCUGCUGGCGCACCCUGAUGUCUUGUGGUCACCAGGUGCACCCCCCUCUGAUGUUAUUUGUACCAGAAAUUCAGAAAUAUUCAGAAAAAAUCGUGUUAAAUUUUCAGGGCAUUUUGAGCACUUUUAUUUUUGGGUCAUUUUUUAUUGCACGGGAAAUUCAGAAAAAAAGGCUAAACAUGUCAUUUUAUUUUAUUUAACUAAGAAAAACAGAAACAAAAGUUGGGAGGAGAAGGUUGUGCCUACUAAAUUAAUCAAGUUCAUACCUCUCAAAAGUGAUCCAUUAAUAAGGUUGAUCAAGUCUUAUUAAAAACCACCUUCGAUAAGCAUAAAACCGAAGAACUUUCGUAAAACACUAAGUUACCUCAACGGGGAUAUGCAUGUCCCCAACAAUAAGUAUAUCAUAUUUCUUUUGGCAGAAGGUAGAGUUAGUUGAAAACUUCCAACAAUGGGUGUCGGAGAUUUUUCAAUAACAUUAAUACCAUUCACUUGGAAUUGUUUCUUCGGAAAGUGCACCGUAUGCUCAUUGCCAUUGAUAUGAAAAGUGACCUUGCUUUUAUUGCAAUCAAUAAUAGCCCCUACAGUAUUCAAAAAGUGUCUACCAAGGACAAUCGACAUGUUGUCAUCCUCGGGCAUCUCAAGUAUAACAAAGUCAGUUAAGAUAGUAACAUUUGCAACAACAACGGGCACAUCCUCACUAAUACCGGUAGGUAUGGCGGUUGAUUUUUCAGCCAUUUGCAAAGAUAUUUCAGUAGGUGUGAGUUUAUUCAAAUCAAGUCUUUUAUGUAAGGAGAAAAUCAUAACACUAACACCAGCUCCUAGAUCACAAAAAGCUAUUUUAACAUGAUUUCUUUUGAUGGAGCAAGGUAUAGUUGGGUCUCCAAUUUUUGAGGUACUCCAUCCUUAAAAGAAUAAUUAGCAAGCAUGAUGGAGAUUUCAGCUUCCGGUAUCAUUCUCUUAUUAGUGAUGAUGUCUUUCAUACAUUUUUGCAUAAGGGGCCAUCUUUGAAAUAUCAAUCAAGCGAGUGCGCAAAAAGACUGGCCUAAGCAUUUCAGCAAAGCGUUCAAAUUCUUCAUCAUCUUUUUUCUUAGUUGGUUUAGGUGGAAAGGGCAUGGGUCUUUGAACCCAUGGUUCUCUUUUUCUUCCAGGUUUUCUGGCAACAAAGUCUUUUUUAUCAUAUCUUUUAUUUUUAGGUUGUGGGUUAUCAAGAUCAACAGCUGGUUCUAUUUGAACAUCAUUAUCUAGUUGUUUAUCAUUGUCUGCUUGAGUGUCUUCAUGAACAUCAUCAUUAUCUUUUUCAUUAUCACUAGAUGGGUGUUCCUUACCAGAUUGAGUUUUAGCAUCUGAGAUAGAGACAUCAUUAUCAUCUUCAGGAGGUUUUUCUACUUCAGGUUCACUAGAGGUAUGCAAAGUCCUAUCAUUUUUCUUUUCCUUUUUAUUUUUAUUUUUAGAAGGACUAUGUGCAUCAGUAUUAAUUCUUUGAGAAUCUUGUUCAAUUCUUUUAGGGUGUCCCUUGGGACAAAGUGGUUCCUGAGUCGUUCUACCUCCUCUAGUCAUUACUCUAACAACAUGAUCAUUCAUAUUAUUAUUCAUUUCAUCAAACAACUCUCUUUGAGAUUUAGCAACUUGUUCUAGUUGGGUUUGAACCAUGGAGACAUGUUUUCCUACACCUCUAACAUCAUUAGUGACUCUAAAUAACAAGUCACUCAAGCGAGCAAUCAUAUCAGACUUGUAUUUCAAUUGUUUCAAAACAUUUUCACUAAAGUGAUCUUGUUUCCUAAUGUAGUUAUCGAACUCAUAAAGGCAUUGACUAGGAUGUUUAUUGAAAGGGAUAUCACCUUUAUCAAAUUUCAUUAAAUAGAUUACCUCUACCACCGGUGGUGGUGGUGUAUCAAGUCCAUGUAUUUCUUCAAUAGGAGGUAAAUUUUUAACAUCCUCUACUUUAAUACAUUUUCCCUUCAUACUUUUCUUUGCCUCCUGCAUAUCUUCAGGACUUAGAUAUAAGAUACCCCUCUUCAUCGGAGUGGGCUUAGGCGGUGAUUCAGGAAGAGUCCAAUCAUCAUAAUUUUUCAAUAUGUUACUCAAUAAUUUCUCAGCUUGUUCAACAGUUCGUUCCCUGAAAACACAACCAGCACAACUAUCUAUGAAGUCCCUAGAAGCAUUGGUUAGUCCAUUAUACAAGAUAUCAAGUAUUUCAUUUUUCUUAAGAGGAUGAUCAGGAAAAGGAUUAAGCUAUUGGAGAAGCCUCCUCAAAGCUUGUGGGAGACUCUCUUCUUCAAUUUGCACAAAAUUAAAUAUUUCCUGUAAGGCAGCUUGUUUAUUAUGAGCAGGAAAAUGUUUUUCAGACAUGUAAUAAAUCAUAUCUUGGGGACUACGCACACAACCAAGUGCAAGAGUAUUGUACCAUAUCUUAGCAUCACCCUUUAAUGAGAACAAAAAUAAUUUGAGAAUAUAAUAGUAGCGGAUUCUCUCAUCAUGAGUAAAUAGGGUGGCUAUAUCAUUUAAUUUAGUAAGGUGAGCCACAACAGUUUCAGUUUAACAGCCAUGGAAAGGAUCAGAUUCAACCAAAGUAAUCAACUCUGGGUCGACAGAGAAUUCAUAAUCCUUAUCAUCAACAAAGAUAGGUGAAGUAGCAAACUUUGGAUCACAUUUCAUUCUAGCAUUCAAAGAUUUUUCUUUCAGUUUGCAUAGUAAUUUCUUAUGAUCAUAUCUAUCAUUGCAAGCAAUAAAAUCUCUAGUUGUCUCCUCAUCUAUAACAUAAACUUUAGGUACCUUACGUAAUUCAUAUCUAGGAGAGCUAGGUCUAAUUGGUGUUUCAAGAUUUCCAAUUUCUAGUACUUCAUCAGUUUCAACAUUCUCAAUAUCUUUAGCUCUAGCAAUUUGUUCAUCAAGAAAUUCACCUAGUGGCAUAUUAUCAUCAAGCAAGGUACUAGCAUCAUCAAGCAUCACCCAUAGCGAAGUGGCAUCAUCAAUAACUUGCGACAUAUCAGGAUUAAUAGCAUGUGGUAGUAUUGCAAGUUUACUCAAAAUAGAAGGUGAAUCAAGUGCAGAGCUAGAUGGCAGUUCCUUACCUCCCCUCGUCUUAGAGGGAAAAAUCUUAGUCUUGGUAUCCUUCAGAUUCAUCAUAGUGAUAAAUAGAUAAUAAUCCCAAGUGACUCAACAAAUAUAGCUAUAUGCUCCCCUGCAACGGCGCCAGAAAAAGGUCUUGAUAACCCACAAGUAUAGGGGAUCGCAAUAGUUUUCGAGGGUAGAGUAUUCAACCCAAAUUCAUAGAUUCGACACAAGGGGAGCCAAAGAAUAUUUGUAAGUAUUAGCAGCUAGUUCUCAAUUCAACCACACCUGGAGAUUAAAUAUCUGCAACGUAAUGGUUACUAGCACAGUAAUGUGAUAGUUUUGAUAACAGCGACAAUAGUAGUAGUAACGGUAAAAGUGAUAACAAUGAUUUUGUAGCAAGUGUAAAAGUAACAACAACAGUAGUAACUUAGCAAGAACAAUAUGCGGAAAAUUCGUAGGCAUUGGAUCGAUGAAUUUGUAGGAUGAUAUUCAUCAUAUAACAGUCAUAACCUAGGGCGAUACGAACUAGCUCCAGUUCAUAAAUAUAAUGUAGGCAUGUAUUCCGUAAAUAGUCAUACGUGCUCAUGGAAAGAACUUGCAUGACAUCUUUUCUCCUACCUUGCCGUGGCAGCGGGGUCCAUAAGGAAACUAAGGGAUAUUAAGGCCUCCUUUUAAUAGAGAACCGGAACAAAGCAUUAACACAUAGUGAAUACAUGAACUCCUCAAACUACGGUCAUCACCGGAAAGUAUCCCGAUUUCUGUCACCCCGGGGUUUACAGAUCAUAACACGUAAUAGGCGAAUAUGACUUGCAAGAUCGGAUCUAGAAUAUAGAUAUAAUGGUGAAAACAUAAACAGUUCAGAUUUGAAAUCAUGGCACUCGGGCCCUAGUGACAAGCAUUAAGCAAGGCAAAGUCAUAACAACAUCAAUCUCAUAACGCAGUGGAUACUAGGGAUCAAGCCCUAAGAAAACUAACUCGAUUACAUGACGAAUCUCAUCCAACUCCUAACCUACCAGCGAGCCAACGAAGGAAUUACUCACUCCCGGUGGGGAGCAUCAUGGAAUUGGCUAUGAAGGAGGGUUGGUGAGGACGAAGACCGAAGAUUCCCCUCUGCGGAGCCCCGAACGGACUCCAGAUCUGCCCCCCCCCCCCGAUGAAGAACAGGAGGUGGCGGCGGCUCUGUCUCAGGAAACGCGAUAAUUCUUCCUCCCUGUUUUUUUCUCACCAAAUAUAGGUAUUGAUGGAGUCAAGAUCAGGGUCUGUGGGGCCACGAGGUGGGCACAACCCACCUGGGUGCGCCUGGAGGGGGUGGCGUGCCCUGGUGAGUUGUGCUCACCCAGCCCCCCCCCCCCUCCGGUGGUUCUUGGCUCCAGUAUUUUUCUUUUAUUCUGAAAUAAUUCUCCAAAAAGUUUUGUUCCAUUCCGAGAACUUUUAUUUCUGCAUAAAAACAACACCAUGAUAGUUCUGCUGAAAACAGCGUCAUUCCAAGUUAGUUUCAUUCAAAUCAUGCAAAUUAGAGUCCAAAACAAGAGGAAAAGCGUUAGGAAAAGUAGAUACGAAGGAGACGUAUCACUUAGCAAGAACAAUAUAUGGAAAACUCGUCGGCAUUGGAUUGGUGGAUUCUUUGGAUGUUAUUCAUUAUAUAACAGUCAUAACCUAGGGCGAUACAAAAGUAGCUCCAGUUCAUAAGUAUAAUGUAGGCAUGUAUUCCGUAAAUAGUCAUACGUGCUUAUGGAAAGAACUUGUACGACAUCUUUUGUCCUACCCUCCCGUGGCAGCGGGUCCAUAAGGAAACUAAGAGAUAUUAAGGCCUCCUUUUAAUAAAGGACUGGAACAAAGCAUUAACACAUGGUGAAUACAUGGACUCCUCAAACUACGGUCAUCACUGGAAAUUAUCCCAAUUACUGUGACACUAGGGUUUACGGAUCAUAACACGUAAUAGGUGAAUAUGACUUGCAAGAUUGGAUCUAGAACAUAGAUAUAAUGGUGAAAACAUAAACGGUUCAGAUAUGAAAUCAUGGCACUUGGGCCCUAGUGACAAGCAUUAAGCAUAGCAAAGUCAUAACAACAUCAAUCUUAGAACACAGUGGAUACUAUGGAUCAAGCGCUAACAAAACUAACUCGAUUACAUGAUGAAUCUCAUCCAACUCCUCACCGACCAGCGAGCCUACGAAGGAAUUACUCACUCCCGGUGGGGAGCAUCAUGGAAUUGGUGAUGAAGGAGGGUUGUGAUGACGAAGACGAAGAUUCCCCUCUCCGGAGACCCCAAACAGGCUCCAGAUCUGGCCUCCCGAUGAAGAACAGGAGGUGACGGAGGCUUCGUAUCGUGAAACUCGAUGAAACUUUCUCCCUGAUUUUUUUCUCCGAAAAUAGGUAUUUAUGGAGUUGGAAUUAGGGUAUGCGGGGUCACGAGGUGGGCACAACUCACUGGGGGGCGCCAGAGUGGGGCGCCUUGGUGUCUUGUGCCCAGCCAGGGGGCCCCCUUCGGUAGUUCUUGGUGCCAGUAAUUUUAUAUAUUCUAAAAUAAUUCUCCAAAAAGUUUCGUUCCAAUCCGAGAACUUUUAUUUGUGCACAAAAACAACACCAACAUAGUUCUGCUGAAAACAGUGUCAGUCCGGGUUAGUUUCAUUCAAAUCAUGCAAAUUAGAGUCCAAAUAAGAGAAAAAGCGUUAGGAAAAGUAGAUACGACGGAGACAUAUCAACUCCCCCAAGCAUAAACCUUUGCUUGUCCUCAAACAAUUCAGUUGCCAAACUGAUGGUGAAAAAGAAAAACUUUUACGAACUCUUUUGCUCUUGUUUACAUAAAUAAGCUUAAGUAGCACCCAGGUUUUCAGCAAAGAUUAUGACUAACCAUGUCAACAAUAACACUUCAAAAUUAUAUUAACUCAUAUCAAUAGCAUAAUCAACUAGAGAGCAAUAAUAAGAUAUAUAUCAAAUGCCAACACUUUGUCAAAACAAUCAUGAUAUAAUAUGACAACAGCGGUAUCUCGCUAGCCCUUUAUAAGACCGCAAAAUAUAAAUGCAGAGCACCUCCAAAGUUCAAGCAGCGACUAAACAUUGUAAUUCAUGAUAGAAAAGAUCCAGUCAUGAUGCAUCCAACAUUAACUAUACACAAUGCAUGAGGAUGACAAUAGUGCGUCGAUCCACGUCAACUACUUUCCCCGUCUCACCAGUCCACAUUGUAUGUACCCUUGUGCGCCGAUCAUCCUGUACCUUACGCACUCAUGCUAUCUCGUGGAAUGGGCGGUCAAAACUGGUAAUGCACCAUGAGAUAUAUUGAGGGUCUAUGACUGGUUCAUGUCACAAGCGGUCUCAAGAGAGAAGGCUGGCAUGGUCGGUCAAUUAUGGUUACAUGGGGUGGCCANNNNNNNNNNNNNNNNNNNNNNNNNNNNNNNNNNNNNNNNNNNNNNNNNNNNNNNNNNNNNNNNNNNNNNNNNNNNNNNNNNNNNNNNNNNNNNNNNNNNNNNNNNNNNNNNNNNNNNNNNNNNNNNNNNNNNNNNNNNNNNNNNNNNNNNNNNNNNNNNNNNNNNNNNNNNNNNNNNNNNNNNNNNNNNNNNNNNNNNNNNNNNNACGACUCACAUGGCAGCUCAAUAUGGAAGGACCAAAGAGCCUCUAGAUUUUGGAACACAUGAUUCUCGCAUCGAUGUUUCGUAUUUAUGGCAUGUUUUUAUUAAAUAAUAUACUUAUUUGUAGGCCACACACAAAAAAAUCGAUCACAUCAACAACAACGAAAGUAAGCCCCUUUUGAUACAUGUUUUUUUGCGCAUCAGAUGUAAAACAUAUAUUGAUGAAAAUUGGUAUGCACAUACUAGGUAGUUUUUCUUUCAGAAUUGUUUGCACUCUAGGAACCAUAUUUUCAAAAGAAAAAAAAUCAAUCAAACUACCAUAACCUGAAUCGUAAUUGCUUCCUUGACUAUAAAAAGGUUUAUAGAUGGCGCCUUGGCCGUUGCGUGCAAAAGAUAAAAAAAAUUCCUAUUUGACGCCCGUUAUGGUUGUAAUGGUACAAGGCGCACCCCCUCCCCCUCGAAAGAUGAUAUAUGGGCCGGCCCAUAAAAGGCGUUACGCCUCUUCCUCCCACACUGUCGCCGCUACUUUUCCCCUCUCCAAUGGCAUACCCCACCACCGGCCCUCUUUUCUCCCAUCGCCACUAAAUAAAUAUGGACGGACGUCACUACUGCACGACGCUCCUAUUUCAUGACCAUGAUGGGCUGCCAUGUUGAUGUCAUGUUUGCAUCAUGAUCGUGCGACUGCAUGGCCGCGAGCCAUGAUCAUACUACGCAGGCCAUGUGGCGCUCAAAGGCAGCAGAGAGAACGUUCUUUCUCUACAUGUUCCGAUAAUAAAUAUAUGUACCCUGAAGAACUGGGAAUGAAUCAAUAUUUCAAGAACCAAGACGGAGUAAUAAUACGUUGUCGGUAGAAAAUGGUGUUUGUAUGGUUUCCCAAAAAUAAUGGUUAUAUUUACCUAUUUGGUGAGUUUUCGACGGGGGAAACGGAGGCCCCAGCCACCCCAAAGUCAAUAUUGCUAGAUGCUGAUAUAUCCGUACAGCUGUUUUCAGUAGCAAAGAUGGGCAUUGUCUCAGGUGCCGUGCAUGCAUGUACUCCUAGCUCUUUGCCAAAAGAUCCGAGGCCAAAGUCCCCAAAGCACCACAUGAAAGCGUGCAGACGCGAGGCAGGCUCAAAAGGCACACGAAACAAGACGUCCAUUCAUCCUCCCGCCGUCUCUCCAUGCAAUCCAGCGUCCUGCCCCGACGCCAGUGCGCGCGCCGUUCCCCUACCCCGACCUACCCAUCAAUCUACCCGUCCACGUGCCACCGAAGCAGAGGUGGUGCAAACCUGGCUUGCUGGCCCCGGCGCCUUCCCGCGCCCGUGCACGCGCGAACCAUGUCGCCGCCGCUGUGCCGCUCGUCACCAUUUGGGCCUACGCCGGCCUGUGCGAUGGCGCCGUCACGACGGACGCGCCCUCGCCCGUGCGCAGCAGCAGUAACUUGGAGGCGGGCAAGCCAGGCGCAACAGUGCGUCACUCUGCGAGCUUUCUUUUCUUGCUCCUACACCGCCCGGCACCACGUGUGCUGCUGCCUGCUGCCACGCCAGGUCAUGGCUUUCACGUCAAAGUAGCGAGCCGGCCGUAGGGCCGACGCACAGACGCACGCAUGCACUCCUGGUCUCCCCGGUCUCGCAUGCCUCUCGCACUCUAGGCGUGUUUGGUUGCCCGCAUUAGGCCUAGCCUGGCCCGCGCAGGAAAAAAAGUGGCCUGUUUGGUUGCCUGUGUUCACUGUGCGGCCCGCAUCGCACAGACCUUAAAGCACGUCCAGGCCAGGCCCAGAGGGAAUGCCCGAAUCGGCAGUAGCUCGCGAGCCUGGCUCGGGCGAGCCAGGGGAGGGCGACGCGCUUCUCCCCUCAUGCGAGCAGGGGAGACGGCGCGAGCUUGCCCGCGUCGCCGAAAAAUCGGCGGGAGGAUUUCGGCUCACCUCCAGCUGAGUCCACCCCUAUUUUGCCCCUCCCGCACCGCCCCAACUCCCGCCACCAUUCUCCCUCCGUUCGAGCUUUCCCGCCGACGCGCAUCGGCACCGACGAGCAGGUAAGCGGCACAUCUUCAUCGGCCGGCGGUCCACGGCAUCGGCGCUCCUUCACCGGCCGGCGUUGAUCUUCCACGACCGUCCCCCGUCGUCCUCAAGCUGCAGCCAUGGCCUCUGUGAGUUCAAUCCCCCUUUCUCUCUGUUCCUUCUAGCUAGAUCUGAGCUGCAGCUAGGGUUUGAUCUAGAUGCAUGGUUGAUUAGUGGUCUGAUCUGUGAGCUGAUAUGGUUGAUUGCUAUGCUGCGGUCGGAAUUUUUGGUUGGGCUAGAUGUUCAAGCAUGUGGUAGGCUAGAUUAGUACUAGAGUUUGAAGUUAAACCUUGUGCUUGUGUUGAAUCAUGCUUAGAUCUGUGAUUUGUAGGUAUUGGUGGUCCAUUUGUAGCAUGUUGUUUGUUGUACAUGUAAGUUCCUGCUCAUAGAUUAUCCGGUAUGCUGGGUAUGGUAGCGAUGAAGCAUGUGCUUACUGAUAGUGAUGAACCAUGUACAUGUAUGCUUCUGCUUUCAUGGAUUGUCCGGUAUGUUGCAUGCUAUGCUUACUGUCAAUGCGUGCUACGAUUGCAGGACAUGACCACGCAGACGCAAGAUCUUAGUCAGGCCCUUGUCGUGUCCGACAGCCAGUUUGCUCCAUCGUUUGUCGCGGACUCGCAGCCUAUGUCCGAGAUGGCACCUGAUUCAGAGGUGUUCGCGUCUGAUUCCCUCUAUGUGCAAGUAGUGCUCGUUGAGCCAACUACUGCUGCUGCUGCUGCCGCUGCACUCAAGCUAGCAGCAGCAAAGGCAAAGAAGGAUGGUAGGUCGAACAACAUGAAGUGUCAGCCGUUCAUGUCCACGUUCGUGCUGAACAAGAUGUGUGAGCUCAUCUCUAGUGGAGUUAGGACUGACAAGGGCUUCAAGGAGGUGCACUUGAACACCGUUACGAAGCAGGUGUUCGAGUUCUGUGGGCAAGAAGUGUCUGCCACCCAGGUGUACAACCACCUGAGGAAGUGGAGAAGUCGAUGGAUCCAAGUGUCCAAGCUGAGAGACCUUAGCGGCGCCUCAUGGGAUGAGAACACUUGCUCCAUAGUUCUGGAGGCAGAGCACUAAGCCGGCCAUGUCACGGUUAGCUCACAAUCCAGAACUACAGCCAGAUGCAGCACAUCUUCUCCUUCGGGCUGACAACUGGGAAGCAUGCCAUGGGCUCGGGGGAGCCUCUUGGUUCCCCCUUGCCAGACUUCCCUGGGACCCCGGACGUCGAGGUCCUUGAUGGCCCUAACAAGCCCGCUGCGAAGCCCUUCGACAAGCCAUUUGACCCCGUCAAUGAUAGGAAGAGGAAGAGAGGAGGCCUGAUGGAGGAGGAGAUCAAUGUCUUUUGCAGCAUGACUGAGGCGGUGAAGGAGGUGGCAACAGCCAUCAGGGAGUGCAAGCCCCUCGACGUCCACCCUGACCUGUAUGGCGCUGUCAUGACCCAGGGUGGCUUCAGUGACGAGGCUUUGAUGGCAGCUCUCAGCCACCUGCUUGAUAACAAGGCCCGGAGUGUUGGGUUCGUUGCCAUGGCCGACGCUCAUAGGAUGUUGUGGCUCAGGAGCUGGCUGGGCAAGCACUACUACUAGAGUAGUGCUGCUUGUGAGCGUGCAUGAUCCCCGACGGCGAUGGCGGUGGCGACGACAACGACGAUGACGAUGACGACGUACAUUUUGUGUAGUUAGGGCUCAAAAACUAUUUCAUGGUCUGCAUAUUUUGGUGAGGUGGUAUAUACCAACCCCUCACGCUGAUGGUGAACUUACGGUGGUAGGACGACACCCUCUUUUGGAUGUGGUGGUAGGUUAACACCAAGGUAGUGCUAGGAAGAACUUGCUAUGACGUAUGAUCAUGCGUGCUUUACUUCUCUUCUGCUCCAUUGUUGUUUGUGUGCUACUUUGCUCUAUUUGUCUGCUUCAUUGAUUUGCUGCUUCAACUCUUGCUCUUGUGCAUUGCUAGGGCAAGUGGUAUGCGUGUUCAUUGGUAAGGUCCCAGGGGUUUAUAGUUCAUGGGAAGAAGCCAGUGAACAACUGGCAUCGUAUAGCAACAGCAGCCAUAGAGGGUUCAAGACUAGGCAGGCAGCAGAAAAAGCUUACUCCGAGUGGGUGCAAAAGCAUGGCAGCAGUGCUGACAGUCGCAAGGUUGGAUGUGUCAAGGUGGAUCGUCAGUUUGGGCUGAAGCUGAAGAACUUCAUCAUCUUCGCCCAGUUCAUCGCCAUUGCUGUGCUGUGGCGUUGGUGUGCUAGGUGUGGGUAAGCCCACCAACUAGGGUAGAAGGUAAGCACAAUAUGUACGCCGUAUGCAAUCAAACGUCGUGUUCAUGUGCCGCUCGGGCCAAUUCAGGCAACCAAACAAAGUGCACUUGCGUAUUACCUAAUGCAGGAAGCCUAGAUGCAUGCAACCAAACAACUUGCAGAUGACGCAUUUAGGGUUGUUUUUGCGAAUGAAUAGCAUAAAACUACCAUUUUUCGUCCUAUUGUUCCAAAAAACUACCACAUUUUUGUUUGUGACUGAUAACUACCGAAACCGGCGUCGGCUGUUUCAAAAAACCCAAAACGCCCGUGGCUAAGAAAUUAAACCGGUUUAUGACAAGUCGGGCCCGCACCUAAACGAACCGUUUGUUUGACCGUUCCUUUGACCGUUAACUGACAUGUGGGGCCCACAUGUCAGUUAUCUCUUCCUCCUCCUCCUUCUUCUCUCCCUUAUCUCUCUCUCUCUGCCAGCCGGCAAGCCUUCCGGCGGCCGUAGCAGAGGCCGGCCUCGCCCACGACGGCAGGAGGCGCGCGCUCCAGCAGCGACGCAGGCCGUCCGCGGCGAGCUCGAGGGAGGCAGAAGCGAGGUCGAGGUGCUCCUGCACGAGCUGCUCGCGAGGCCACCGUGCUCCGCGUCCAUGGCGUCGGUGGCGGCGCUGAUGCGGGCAGGGGAGAGACCGUGGAGUGUGGUGCCGCACUCGUGGGGUUGCUCCGGUGCUCCAGCCACGCGCCCUCCUUUCCCAUCUCGAAUCCCCUCCGUAGUUGUGGUCAACGCUCGGGUCCGAGCUCCCGAGGCCGGCCGCCAUGACUAGGCUCAAGCUCGAGCUCGAGCUCCUGCCUCGCGAGCUUCCUGGCCUGCACUUCCCACGCCCGCAAGCCUGCCUUCUGCGCCCAGCCGCAACGGCCAUCGCCGGUGAGCGGUGCUGCCCCCUGGCGCCCGUGCGGAAGGAAGCUCCACGGUGGCGCCAUGGCUGCUGGUCGCGACGGAAGGGAGCACCACGCGCCGCCCCGCGACGGAAGGGAGGUCCACGGCGGCGCCAUGGCUGCUGGCCGGCGACCCUCACGGCGGCUGCUGGCGCACGGCCACGGGAGGGACCCGAUUGCUUUUUUCAAAAGUUUACAGAGACCCGAUUGCGUUUUUGAAAAGUUUGCAGGGGCCUGAUGGCAUUUUUGAAAAGUUUGCGGACACUGACAUGUGGGCCCCACAUGUCAGUUAACGGUCAAAGGAACGGUCAAACAAAUGGUUCGUUUAGGUGUGGGCCCGACUUGUCAUAAACCGGUUUAAUUUCUUAGCCACGGGCGUUUUGGGUUUUUUGAAACAGCCGACGCCGGUUUCGGUAGUUAUCAGUCACAAACAAAAAUGUGGUAGUUUUUUGAAACCAUAGGACGAAAAGUGGUAGUUUUAUGCUAUUUACUCUGUUUUUGCUCAACCAGGCUGGGUUGAGAAGUGUAUGCAAUGCAACUACUGUUCAAAACUUGAACCAAACACGCCCCUAGUGUGCGUGCGAUGUGCACCGUGGCUGCCCAUUCGAAUCGUGAUUGAUUGUUCCGUGACUUCCGUCGACCUCACGCUCUCUUGUUGGCGAAAAGGGGAAAAAGCUCCCUCGGGACCCUCUGCGUGGAAAUGGAAUUGUUUUGGAUAUGAACAGUCGUUUAAGUUUGAACAAUGCACACAUGAAGAGAAAAUUCCAGUAUAACUGAACCGCAGUCUGCAAAAAUGAAUAUAUAGUUCGAAUGUGCCAUUUGAUAUAUAGUAUAAUAGUUUUCUCACGUACAAGAAGACAAUCUUGAAGUAAUUUGCAAACCGUUUUAUCUUGCUGGGGCGUGUUUGGAGGAUUGUCGACUCGCUUAGAAGAGGGCACAACUAGAAGAAAUCGGUUCUAUUUAGCUCUGCUUUUCCUCCCUAAGAGUGGAAUUUUCGUCCCUUUAUGCUAGCUAGCCACAUCUACUUAGCAAAAUAAAACGUUGGAAGCUCAUUGUUUUGAAGCUCCCGCAUCCUAAUAGUCUGGCCUUGCUAAGGACAAACAAGCGCAAAAAAAAAAAGAUCACCAUAUGUUUAAAAUCCUCAUCGCUCACGACCUACUCAAAAAGAAAUGAGCACACAAAUUUUAUCGUAUGUUCAAUAGAUAGCGUAAGCUCUUACCUACCAAAGGACCAAACUCAGAACUAGAGCAUUAUUAGCUAUUGACCUAACCCAAAACAAAUGGCUUCAUGUGACUACCUCAAGUCUUUCAUAAGGAGCAAGCCUUCACUAGCUUUUUCCUCAUCUUACUUCUAUGUGUUGGAAUUGUUUAUUCUUACAUCAUGCAUUAUUUGUUUCAUCCAUGCAUACUAGGGAUUCAAAUUUCAUAGAUGUAAGCAUAGGAGACACCAGGAACUAGCAGUGGAUAACCAAGAUUAAAACAUGCACAAGCUCUCUCAGAUUUACUCUACCAUGUCAACUACCCUUGUAGUCCAGUUGUCCUAUACCCUACACUCUUGUGUUGUCAUCUGGAACGAACCAUAGAAUCUGGUGAUGCGCCACGAGGACGGAUUGGUCGUCGGAGGUUGGUUCACGUCACCAUGUUUGUUCUGGUUCCCAUGGCAGCUCGUUCGAUCAAUUAUGUCUACACGGGGGGAGGGGCCAAUGGGGGAGGGGGGCAGCUUUGAAAUGGUACACAGAGCUCGUGGUCGAUGCAUUUGGUUAGCAUGGCUCACAUGGCAGCUCAAUAUUGUAAGGACCGAAGACCUCCAGAUUUAAGAGCACGGUUUUUUUUGCGGUUGAGAUUUAAGACCACAUCAUUCUGGUUCCCACGUUAAAAAUAUGGAAAAGGCAUUUACGAUUUUUGAUUUAUUUCCUCUGGAUAAAUAUCAAUGUUUCAUAUUUACCAUUAUUGUUCAUGAUUUCGGCCGAUAUUCCGAUAAACUGGCCGAUUUAUCGCUUACACGUAUCUGGCCAAUAAGAUAAAUCAGCCAUUAAAUCGGUCGAUAUGCCUAUAAACCGGCCAAUUUACCCCUUUUCUUGGGUCCACCGAUAAGUCCCCGAUAAGUGAUUUCCCCAACAUUGUUUAUCAAUGCAUUUUUAUUAAGUUAUAUACCAAUUUGUAGGCGGCACAGAAGAGAUAAUAUUCUGGCACAUCACCAACAACGAAAGUAAGCCCCUUUUGAUACAUCUUUUUUCUUUUGUGCACACCACAUGUAAAAACAUAUAUUGAGGAAACUUUGUAUACAUAUAUUUAUUUAUUUAUUUAUUCAGAAUUGCUUGGCUUUAGAAAUCAUGGUUUUGAUAAUAAUUGUUAAAUUGGAUGACUACAGUCCAAAUCCAAAUUGGUUUUUUGACCACUCCAAAAGGCUUAUAGAUGACACCUGAGCAAUGAUGAGGACAUAUUUGAGCCCGUCACUUUUAAAUGGGUUAUGACUGACGUGCAAAAGAUAUUGAUCCAUCAUUGCUUAGUACUCCCUCCGUAAGGCCAGAUCCUUCAGACCCACACGCGAGCAAGGAAACCAAGCCACCUGCUGCGACCGGCGACAAUACCCACCACCACUCAUCGCCCACACGACCGAGGAUGUGGAGAAACAUUUCUGACACCGCUCACUAUAGAGAUGGCAUCACUAUAGCACCUGAGGUCAUGGCCUCGGCACCCAAAGCCUUCCGUACGGGGUGAAGUAGCCACAUCCUUGUCGCCACUGUCCUUGGCGACUACGCAGGCUUCGUCGGAGGCCUCCUGGAGCGUCAACAAGGAGGUAAGGGGGAGAGAGAGUUGGCGACAAGGGUUUCGUUCCCUUUUGUGUUGCCCCGAGCGGAGCAAUGCGGGGGUAGGGUGAAGCGUUAUGUCCCACUCAACCAUCAUGUGGAUUUGGUCCAACAACCAACAUAGGAAAAAAUCCCAAGGAUUCUAAUCCUCCAAAAUUACUAUGAAACUUGAAUCAAAUGAGCCCUUAAACCCACUACAAGCAUCAUGUAUCCUCUUAUUUUAAAACAUGCAGUGUUUCCAACUUUCUAGAUAGUCCAGAAAACAUAAGCAACCCCAAGUAACAUAAGAUAUUUGUCUUGUUUUGGGAAACCAUUAAUCCAGGAAUUAUACAUGCCAUGAACGGUCACGGGUAUAUUUGUGAAGGAAAAUGCACAUAUAUUCCAAACAAGCUUACCAGGAGACCAACUAAUACAAGAUGAUCAAUUGUUUAAUCCAAACCACAAUACUAACACUUUGCAUCUCCCUGACAUCCUCUCCUCAACAAGUUAUAUUUGGUUAAAAUACUAUUUAUAAAUAAGCAACAAGAAAUUUUGAUCUUCAUAUGAAUUUAAGUUUUCCACAAGAAUUUAUGUGGAAAUCUACAAUCGCCUCUCAUCGUCAAUUCAUACAUAGAGUUUACUAUAAAUUACCCAUUAUUAACACACAUCCACCUUAUUGUAUCAGGUAGACCAGUCAGUUGAGUGCUCUCACAAGUUUCAUUAAGACCAUUCCAUAAGACCAAGGUUUCACCAUAAAAGUCCUUCUAAACUUUAUGUCCCUAAAGCCUCUCUUUAUGAUGUUGGCCAUUGAAAUAUUUUGAUCAAACAUACAUUGUAAAGCAUUGCAUAAGCAUGUGACAGUGGCCAAUCUCCCACCCACAAGUCCUCCCAGAAUCUAGUGUUACAACCAUUAACCACUAUAUGUCUGCAAUUGUCAAAGAUUUUUUUGUGUGUUUCAAAAACCCAUACCAGAAUUGUGAAUCACAUGAUUUAUGACUAAUCCAGACAAACACUUCUUUCGGAGAUACUUAUUCUUAAGAAUAUCUUUCCAUACCCCUCUUAAUUACUAAGGUACCACGUGCAUUUAGAUAAUAAGGCAUUAUUUUUGAAUUUAUAUUCUAGACCCCUAGACUGCCAUAGUCCUUAGGUAAGUACACCACCAGCCAUCUCACCAAGUGAUACUUCCACUUAUUAACAUCUUCUUGCCAAAAUAACCUAGCUAUAUAGAAACUGAUCUUUUUUCUUACUCCAAUAGGAAGACCAUAGAAAGACAACGGGAAAAUAGGUAUAUUUCGAUAAGCUAGGUUGGAUUAGAAUCAACCCCUCACUAAUACCUAGCAAUCUACCUUGGAAACUUCCACAUUUCUUUUCUUGUUAUUUAAAAAUCUUCCAGUGAACAUUUCUGAUUCCUUGCUCAUUUACUGGGAUCUCCGGAUACCUAGUGAGUAAACUCCCCAUUGGACAAGUAAUUAUCAUGUUAUGUUGGUCAGCUUUAUUGUUAGCUUCACCAAACAAAAAAAACCUCACUUUUGUUGAAGUUAAUUUUCAAACCAGUCAUUUGUUCAAAUGCGCACAGGAUAAAUUUGAGCUCAUGUGCACUUGCUAAAUCAUCAUCUAAUAGCUAGCCGUACCAUCUUGGUUGAAAGAUCAAAGAUCAAUAUUUAUAUUGGAAGCUCAUUGUUUUGAAGCUCCCGUGUCUUAAAUUACAGGCAGGCCUAGCCAAGGACAAACAAGCUCAGAAAAAUCACCAUUUUUUUUAUAAAAUAGCAUUGCUUCGGCCCUACCCGAGGACAAAUGAGCACAACAAUUUCAUUGUUUCUUUAAAAGAUAUCGUAACAUCUUACCUACCAGAGUACAAAACUCAUAACCAAUGGGACCAUUAGGUAUUGACCUAAGCGAGAACGAGUGACUUCAUGUCACUACCUCAAGUCUUUUUAAGGAUUGACCCUUCACUAGGCUUAUUCCACGUCUUGCAUCCAUGUGGUUGAAAUAUAUACUCUUUUUUCUACGAGUUUGGUCCAUGCACACAAGUUUUUGUUUCAUAGAUGUAAGCAUAGGAGGCACCAGGAACUACGGGUGAAAAACCAAAUUUACUACAUUCACAAGUUUAUCCUUUAUGCUAUAUCAAAUUGGCUAUUUCACCCGAGUCUCACCAAUCCAUUAACCUAUGUGCUCUCCUACUAUGAUCACCUAUACGCUAAGCUCUCAAUAUUUCUUGGUGGAACGAACAAUAGAAUCAUGUGAUGCUCCAUUGGGAUGGAAUGGCAUCGAAGGUGGCUGGUUCACAUUAGCGGUGGUCUUAAGAAAAGAGGGCUAGCAUGUUUAGUCGAUGGUUCGGUAGGGGAAAUGCAUACGUAUUGGAAAUUAUACACAAAGAUGGUGAUAUACCAUUGCAUCUGGUUAGCUGCUCUGCUAGUGUAGAAACAAGCAUUAGAAGUGUCCCUUGGCGGCGGUUGUGACCCGAGAGAUGAGCGAGUGAAAACUGAUGCAAAACGCAGCGAGGCUCGUGCGUCAAUCGGCUCCAACACACCACACACAUACAACACAGGUAGGCCACAGGACACGAUCUGAAGGUGGGAGGACAACAUGAUUAUCACUUAAGUCCCCGGUGCUCUCGUUGACCAUUGUGGCCCAGCCUUACAGGCGACGAGACAAAACCCUAUGCCACACCAUCACAACUCCUAAUUCCACUUGGAAUUCUUGCACAAAUUGACGUUUUUUUUUUGCGGGUGUGCACAAAUUGACGUUAAAGCUCUACAAAGCAGCACAAUUACUUACAAGGAGAGAAACAGUAGCACGGACGGGCUGAUAUCUCAGGUGCCAUCGAUCCAUCCAUCUUGCUGCAAAAAGUCCCCAAACCAAACAAGACAUGCACCCAUCCCCUCGCCGUAUCCUCCAUCCAGCGCCCUGCGCCCCUGCCCCAANNNNNNNNNNNNNNNNNNNNNNNNNNNNNNNNNNNNNNNNNNNNNNNNNNNNNNNNNNNNNNNNNNNNNNNNNNNNNNNNNNNNNNNNNNNNNNNNNNNNNNNNNNNNNNNNNNNNNNNNNNNNNNNNNNNNNNNNNNNNNNNNNNNNNNNNNNNNNNNNNNNNNNNNNNNNNNNNNNNNNNNNNNNNNNNNNNNNNNNNNNNNNNNNNNNNNNNNNNNNNNNNNNNNNNNNNNNNNNNNNNNNNNNNNNNNNNNNNNNNNNNNNNNNNNNNNNNNNNNNNNNNNNNNNNNNNNNNNNNNNNNNNNNNNNNNNNNNNNNNNNNNNNNNNNNNNNNNNNNNNNNNNNNNNNNNNNNNNNNNNNNNNNNNNNNNNNNNNNNNNNNNNNNNNNNNNNNNNNNNNNNNNNNNNNNNNNNNNNNNNNNNNNNNNNNNNNNNNNNNNNNNNNNNNNNNNNNNNNNNNNNNNNNNNNNNNNNNNNNNNNNNNNNNNNNNNNNNUGACGCAAACCCCAAAAAUGCGGCUGCCCGCCCCCAUUGCCUUCCCGCGUCCGUGCGCCCGUGCGACGGACGCGUUGUGUCGUGACGGAACCACCUGCCGUGCGACGGACGCGGGUGGUUCCGUCACGACGGACGCGCCCGCGGCCGUGCGGGGCAGCAGUAAACUGGAGGCGGACAAGCCAGGGGCAACAGUGCGGCGAUGUGCGGGCUUUCCUUUCUGGCUCCUCCACCGCCCGGCACCACGUGGGCUGCCGCCGCGCCAGGGCAUCCCGUUUCACGUCAAAGUAGGCCGCGGGGCCGACGCAUAGACGCACGCAUGCACUCCCAGUCUCCCCGGUCUCGCACUGCAUCUGCUCUCUGAUGCGUGUGGUGCGCACCGUGGUGGCCCGAUCGGAUCGUGGUUGAUUGUUCCGUGACUUCCGUCGACCUCACGGUCUUUCGCUAGCGAGAAACGGGAAGAGCCCAUGCGGAUGCUUUUGCUACAUCUAGAAAUUGAAUUGUCUUGGCGGAAGGACAAAAUUUUCAAGAUACUACUCCCUCCGUUAAAUCGUUUAUUACCAGGAGAGCAAUUAAUACAAGAUGAUCAAUUGUUUAAUCCAAACCACAAAACUAACACUUUGCAUCUCCCUGACAUCCUCUCCUCAACAAGUUAUCUUUGGUUAAAAUACUAGUCCAUCUAUCCAUAUAUAGUAACUUUCUCCACGUGCAGCUGUCUGGUUGCGCUCAGGUCCUGAUGAGAUUGUAAGCCUUUGUGGCGAAACCACUCAUUAAUAUAAUCUCUUUUACCCGCAAAAAAAACUUUGACCACAUGCUAGAGCAUUAAUAUAUGACAUGCAAGUUACACAAAGCUUAUCGUCAAAUUCGUACGUGAAAGGAGCUUCCAAUGAUAUAAUUUUCAUAUUGUACAUCUCAUACAUUAAUAAUCUUAUCAAUAGUCAAAGGCUUACUCAAAAAACGCAUUAGGCCCCGUAUAUAUGGAUGGAGGGAGUAUUUACAAACAAGCAACAAGAAAAUUUUGAUCUUCAUAGGAAUUUAAGUUUUCCACAAGAGUUUAUUUGGAAAUCUACAAUCACCUCUCAUCGUCAAUUCAUACAUAGGUUUUACUAUAAAUAACCCAUUAUUGACACCCAUCCACCAUAUUGUAUCAGGUAGACGAGUUAGUUGAAUGCUCUCACAAGUUUCAUUAAGACCAUUCCAUAAGACCAAGGUUUCACCAUAAAAGUCCUUCUAAACUUUAUGUCCCUAAAGCCUCUCUCUAUGACAUUGGCUAUAGAAAUAUUUUGAUCAAACAUACAUUGUAGAGCAUUGCAUAAGCAUGUGAUAGUGUCUGCUCUCCCACCCGCAAGUCCUCCCAGAAUCUAGUGUUACAACCAUUACCCACUAUAUGUCUGCAAUUGUCAAAGAUUUUUUGUGUGUGUUUCAAAAACCCAUACCAGAAUUGUGAAUCACAUGAUUUAUGACUUAAUCCAAAACAAACACUUCUUUCUNNNNNNNNNNNNNNNNNNNNNNNNNNNNNNNNNNNNNNNNNNNNNNNNNNNNNNNNNNNNNNNNNNNNNNNNNNNNNNNNNNNNNNNNNNNNNNNNNNNNNNNNNNNNNNNNNNNNNNNNNNNNNNNNNNNNNNNNNNNNNNNNNNNNNNNNNNNNNNNNNNNNNNNNNNNNNNNNNNNNNNNNNNNNNNNNNNNNNNNNNNNNNNNNNNNNNNNNNNNNNNNNAAGUACUAAGGUUCCACACGUAUUUAGAUAAUAAGGCACUAUUUUUGAAUUUACAUUCUUGACCCCUGGACCACCAUAGUCAUUAGGUAAGCACACCACCAGCCAUCUCACCAAGUGAUACUUCCUCUUAUUAACAUAUUCUUGCCAUAAUAACCUAGCUAUAAAGAAAUUGAUCUUUUUCUUACUCCGAUAUUGAAGACCAUAGAAAGACAUCACGAAAAUAGGUACUCACUAAUACCUAGCAACCUACCUUGGAAACUUCCACAUUUUUUUCUUAUUAUUUAAAAAUUCUGCCAGUGAACAUUUAUGAUUCCUUGUGCAUUUACUAGGAUCUCUGGAUACCUAGUUAGUAAAUUCCCCAUUGGACAAGUAAUUAUCGUGUUAUGUUUUGUCAGCUUUAUUGUUAGCUUCACCGAACAAAAAAACCUCACUUUUGUUAAAGUUAAUUUUCAAACCAGUCAAUUGUUCAAAUGCGCAUAAGACAAAUUUGAGGUUAUGUGCACUUGCUAAAUCAUCAUCUAAUAAAUAGCCGCAUCAUCUUGGUGUAAAGAUCGAAGAUCAAUACUUAUAUUGAAAGCAUUGGGAGCUCAUUGUUUGAACCUCUCGUGUCUUAAAUUAUAGGCAGGCCUAGCCAAGGACAGACAAGCUCAGAAAAUUCACCAUUGUUAUAAAAUAGCAUUACUUCGGACCUACCCGAGAACAAACGAGCACAACAAUUCCAUCAUUUCUUUAAAAAUAUUGUAACAUCUUACCUGCCAGAGUACAAAACUCAUAACCAAUGGGACCAUGUCACUACCUCAAGUCUAUUUAAGGAGUGAGCCUUCACUAGGCUUAUUCCACAUCUUGCAUCCAUGUGGUUGAAAUAUAUACUCUUAUUUCUACGAGUUUGGUCCAUGCACACAAAUUUGUAUUUCGUAGAUGUAAGCAUAGGAGACACCAGGAACUACCGGUGGAAAACCAAAUUUACAACAUUCACAAGUUUAUCCCUUAUGCUAUAUCAAAUUGGCUAUUUCACCCGAGUCUCACCCCUCCACUAACCUAUGCGCUCUCCUAGUAUGAUCAUCCUAUACACCAAGCUCUCAAUAUCUCUUGGUGGAACGAACAAUAGAAUCAUUUGAUGCUCCGUUGGGAUGGAAUGGCAUCGAAGGUGGCUGGUUUACAUUAGCCAUGGUCUUAAGAAAAGAGGGCUAGCAUGUUUAGUCGAUGGUUCGGGAGGGGAAAUGCAUACGUAUUGGAACUUGUACAGAAAGAUGGUGAUAUACCAUUGCAUUUGGUUAGCUGCUAGUAUAGAAACAAGCAUUAGAAGUGUCCCUUGGCGGCGGUUCUGACCCAAGAGAUUCAAGAGGCAUGUAAUCCAUACAUCGGAGGUGAUUAUUCUUGUUAUAGAAAGUGCCUGAGGCAGUUAGAAUUCUGAAACCUCCUAUAGGAAAACGUUGAGGCGGUUAGUAGAAUAGAAUCGUCUCUAGUUUCUCUCCAGCGCAGACGGUUUUCUCUAAACCAUUUCUAGUUUGUGAGUACCACGGGCCGUAGGCAAUUCCCUUCUCAUAUUAUUCAGAUUCUCCUUUAUCCCUCUUCAUUUUUGUCCCUUCCUCGGCCCAUGACCGAACCUUAUCACCGUUGCCGCAAAGUUCGUCUUCAAGAACUCGCGAGACAUUCACUAUGUCUUCACUAGUGAACUACAUCGACGAAGUCCUCCGACGAACUGAGCCAGCACCAUGGCAGAUUCACUUAGCCACAACAUCGACCCAAGACUCCAUUGUGGUAGAUUCUGCAGACCACAUGAUGUCUACUAUGCAACUUUUAUUCUUGUAGACUCAGUUGGGCCUCCAAGCGCAGAGUUUUGUAGGACAGCAACAAAUUCCCUCAAGUGCAUUACCUAAGGUUUAUCAUUCCGUGGGAGGUGUAGGAUGAAGAUGGUCUCUCUCAAACAACCCUGCAAUCAAAUACAAGAAAUCUCUUGUGUCCCCAACACACCCAAUACAAAUGUCAAUUGUAUAGGUGCACUAGUUCGACGAAGAAAUGGUGAUACAAGUGUAAUACAGAUGGUAGAAAUACAUUUUUAUAAUCUGAAUAAAUAAAAACAACAACGUAGCAAGUAGCAAAAGUGAACAAAAAUGGUGUUGCAAUGUUUGGAAACAAGGCCUAGGGUUCAUACUUUCACUAGUGCAAUCUCUCAACAACGCAAACAUAAUAAUCAUAUAACAAUCCCUCAACGUGCAAAAAAAAUCACUCCAAGUUUCUAUCGGAUAAAGUAGGACGAAAAUGUGUAUCAACCUAUGUGCGUAGAUUACCCCAAUGUCACCACCAGAAUUCGCAAGUUGAUUACCAAAACAUAUAUCAAGUGACUCAAUAGAAUACCGCAUUAUCACAACGGGUAUCCACAUGCAAGACAUACAUCAAGUGAUCUCAAAUCCAAUAUUCAAUCCAACAUAAUGUAACCUCAAAGAGCAAGACUCGAUUCAUCACGACAAAAAUAGAGGGAAGAACACCAUAUGAUUCCGCAAUAUUAACAAAGCUCAUGGUACAUCAAGAUCCUGCCCUAUAAAGAUCACGAGAGAGAGAGAGAGAGAUCAAACACAUAGCUACGGGUACAUACCCUCAGCCCCGGGGUGAACUACUCCCGCCUCAUCAUGGAAGUCGCAGGGGUGAUGAAGAUGGCCUCCGGUGAUGACUUCCCCCUUCUAGCAGGGAGCCAGAAUGGAGCUCCGGAUGAGAUUGCUUCGGAACAGAGGCUUGCAGUGGCGAAAAAACUCAUCUAGGUUAACUUUCGGGGGUUUCUGGAUUUAUAGGAUUUUUUCAGCGUUGGAUUCACAUCAGGGGGGUUCCCGAGGGACCCACAAGCUCAGGUGGUGUGCCCUAAGGGGGGUGCGCCACCCAGGCUUGUGGCCCCCUUGGACCUCGUCUGGUCCUCCUCCGAAGCCUCCUGGGUCUCUUCUCGUCCAUAAAAAAUCACCGUAAAUUUUUGUUGCAUUUGGACUUCGUUUGGUAUGGUUUUUCAGCGAAGCGAAGAAAUAGCCAAAAACAGAAACUGGCACUAGGCACUAGGUUAAUAGGUUAGUUCCCAAAAAUAAUAUAAAGGUGCACCAAGACCAUAUAAAAACAUUGUAAACAUGGCAUGAAUACUUCAUAAAUUAUAUAUACGUUAGAGACGUAUCACCACGCCAUCAAACCAGGCCUCCCUCAAACGAGGCGCCACCAUCGCAGAUCCAACGGGCUACGCCAUCGACCAAGGCAUCUUGGCGGGCUGGAGGGAGUGGCGGCUGUCGGGAGGAGAAUGCCAGUGCUGCUUAACUCCAAUGAGGUUUCCACCCAUUGAGUACAUCACCUGGGAGGAACCCUUACGACAACAUCGUCCAGGAUCCGGCAUGGUAAGAUUCCAAGUGUUAGCACCUUGUCCUUUGAUGGAGUUUCGUAGGUUUAGCCGUUUUAUGCUAGUAUAUUUUAAGGGUUAAUUGUUGUAUUUAGAAUCAGAAAUCAAUGUUUAGGGUUUAUAGUUUAGGCCAUAGAAUUUAGAAUGAUAUAUCAAACAAUUCUAAUGGUGUUGUGCUAGCCUAUAGCUUGCUGUUAAAACUUGUAACAUGUAUACAUGUUAAAGGUUUGGCUAGCUUUUGUAUGUAUGUGCUAAAGAAUAACUAAAAUUCUUUAACUCAUGCUACUAGAAAAGUUAUACAUUUUAUGUUGAAAAAUAUGAUUCAUUAUGUUAUGGAAGGUAUGUAGCUUCUCCUCUCCUGACACUAGAUUACAUAUAUAUCACUUGAUGUAAUAAAGUCAAACAUUAAUUACACACUUUCGUCGAACAUUUUUUAUCCCACUCUUGUCUUAGACUUGUUCACCAUGUCUAUCCAAAGACCAUGUCUAAUGCAAGCAUUGAAGAACAAAGUUUUAAAGAUUGUUCAGUAAAUGGUGUUGACCUACCUACACAUUGAAAGGAUCGAUAUAGUUGACUAGAGGGGGGUGAAUAGGCAACUAACAAUUUUUAGCUUUUCUUUAUCAAAUUAAAAUUUGCAUCAAAGUAGGUUGUCUAGAUAUGCAACUAGGUGAGCAACCUAUAUGAUGCAGCAACAACAACAAGCACACAAGCAAGCAAGGGAUACAACACAAUAUAAGCUUGCACAAGUAAAGGUGAGAGAUAACCAAGAGUGGAGCCGGUGGAGACGUGGGUGUGUUACCGAAGUUCCUUCCCUUUGAGAGGAAGUAUGUCUCCGUUGGAGCGGUGUGGACGCACAAUGCUCCCCAAGAAGCCACUAGGGCCACCGUAUUCUCCUCACGCCCUCACACAAUGCGAGAUGUCGUGAUUCCACUAUUGGUGCCCUUGGAGGCAGCGACCGAACCUUUACAAACAAGGUCGGGGCAAUCUCCACAACUUAAUUGGAGGCUCCCAACGACACCACAAAGCUUCACCACAAUGGAAUAUGGCUCCGCGGUGAGCUCAACCGUCUAGGGUGCUCAAACACCCAAGAGUAACAAGAUCCGCAAGGGAUUUGUGUGGGGAAUCAAAUUUCUCUUGGUGGAAGUGUAGAUCGGGGCCUUCUCAACCAAUCCCUAGAAAAUCAACAAGUUUGAUUGGCUAGGGAGAGAGAUCGGGCGAAAAUGGAGCUUUGAGCAACAAUGGAGCUUGGAGAGGGAAGAGGUAGUCAACUUGGGGAAGAAGACCCCCCUUAUAUAGUGGGAGGAAAGAUCCAACCGUUACCCACUUAUUCAGCCCGCGACAUGCGGUACUACCGCACAUACCCACGGUACUACCGCUGGCGCGGCAGGGGCCAGACGAGGCCCUGUUGCGUAUAGCUACGAGCGGUAGAACCGCCGGAAUGGUACUACCGCGCGCCCUUGUGGUACUACCGCAAGGCAGGGUUCAAUCUGGGCUGGGAAGGCACGGACUAAUAAAAUUACAUCUGUGGCUACUUCCGCUGAGUAUCGGUCUGUACAAAAAUCCGGCACGGUACUACAGCUCACAGGGAGCAGUACUACCGCGUAGGGUGCGGAAGUAAAAAAUUACUUCCGCCCCUACUUCCGCGCAUGCCAGCGUUCUGGGCUAGAGGCCACUGUACUACCGCUCGCCAGGAGCGGUACUACCGCACAACGCGGUACUACUGCGGCCCUGGGCGGUACUACCGUUGGUCACUGCGGUACUACUGCUCCCCUGAUAUACAGUAGGACUUGGAGGCCUUCAUCUUUGCAAAGACAAGGGAAAACGACCAGUGCUCGAAUGAAGUGAAGGAAAGGUGGUGCAAAGGAACAGAAGUGUACGUGUUGAUUCCACCCUAACCGUUCCGAAGCGGACCCCCUCUUAAUAGUACGGCUUUCCUACGACUCAAAUCCACGGAAAAGAAACGUAGAGAAACGUCGUCUUCAAUAGGCUCCGAGGGGCACCGAAUUGUCUUGUGCCUAGACAUGAGAUAUCUGAAAUGCUCAAUGCACACGAUUAGUCCGCAAAUGCAUUGUCAUCAAUCACCAAAACACCAUAGGGAGAAAUAUGCCCCUACAAUCUCCCCCUUUUUGGUGGAUUGAUGACAAUAUUGGAUUUGCACAUAGGGAUAUAAGAUGAACAUAAGCAAACCCAACAUCUACAAAAUAUAGACAGGCACCCCUAGAUGUGCGCACUCUAUAGAAAUGCUUUGGACUGCACGACACACAUGCUAGGAUCAACACUCCCCCUAUAUUUUAUAAACAAGGCAACCCUUGCAACAAUAUGAAUGACACUAAGCUUGGAGGCAAGGUAAAGUAAUGAGCAUGAAGUACAGGGCACAUGAUAGCAUAAGCUCACAAUCUACUAAACAUAGUAGACAAUAAGAUAAGACAAAAAGAUAAGCUGAGGACAUAUGUCUUACACCAUAUGAUAGACUCCUGGACUCACACAAACACAACCACAAACCAACAAAUCAAAGCAACGAAGGUUCAACAGAACAAAAGCAGAGUGAAACAAGUGAAACAAGACACGAUACAAGACUCGCAAAUCCUACACUCUCUCCCACUUUGGCAACGAGACACCAAAAAGGCAGAGAGGACACCUACGACACAGGUGGUGGUAGAUCUCCAAAGCAUCACCAGUCAUGUUCCUCCUCCUUAGACUCCUCAACGGCACGGGAUGAAGAGGGAACUCCAGACUCCUCCUCUGACUCACUCCACCGGCAGUGUUGUCCGGUCCAUUGCUGCUCAUCUGUGAUCCUCUCCUCAGAGCCAUCCUGGACUUCAAGGCCAACCUGUCUCAUAAUAGCCUUGUCGCGAUGACGAGCCAUCUUGGCGUUCACAUGAGCCUAGUACUGCCCCUUGGCCUGCAUGCAGAACAGAGCCUUCAUCUUGGCCUUGAGCUUCUUAGCCCAAGUUGGCUCAGUAGAGGGAGGAACGUAUCCCUCAGAACUGUCCUCAGACGCCUCUUCCUCCUCAAACUCAUCCUCAUCCACAUCCAUCCUAGCAGCCUCUGCCUCAGCCCGGGUAGUGGUGUUAGCCCACUUGCUCUUGAUGCAUAGCUUAAUAGGCUCAUGGCGAAUAAGCCAGCUGGAAGCAUGAAACUCUUCAUCCAAAAAGAGCUUCUCCCAAGUCUUCGAGAUCAAGAAAAACAGGUAAGGUCCAUAGAUGGGCACCUUACGAUUGAACACAACAAACUGCAGCUCACACCACAUGAUAUGAGAGACAUCAAGUGGUUCCGUCUGUUGGAGACGCGCCUUCUCACAGAUGAGCAUCAUGUCCACAAGAUAGGCAUGCACCUUGUCCUUGUCGCCUAUGCGAGGAAAAAUUGAGUUGCGGAAGAUCCGGUGCAUGAUGUCAAGGAAUAGGUUUAGCACACAGGUCUUCUUGUCAUUGGCAAGCUUCUUCUCAACGAGGUAGGGUUGAAGCUUGUUCUGGUUGGCCGACUCGGGGUUGGCAUGUGGGCGGACACCAACGGGCACAUUGAGCCCCUCAUCACGAACGUGCAACAAUGACAUGAACUCCUUCCACUUAGUAGACAUCCUCUUCCCAUUAGUCAUCCAAGUCAUGGUCCGCUGCUCAUCCGUGUGGAAGUGGACAGAAGCAAAGAACUGAGCCGCAAUCUCCGGGUCAAAGUCCAUGUGGAACGUGAGCAACUCCUCAAUGCCAAAGUGCUCCACCAAGUCCAGAGGCUCACCGAAAUAUGCCCGGUUGCUUUCCUUCUUCAUAUGAUUCAUGUCAAUCCAUUGCACUGGCACAUAGAUGUUCUGCUUGGCCUUGAUCACAUCCAAGAAGAUAACGUUUUGUUGCUUAGUCCAGAACAGGUCAUUACCCCUUGUGAUCUCCCUAGGACUGACGUAGGGUUGAGCUUUCUACGAAGCAGAAACUGCACCUAAGGCAUUUCAUCCAUGCCAACAUUUGGCUCCUUGAUCUUUUUAGCUGACGUCUUGACGUUGCGUUGUGGGGCACUGGAGCCCUCAGGAGCUUCUUGGUUGCGAAGCCGCUUGGAGCUCGUGUCGCGGCUGGGAUUCGAGCGACGGACAUUGGACCCACCACCUAUGAGACACAAAACAAACACGCGAGAAGAACGCGAAGGAUUAUUGCAAAGACCAAGGCCAAAACCAAACGGAACAUGUAGAAAUGAGAUUGAGUGGACAAAACAAGGCAAUUUUUAACUCAACGGUAGUACUGGGCCGGAAUGCGGAUGUAAAAUUUUACAGCCGCUCUAGCCGUGGUAGUACUAUGCCGGGGUGGCACGGGAGUACCGCGCCUGCAGCGGAAGUAAAAUUUUACUUCCGCGCCCCGAGCGGUAGUACCGCUCCAGCGGAGCGGUUCUCGUACGAGCGAGCGGUAGUACCGCACGGAACCACAUCGCGCAAGAACGGCAUCUAUGGAUCUAGAAACAUCCGCAAAAGUAGAUUGGUACUACCAUUGAUAAAAACUACACUGUUGCAUCACACCAAAUAGCAUAUCUACUGCACUAGCACUCUCCUACAACCUCCUGUUGCUAAGAUUUAGCCGAAAAUCACAAGAACUACACAUGCAUCUCCCCAAGACCUAGAAGCACAAAAAAGGGGCAAAGAGAGAGGGACUAGGGGAGAUACCGGGGUCCAUGGCAAGAGGGCGAGGUGGGGAUCGAUCCCACCGGUCGGAAUGCGAGGAGAGCGGCCGGAGACGGAGAUCCGGCGAGGUCCUCCGGCGCUGUUCUUGGGCAGGAGAGAGAGAGAGAGAGACGAAGUGGGGGAAAGAGAUGAAUGGGUAUGGGGGAGUUAGAACUCCCCCUGCUCGCUCUUAACCCCCACGCGCUCGUGACUGCGCGGUAGUACCGCGGGUCAUCUCGGUAGUACCGCCCGGGCGGAAGUACCGCACACGGGGCGGUAGUACCGCUCUUCCAGCGGCAGUAAAAAAUUACUGCCGCAAUGGAAGCGGUAGUACCGUGCCUGGCAUGCCGCUGUGCACGCUCAGGGCAAGCCAUCUCCUGCAGUAGUAUCAUGGCUUGCCACGGUAGUACUGUAAGCCCAAGAAAGUGCAUGUUUGGACAAAAACUGAGAAAACACGGCCUUUGCAAUGCAACCUUCAAGCAACCGGACAUGCAAAAGAGCACACAAACAAGGCAACUCAAAUACAAACACGGCACAAAAGAAGGCAAAAGACAACAAGGACCAAACACGAAACAAAACCCCUCAAAAAGAGAGGGCGGUGGCCGGAGCCACCUAUGUUUGAGUCAAUUGGUAUGGCACCGCGAAGAAUUAUCCUUGGGCCCAUGACCAAAACUCAUCUUUGAAGCACAAGUACCAUAAAAAUGGUUAAUGUGAAAGAGUUGAUCAAUUUAUGCAUAAUGGGGGGAGGGAGAGUUCAUUGAGAGAACAACACUACCCCUGUGUCCAUGCCUACACCUAAACAAGACAUCAAGAUGAGUAUGGUGGGGUGUGCAAGGGUUCAAGCCACAUUGCUCAAAUCAAUGAUAUUUAGCUCAUGCCUUAACUCGCGAAAUCUUGCUUCAUCCAAGGGCUUCGUGAAAAUAUCUGCAAGGUUAUCAUGAGUGUUGACAUAGUUGAGCUCGAUCUCCCCUCGCCUAAUGUGAUCCCGGAUGAAGUGACACCGAAUCUCAAUAUGCUUCGUCUUGAAGUGUUGCACCGGGUUGAGGGAAAUCUUGAUAGCACUUUCAUUGUCACACCAAAGAGGCACUUUGUCACAAAUGACACCGUAAUCCUUUAAAGUUUGCCUCAUCCAUAGAAGUUGAGCACAACAACUACCGGCGGCCACAUACUCCGCUUCGGUGGACGAGAGAGACACACAACUUUGCUUCUUAGAAAACCAACUCACCAAAGAGCAACCAAGAAAUUGGCAUCCUCCGAAAGUUGACUUCCUAUCCACUUUGUCUCCCGCCCAAUCCGAGUCCGAAAAGCCCACAAGGUUGAAGUUAGCUCCUCUUGGGUACCAUAAGCCAAAGUUUGGGGUAUGAGCCAAAUAUCAAAGAUUCGCUUGACCGGCACAUAGUGGCUUUCCUUAGGUGCGGCUUGAAACCAUGCACAAAUUCCCACGCUCAACAUGAUAUCCGGCCUAGAUGCACAAAGGUAAAGCAAGGAGUUAAUCAUGGAGCGAUAUACCUUUUGAUCCAUCGCUUUACCAUUGGGAUCUAUGUCAAGUUGGCAUUUGACGGGCAUCGGAGUGGAAGCCGGCUUGACAUCACUUAGCUUGAAUCUCUUGAGCAUGUCUUGAGUGUAUUUUGCUUGGUUGAUGAAGGUUCCUUCUCUUCUUUGCUUGAUUUCGAACCCGAGAAAGAACUUCAACUCUCCCAUCAUGGACAUCUUGAACUUUGAGGUCAUGAGAGCGGCAAAUUCCUCAUUGAAAGCUUUGUUAGGGGAACCAAAGAUAAUAUUAUCAACAUAUAGUUGGCAUACAAACAACUCCCCUUUGACCUUCUUAGUAAAAAGAGUGGGGUCGAUUUUCCCAAUUUCAAACCCACAAUCUUGCAACAACUCGGUAAGGUGCUCAUACCACGCAUGUGGGGCUUUCUUAAGGCCAUAGAGUGCCUUAUCGAGUUGGUACACAUGAUUGGGGAACUCGGGAUCCUCAAACCCCGGGGGUUGUUUGACAUACACCAACUCAUUAAUAGGACCAUUAAGAAAAGCACUCUUCACAUCCAUUUGUUGUAACUUGAAGUUAUGAUGAGAAGCAUAAGCAAUCAACAAACGAAUAGAUUCAAGGCGAGCAACGGGAGCAAAGGUUUCACCGUAGUAGAUACCCUCGACUUGGGAGUAGCCUUGUGCUACCAAACGAGCCUUGUUGCGAACGAUAAUCCCAUGAGCAUCUUGCUUGUUCUUGAAUAUCCACUUGCUUCCAAUGACAUUAUGGUUCCCCUUGGGCCUUGGCACCAAUCUCCACACCUUGUUGUGCUCGAAGUUGUUGAGUUCUUCAUGCAUGGCAUUAAGACAAUCCGGAUCCUCGAGCGCCUCAUAGACCUUUUGGGGUUCCACACAAGAAACAAACGUGUGAUGUUCAUGAUAGUUUGCUAAUUGUCUACGAGUGCUUACCCCCUUUCUUAAGCUUCCAAGCACAUUUGUCAUGAGAUGAUCUUUGGUAGUGAGCUUGGAUGCAAUCUUGGCGGUACGACGCUCCAAUUCCUCCUCGGGAGAGAGUUGAGGAGCAGUAACUUGAUCAUCUUGAGCGUCGUCUUGAGCUUGUUCUUGAUCUUGAGCUUGCUCUUGAUCUUGAACUUGAUCGGUGGUGAGAACUUGACCUUGGGAAUCACUUGGUGAUUCACCACCAUCUUGAGGUUGAUCUUGCCCUUGAUCUUGUUCAUUUGUUUGAGGGCCUUCACUUUGUUCUUCGGAAGCGUGUGGGUCUUGGGUUGGUGAUGGUUCCACUUGAGUGGAACAUUGUCCUUCUCCUUCGGCCACAAGGGGUUCCUUAAUGGGUAGGAUAUGACCAACACCCAUUCUUCUUAUGGCUUGGGGAGGAAUUUCAUCACCUACAUCACAAGUACCACUUUGCUCCACUUGGGAGCCAUUAUUUUCAUCAAACUCCACGUUACACGUCUCCUCAAUGAGUCCGGUGGACUUGUUGAGGACACGGUAAGCAUGGGAGUUUGUAGCAUAACCAAAAAAUAUGCCCUCAUGAGCUCUAGCCUCAAAUUUAGACAAAUCAACACCUUUCUUGAGAAUGAAACACUUACACCCGAACACCCAGAAGUACUUGAGGUUGGGCUUGUUACCGGUGAGUAUCUCAUAUGGAGUCUUCUUCAAGCCUUUGCGGAGAUAGAGCCGAUUGGAUGCAUGACAAGCGGUGUUGAUGGCUUCGGCCCAAAAGUUGUAUGGGGACUUGAACUCCGCCAUCAUGGUCCUUGUCGCAUCCAUCAACGUCCGGUUCUUCCUCUCCGCUACACCAUUUUGUUGAGGGGUGUAAGGUGCGGAAUAUUGAUGCUUGAUCCCCUCAUCACUAAGAAACUCAUCCAAGGUGUAGUUCUUGAACUCGGUGCCGUUGUCACUUCUUAUCGUCAAGAUCUUUGCAUUGUGCUGACGUUGAGCUUCAUUUGCAAAGUCGAUGACGGUUUGUUGGGUCUCACUCUUCCUCUUGAAGAAAUAUACCCAAGUGUAUCUUGAAUAAUCAUCCACAAUCACCAAGCAAUACUUUCUACCCCCAAGACUAUCAAAGGAUGGAGGCCCAAACAGAUCCAUGUGAAGGAUCUCCAAGGGCCUCUUCAAGUAGAAUGAUAGUCAUGGGAGGGUGAGCCUUCUCAUGUAGCUUUCCUUCGAUACAAGUACUGCAGGCACGAUCUUUGGCAAAACUAACAUUGGUUAGUCCAUGGACAUGGUCCCGCUUGAGAAGACUUUGCAAAGAUCUCAUAUUGGCGUGGGCUAAACGGCGAUGCCAAAGCCAUCCCACGUCAACUUUAGCCAUUAGGCAUGUCGCAGUCUUAGUGGGUCGCUCCGAAAAGUUAAUCACAUAUAGACCGUCCUCGACAUGCCCAACAAAGGCUACUUUAAGAGUCUUGCUCCACAAGAGGGCCACGGUAUCAAUAUCAAAGAAAGUGGCAAAGCCCAUGAAUGCAAGUUGACAAACGGAAAGUAAGUUGUAUGCAAGGGACUCAACAAGCAUGACUUUCUCGAUCGUGAGAUCAUGAGAAAUGACAACCUUGCCAAGCCCCAAUACCUUAGAGGACGAGGCGUCACCCCACUCGACAUUGGUGGGCGUAGAUGAGACCUUGUGCACGUCCACCACCAAGUCCUUGCUUCCGGUCAUAUGAUUUGUGGCUCCACUAUCGAGCAACCAUGAUCCCCCACCGGAAGGAAACACCUAUAAGAGAUCAAUGCUUGGUUUUAGGUACCCAUUUUGUAAUGGGUCCUUUGAUGUUAGUAACAAGGGUCUUAGGAACCCAAAUAGACCAUUCAAUGUACUCAUAAGGAGAACAGGCAUAAACAUGCCCAUCACUAGCAUGGCAUAGCACAUAAGAAGGGUUAAAGUCGCCGGCUUUGUUGGAAGGAGUGGCAAUGCCCUUCUUGACACCACCACCCUUCACAUUGUUCUUCUUCUCCUUGGAAGCACCCUCUCCCUCCUUCACAAAAGUUUGCUUGAGAGGAAGAGGUUGUUUGGCCUUGUCAUUCUUCUUCUUGUUCUUGGACUUGGGUGUAAACCUAAUUCCCUCCUUUUCCACAACUUCCUUUUGAUUGCUCAAAAGAUCGUUGAGGUUUUUCUCACCUUGUAUGCAAGACACAAGGCCUUUCUCAAGUUGCUCCUUCAACUUGGCAUUCUCCUCCACAAGAUGCACAUGCUCACAACACGGGUUAGUAGCAUUUGCAUUAUCAAUUAAGACCAUAUGAGGAAAUGUGGCUUUCUCCUUGGUUAGCUUCACUUGGAGUUGAUCAUGAGACUCCUUCAGGCUAGCAUGAGCACCCUUCAAGGCCUUGUGAGCCUUGUCAAGUAUAUCAAACUCCUCCUUGAGUCUAGCAUGAUCAACCCCAAGUUUAGCCUUCUCGGAUUGAGCACACGAGAUACAACAAGAGCACGAUCAAGAUCUUUCUUUAAUUUAGUAUGAUCAUCAUUGUGUGACUCCUCAAGAGCCAAACGAUGACCACGCUCUUCCUCGAGCGCAUUAGAGAGAUCCGAUAUCUCAUCGGCAUAAUCACGACUAUGUCCUUCCAUCUUAGAGAUGGUUUCUUCGUGAGCCUCGAUCAUGUCAUUGGCUUCACCAAGUUGUUCCAAGAGAGCAACAAAGUGCUUCUUGGAUUUACCCUCGAGCUUACUCAUAAAAGACUCAAAUUCAUUAACUUCCUCAUUAGACCCCUCACUUUCAUCAAUGCAAUCCGUCAAGGAAGGAUUAGUAGUGAUGGUAGUUUUUAUGUUGGGGGUUACCUUGUUGGUGGCUUUGGCCAUGAGGCACUUGGCGGUGAUGUUCUCGUUGGGUGAGUCAAAGAGGGACACCCGUGGAGUUGUGGCAAUGGCAACGGAGGCCAUGGCAACCGUCUCACCGUAUUCAUCAUCAUCAUCAUCCUCAUUGUACUCUUCUUGUACCACCAAUCCCUUGGGAGGAGUCUUCUUGGUGAAGUUGUUCUUGUUGGGGAAGGACUUGGCCUUGUCUUUUCGGAUAAGCUUGCCACCAUUGUCUUCCCGCUUCUCGUAUGGGCACUCCGCAACAAAGUGGCUCACGUUGCCACAAUUAUAGCAUGUCCUCACAUGUUGCUUGCCUUUGGCGCCACUUGAGUUGUUCUUGUUGAAGUUGGGCCUUCAGUUCUUCUUGCUCCAAAAUUGCCUUGAAGCGAGAACCAUGUGCUCAUGAUAAGCAUAUUUUGUAUCUUCGGGGUUACUCUCCUCUUCUUCCUCUUCGUCCUCUUCUUCCACACUAGCCUUGGACUUCAAAGCAAGGUUGGGUUUCUUUACUCGCUGAGAGCGCAACACCACAUUGUCGGCGGUCUUGUCCAAGAUUCUCAUAGCAACAAACUCAUCCAACGCUUCACUUGAGGACAAGGUAUGAAAGUCCGGCCUUUGAUGGAUGACAUGGCCUUAUGGUAGGGCAUCAUGGCCUUGAGAAACUUGCGCUUGAUCCAAUUUUCAUCCGUAUCCUUUCUCCCAUGAUCUCGGAGUGAGACCGCGAGAGUGGUUAAUCUCCGGUAGAGCUCACGAGGUUCUUCAUCUUCAUUCAUCGCAAACUCAUCGGCUUCAUCUUGCACCACUUCAUAGUUGGAGUGUUGAAUGCUUGCGCUUCCCUUGUAAAUGGAAACAACAUGUUGCCAUGCUUCCUUGGCCACGGUGAAAGGUCGGAGAUGCGCAAUAUCUUCGGGUGGAAUUGCAUCUUGGAUAAUGAAGCGAGCGGACUCGUUGAAUUGAUGAUCCGCGGCUUCUCUAGGAGUGAGGUUGCUUGGGUCAUGUGGGUAGAAACCUUGCGCAAUAAUUCUCCAAAGAUUAGUAGAAGUAUUAUUUAAAUGACGCUUAAAACGGUAGACCCAAGAGGCAAAAUCCUCAUUUUUCACAAACUUAGGAGGAGGACCAACGUGAUUCAAAUGAGUGGAGGGAACUGGUCCUCCAUAAGUAAGGGGUGGUUCAACAUGGGCAAAGAUGUCGUUUCCACUUCUACCACUAGGCAAAGGAACUUUAUCACUAGUAGCUUCCCCCCUUGUCGGAGUUAGCAUCCGUCACCUUGUUAGUGAGAUCGACCACUUCCAACGGUGCGGUGGAUAAUUUAAGACCAUCAAGAAACUCCUUAAACAUGCCUUUGACCUCGGUCGUCAUGGAGGUUUUCAAUGUGUCCAAAGCCGCAUUGAAUUCCUCGCGAGAGACCGAGGAUCCCCCAUCGGCCCUAGACAAGGACGGAUUCGCACCGGGGUGCUCCUCCCCACCGUCUACGGUGUCAACCAUACUCUUCGGACGGCAAUGUCCUUAAUAAAGAGACGAGGCUCUGAUACCAAUUGAAAGGAUCGAUAUAGUUGACUAGAGGGGGGUGAAUAGGCAACUAACAAUUUUUAGCUUUUCUUUAUCAAAUUAAACUUUGCAUCAAAGUAGGUUGUCUAGAUAUGCAACUAGGUGAGCAACCUAUAUGAUGCAGCACCAACAACAAGCACACAAGCAAGCAAGGGAUACAACACAAUAUAAGCUUGCACAAGUAAAGGUGAGAGAUAACCACGAGUGGAGCCGGUGGAGACGUGGGUGUGUUACCGAAGUUCCUUCCCUUUGAGAGGAAGUAUGUCUCCGUUGGAGCGGUGUGGAGGCACAAUGCUCCCCAAGAAGCCACUAGGGCCACCGUAUUCUCCUCACGCCCUCACACAAUGCGAGAUGCCGUGAUUCCACUAUUGGUGCCCUUGGAGGCGGCGACCGAACCUUUACAAACAAGGUUGGGGCAAUCUCCACGACUUAAGUGGAGGCUCCCAACGACACCACGAAGCUUCACCACAAUGGAAUAUGGCUCCACGGUGACCUCAACCAUCUAGGGUGCUCAAACACCCAAGAGUAACAAGAUCCGCAAGGGAUUAGUGGGGGGAAUCAAAUUUCUCUUGGUGGAAGUGUAGAUCGGGGCCUUCUCAACCAAUCCCUAGAAAAUCAACAAGUUUGAUUGGCUAGGGAGAGAGAUCGGGCGAAAAUGGAGCUUUGAGCAACAAUGGAGCUUGGGGAGGGAAGAGGUAGUCAACUUGGGGAAGAAGACCCCCCUUAUAUAGUGGGAGGAAAGAUCCAACCGUUACCCACUUAUUCAGCCCGCGACAUGCGGUACUACCGCACAUACCCACGGUACUACCGCAAGGGCAUGCGGUACUACCGCUAGGCGGUGCGGUACUACCGCUGGCGCUGCAGGGGCCAGACGAGGCCCUGCUGCGCAUAGCAACGAGCGGUAGAACCGCCAGAGCGGUACUACCACGUGCCCUUGCGGUACUACCGCAAGGCAGGGUUCGAUCUGGGCUGGGAAGGCAUGGACUAAUAAAAUUACAUCCGUGGCUACUUCUGCUGAGUAUCGGUCUGUGUGAAAAUCCGGCAUGGUACUACAACUCACAGGGAGCGGUACUACCGCGUAGUGUGUGGAAGUAAAAAAUUACUUCCGCCCCUACUUCCGCGCAUGCCAGCGUUCUGGGCUAGAGGCCACGGCCCUGGGCGGUACUACCGUGGGUCACUGCGGUACUACUGCUCCCCUGAGCAGUACUACCGCAUGCCACAGAACAGUAGCACUUGGAGGCCUUCAUCUUCGCAAAGACAAGGGAAAACGACAUGUGCUCUAAUGAAGCAAAGGAAAGGUGGUGCAAAGGAACAGAAGUGUACGUGUUGAUUCCACCCAAACCUUUCCAAAGCGGACCCCUCUUAAUAGUACAGCUUUCCUACGACUCAAAUCUACCGAAAAGAAACGUAGAGAAACGCCGUCUUUGAUAGGCUCCGAGGGGCACCGAAUCGUCUUGUGCCUAGACAUGAGAUAUCUGAAAUGCUCAAUGCACACGAUUAGUCCGCAAAUUCAUUGUCAUCAAUCACCAAAACAACAUAGGGAGAAAUAUGCCCUUACACACAUGUCUAAUGAAACUAUUCUAGGUCUAAAUGAAAUAUUUUUCUUGUAGGUGCUUAUUUCGAUGACUCUUUACAAAAUUACAACUUAGCAGUUUUGCCCAACACCUGUUAUGUUCCCGAAAGAACUUGAUUUUUUUGUUGAUUAUACUUUUCUAGAAUUAGAAAUCAUAUUACCAUGUUGUAAGUACAAACACCAAUAAUUUUUCCCUAUUGUCAAUAGGGAUAUCAGAGGGGGGAUGUACUAGGUCUCGUCACCAUUAUAAUGUUUGGCACAUUACACAAGACGCUUUUUUCAGAAAGAGUGUUUUGUAUAGUGUCGCCGAAAUGUCAUGGUGAUAAUGACAUUAUGUUUUAGGUGUAGUCGAAAAAAAUCUGUAAAGAAGAGGAAGGGUCAAGAGGAGACACCAGCUACUCAAGACGACAAUUCUUGUCUUCGGCAUUCAUAAUUGCACCUUCCUUUUAAAUACCGAUUAUGUGUUGUUGUCUUUUGAACUUCUUAUUUAGAGGCACAUUGGUACUGAAGAUGAAGACAUUGCCGACAAUAGGUCUUGGGAUGUAUAAUUAUUCUAAGCAAGUUUCAUUUAGUUCAAUCAUACUCGUGUUUUAAUUCCAAAUCAUUACUUUCUAAUAAAUUAUUUAUGUUGGAACAAAUAAUGCAUUCUGGGACACUAGAAAAUAAGGAUCGGGUUAUAGUUCCUCCACGGUGCAUCACUUCUAGUGUGCAUAAUUUGAGCACAUGCGAAAAUACUUAAAAAGAGAUCUACUAGAGACGACAUGAAGAGGCGAGAUGAGUAGACUACUCAUGACGAUGACAUAGUAUAAGCACAUCACAUUGACAUGCAACUCUUAAGCGUGCCGGAGAAAUUAGUCGGCAUUUGAACAAAGACAAGGGAACUAUAACUCUACAAGUCUACAAAAUAUAGUUGAUUUCUGUUCUCAUAUGUGACCGUGUGUUCGUUGAUUUUUGUUACCUACACUAAAUUUUCCUAUCCUACACUAAAAUAUGUUCACGAAUAAAAAGCAUAACAAAGUAUAAGAUAGGUUAAGGGAUCUUGUCUUUGUCGAAUUCAACUCUAGCAUGAAGCAUCAGAGAGAGAAGAAGAAUAGAGACCCCAUAGAGAAGACCAUUGAUGAUGUUCUGGAGGAUGAAGACAAUGAGUUCAUUAUUGGGAUUGUCUCAAUGAUAAUGUCUGCAAACAUUUUGGUAAUCAAGCUCAAGCUCAACAAGAGACAUCAGCAUCACAAGCACACACAAGAACGAAGAUGUUUGCACCAUCUAGGAAUAAGAGGAAAAGAGCAUGCACUCUAUUCUUAAUAGCAUCGUAGAAGACCCCAUGCUUUCUACUUCUUCCAGUUCUUUGUAUUCAGAAUCAGAAGAUAAUCAAGCUAUUCCAAGAUGAGUCUCACUCGGCCUAUGCCGACAGACUAAUUCAAUGUUUGCAUUGCACUAUGCAACUAUAAGGUUUUUUGUUUCUAGUUUGUAAUCAUAUUGUUCUUGUGUGCAGGUGUGCCUUUAGUCCUACCAGUUGCUAGACCGGAAUAUGUCCAAGUUAUGUACCUUUUGUUGUCUAAGUCAUGUAGUAGACUGGAUCAUCUCGAGCUAUGUACUUUGCAGGUUUGCGUCUUGUUGGGUGCAAGUUAUGUACUUAAUUUGCUAUGGCUGGGUGUUAUGUUAGCUGGAUGUUAUGUGCUAGGGCAUCCUGUAGUUAUGUAAAAGUUAUGCACUGAAUAUUGCUUUGGCUGGGUGUUAUAUUGGUUGACAUACAUGCAUCAAAAACUAUGUUUCGGGCAAGUGAUAUCAAAUAACAUGUGGUUGUUUGUGCUAGUUGCUAGUAGCCAUAUGUGAUUGAAAUAUUUAUCCGUGACAUAUACAUGUGACAAUCCUAUAUGAUAUCCGACUGUAUCACUAUUAUUUUUCAUGAUUUGGCGUUAGAUAAGGGCAUAGCCUGCUACACUAGCUUUUUAGGGAAUGGCCAACACUACAUGCUCGACCUCUGCCCCAGCUAUCACAUCGGCUCAAUCAGUACAUCUCAAAUAAAAGGUGUUGUCUACAUAGGCUAACAGGAUCUUGCGGAGGAGCUCGGUUCUUCACCGACAAAAGUGUUUAAAUGGUAGUGGUUGAGGCACUGCAUGCUAAUAUGUUUUUUUAUUGGGAGAGAUCAUGAAGAAAAGGGAAUGAACUAGUAACGAGAGACUAAGAAAGGGACCACUACUACCAUUGAGUAACGGUUUGUUUGGAUAGCAGCUUCAAAACAAAUGUAUCUGUGGAAUGCACUAGGCAAGGUGCUGGCCCCAUAGGUCAUGUCCGGGCAUCUCCAAUAGCAGCCUUAUUUCUGGGCACAAAACAGGGUGUUAUAAAGAAAAAUGGGCAUGAUAACACGUUUUUGGCACAACAAGGCGCCGUCUUCAACAGCUGCCCUAAAAUAGGGCACAACUGCUCCAAUAGCUUCCUUAAAAUAGGGCACCACGCCACAAAUUUGUUCUCCACAAUUGCAUAUGUAUUAAACAAAAUAUGAACUUUGAAGAGAAUUUAACUUUGCAAGAUCACUGCACACUGCUACCUCUUGAGCACUGCGUUGGUUUUCCCUUGAAGAGGAAAGGGUGAUGCAGCAAAGUAGCGUAAGUAUUUCCCUCAAUUUUUGAGAACCAAGGUAUCAAUCCGGUAGGAGGCCACGCACGAGUCCCUCGCACCUACACAAACAAAUAAAUCCUCGCAACCAACGCGAUAAGGGGUUGUCAAUCCCUACAGGUCACUUACGAGAGUGAGAUCUGAUAGAUAUGAUAAGAUAAUAUUUUUGGUAUUUUUGUGAUAAAGAUGCAAAAGAAAAUAAAAGGCAACGGAAAUAGCUAAGUGUUGGAAGAUUAAUAUGAUGGAAAAUAGACCCGGGGCCAUAGGUUUCACUAGUGGCUUCUCUCGAGAGCAUAAGUAUUUUACGGUGGGUGAACAAAUUACUGUUGAGCAAUUGACAGAAUUGAGCAUAGUUAUGAGAAUAUCUAGGUAUGAUCAUGUAUAUAGGCAUCACGUCCGAGACAAGUAGACCGACUCCUGCCUGCAUCUACUACUAUUACUCCACACAUCGACCGCUAUCCAUCAUGCAUCUAGAGUAUUAAGUUCAUAAGAACAGAGUAACGCUUUAAGAAAGAUGACAUGAUGUAGAGGGAUAAACUCAUGCAAUAUGAUAUAAACCCCAUCUUGUUAUCCUCGAUGGCAACAAUACAAUACGUGCCUUGCUGCCCCUACUGUCACUGGGAAAGGACACUGCAAGAUUGAACCCAAAGUUAAGCACUUCUCCCAUUGCAAGAAAGAUCAAUCUAGUAGGCCAAACCAAACUGAUAAUUCGAAGAGACUUGCAAAGAUAACCAAUCAUACAUAAAAGAAUUCAGAAGAUUCAAAUAUUGUUCAUAGAUAAACUUGAUCAUAAACCCACAAUUCAUCGGUCUCAACAAACACACCGCAAAGGAAGAUUACAUCGAAUAGAUCUCCACAAGAGAGGGGGAGAACAUUGUAUUGAGAUCCAAAAAGAGAGAGGAAGCCAUCUAGCUAAUAACUAUGGACCCGAAGGUCUGAGGUAAACUACUCACACAUCAUCGCAGAGGCUAUGGUGUUGAUGUAGAAGCCCUCCGUGAUCGAUGCCCCCUCCGGCGGAGCUCCGGAACAGGCCCCAAGAUGGGAUCUCACGGGUACAGAAGGUUGCGGCGGUGGAAUUAGGUUUUUGGCUCCGUAUCUGGUAGUUUGGGGGUACGUAGGUAUAUAUAUAGGAGGAAGGAGUACGUUGGUGGAGCAACGUGGGGACCACGAGGGUGGAGGGCGCGCCCAGGGGGGUAGGCGCGCCCCCCUACCUUGUGGCUUCCUGGUAGCUUUCUUGACAUAGGAUCCAAGUCCUCUAGAUCAUGUUCAUUCCGAAAAUCACGUUCCCGAAGGUUUCAUUCCGUUUGGACUCCGUUUGAUAUUCUUUUUCUGCGAAACUCUGAAAUAGGCAAAAAAAACAGCAAUUCUGGGCUGGGCCUCCGGUUAAUAGGUUAGUCCCAAAAAUAAUAUAAAAGUGUAUAAUAAAGCCCAAUAAUGUGCAAAACAGAAGAUAAUAUAGCAUGGAGCAAUCAAAAAUUAUAGAUAUGUUGGAGACGUAUCACACACGUAAUCAAAAACAUAUUGAAUUGAACUACAAAUCCAUCCAUCAUUUUUUUCGCCCUUCUUCUCGUUCAAUACACAUCUAAAUAAAACAUGACAUUCAUAAUUAGGUUGAAUCAAGGUAUUUGUGACAUACAUAAUUAUAUGAUUCGACAAAAUAAUACCAUAUUACAUUUAGUAACUAAUCAAACUAUAAAAUAAAGGGUUUAGGGUUUGUGGCACACCUCCAACGUGGGGUGGCCUUUGUAUUAUAUAGGGAGUACAUCAUCGUGUACAAAUACAAUUACAACUAUAAUACAUGUAGCCCCAGUAUAUACAGAGUCUAACACCCUCCCUCAAUCUCAACCGUGCUCAGAAGAAUUUACUAGGUUGAGAUUGCGCCUACAGCCUUCAAACUGAGGAAGAGGCAUUGGCUGGGUGAAGAUGUCAGCAAGUUGAUCCUUUGAAGGGAUGAACUUGAUAAGAAGCAGCUUCUGGGCAACACGUUCUCUGACAAAGUGGUAAUCAACUUCGAUGUGUUUUUUCGGGCAUGGAAUACUGGAUUCGAAGACAGAUACGUAGCACCGAUGUUAUCACACCAAAGAACAGGAGGUUGCUCCUGAGAGAUCCUCAACUCUCGAAGCAAGGACUGUAUCCAAAUCAGCUCAGCUGUGGCAUUUGCAACUGCUUUGUACUCAGCCUCAGUGCUACUGCGGGACACUGUUGCUUGUUUACGAGCACUCCAGGCGAUCAAGUUAGCACCAAGGAACACUGCAUAGCCCCCCGUUGAUCGCCUGUCAUCCGGAUUCCCAACCCAGUCUGCAUCAAAGAACGCGGAAAGAGCUCCAGAGGUCGCCGGUUGCAGGUGCAAGCCAUAAGAAGUAGUCAACCGAAUAUAGCAUAAUAUACGCUUAACAGCAGUCCAAUGAGAAUCUCGAGGUGCAUGCAGAAAUUGACAAACACGGUUGACAGCAUAAGAGAUAUCCGGACGAGUGAUAGUCAAGUACUGCAGACCACCAACAAUACUGCGAUACUCAGUGGCCUCAUCAGCACAAAGAAGUGAACCAUCGAGAGCAGACAGUUUGUCAGUAGAAGACAUAGGUGUAGUAGCAGUCUUGCACUUGAGCAUACCAGCACGUCAAAGAACAUCAAGAGAAUACUUCUGCUGAGUCAGUGUCAAACCAGAACCAGAGUACGAGACCUCCAGACCAAGAAAAUAGUGCAGCUUCCCAAGAUCCUUAACCGCAAAAUCAGCACGCAAGGAAGAAACCAAGCGAUCCGCAGCGAACACCGAGGAGCUGACAAGAAUGAUAUCAUCAACGUAGACUAGCAGAUACAUAGUAAUUGUAGGACGCUGAAGAAGAAACAGCGAGGUGUUAGCCGUAGAUGGAACAAAACCAUGAGCCCGAAGAGUGGUGCCAAGACGUGCAUGCCAAGCACGCGGAGCCUGCUUCAGACCAUAGAGCGCCUUAACAAGGCGACACAGAUGCUGUGGACGAGCUGGAUCAACAAAGCCAGGAGGCUGACGCAUAUAGACCUCCUCCUCUAGUGCACCAUGAAGAAAAGCAUUCUGGACAUCAAGUUGGUGAAGAGACCAUCCACGAGUAACAGCCAGUGAGAGCAAAAGGCGAAUGGUAGUGGGUUUAACCACCAGAUCGAAGGUAUCCUCAUAAUCAAGACCCUGGCGCUGUUUGAAUCCUUUAGCAACCAGGCGAGCCUUGUAUCUCUCAAUAGAACCAUCGGCAUAUCGCUUAACCUUAAAAACCCACUUGGAAUCAAUAACAUUGACACCCUCCUUGGGAGGAACUAAACACCACGUACCAUUCUGAAGAAGAGCUUGGUAUUCUUGUUCCAUCGCAAGAUGCCAGUGAGGAAUGCUCAUAGCUGCCUGAAAAUGCCAUGGUUCAGCAGUAGGAUCCGCAUGUGCCUGCGCCAUGCAAGUCGCGAGCCAGGCAACAGUACCGUCCGUGCGCUUCUUCGGUUGAACCAUACCACUCUUGCUGCGUGUAUGAGGACGCUGAACAGGAGCUGGGGCCGAUGGUGGUGAAGGCGCCGGCGACAGCGGCAAGGAAACCGCAACCUCAGGAGAGGCCAACGGCGAGGUAGCCGGUGGAGGCGUGGACGACGUCGACGCAGCAGGAGUCGGCAGCCCAGUGGAGGGCGAGGCCGACCCAGGCGAGCUUGGCGUACAGGGCCUCACAGGCGAGGCCGGCCCAGGCGAGCUCGGCGUAGCGGGCCGGACAGGCGAGGCCGGCCCAGGCGAAGUCGACGGGGAGGGCCGGGCGGGCGACGCGGCCGGCGGGGGACUCCCAAGCCCAGGUGUGGAAGGCGAGGCAGUCCGUUGGGCUAGGGCGCUGUUGGCUGGCGGGCAGGUGAUACGUCUCCAACGUAUCUAUAAUUUAUGAAGUAUUCAUGCUAUUAUAUUAUCCAUCUUGGAUGUUUAAUGGGCCUUACUAUGCACUUUUAUAUUAUUUUUGGGACUAACUUAUUAACCCAGAGCCCAGUGCCAGUUUCUGUUUUUCUCCUUGUUUCAGUGUUUCGCAGAAAAGGAAUAUCAAACGGAGUCCAAACGGAAUGAAACCUUCGGGAAAGUUAUUUUUGGAAUGGAAGCAAUAAAGAAGACUUGGAGUAUAUGUAAGGGAAGCAACAAGGAAGGCACGAAGCAGGGGGGCGCCCACCCCCCUGGGCGCGCCCUCUACCCUCGUGGGCCCCUCGUGGCUCCCCUGACCGACUUCUUUUGCCUAUAUAUGUCCAUAUACCCUAAAACCAUCGGGGAGCAGAAUAUAUCGGGAGUUCCGCCGCCGCAAGCCUCUGUAGCCACCAAAAACCAAUCGGGACCCUGUUCCGACACCCUGCCGGAGGGGGGAUCCCUCACCGGUGGCCAUCUUCAUCAUCCCGGCGCUCUCCAUGACGAGGAGGGAGUAGUUCACCCUCGGGGCUGAGGGUAUGUACCAGUAGCUAUGUGUUUGAUCUCUCUCUCUCUCUCUCUCGUGUUCUUGAGGUGAUACGAUCUUGAUGUAUCGCGAGCUUUGCUAUUAUAGUUGGAUCUUAUGAUGUUUCUCCCCCUCUACUCUCUUGUAAUGGAUUGAGUUUUCCCUUUGAAGUAAGCUUAUCGGAUUGAGUCUUUAAGGAUUUGAGAACACUUGAUGUAUGUCUUGCCGUGCUUAUCUGUGGUGACAAUGGGAUAUCACGUGAUCCACUUGAUGUAUGUUUUGGUGAUCAACUUGCGAUUUCCGCCCAUGAACCUAUGCAUAGGGGUUGGCACACGUUUUCGUCUUGACUCUCCGGUAGAAACUUUGGGGCGCUCUUUGAAGUUCUAUGUGUUGGUUGAAUAGAUGAAUCUGAGAUUUUUUGAUGCAUAUCGUAUAAUCUUACCCACGGAUACUUGAGGUGACAUUGGAGUAUCUAGGUGACAUUAGGGUUUUGGUUGAUUUGUGUCUUAAGGUGUUAUUCUAGUAUGAACUCUUGAAUAGAUCGAUCCGAAAGAAUAACUUUGAGGUGGUUUCGUACCCUACCAUAAUCUCUUUGUUUGUUCUCCGCUAUUAGUGACUUUGGAGUGACUCUUUGUUGCAUGUUGAGGGAUAGUUAUAUGAUCCAAUUAUGUUAUUAUUGUUGAGAGAACUUGCACUAGUGAAAGUAUGAACCCUAGGCCUUGUUUCCUAGCAUUGCAAUACCGUUUGCGCUCACUUUUAUCGCUUAGUUACCUUGCUGUUUUUAUAAUUUCAGAUUACAAAAACCUAUAUCUACUAUCCAUAUUACACUUGUAUCACCAUCUCUUCGUCGAACUAGUGCACCUAUACAAUUUACCAUUGUAUUGGGUGUGUUGGGGACACAAGAGACUCUUUGUUAUUUGGUUGCAGGGUUGUUUGAGAGAGACCAUCUUCAUCCUACGCCUCCCACGGAUUGAUAAACCUUAGGUCAUCCACUUGAGGGAAAUUUGCUACUGUCCUACAAACCUGUGCACUUGGAGGCCCAACAACGUCUACAAGAAGAAGGUUGUGUAGUAGACAUCAAGCUCUUUUCUGGCGCCGUUGCCGGGGAGGCUAGGUAAGCGGCAUUCACACCCCAUCAACUAAGCUCUUUUCUGGCGCCGUUACCGAGGAGGUGAGUGCUUGAAGGUAUAUCUUUAGAUCUUGCAAUCGAAUCUUUUUGGUUCCUAUUUUAUCACUAGUUUAGUCUAUAAAAUAAAACUACAAAAAAAUGGAAUUGAGUUUGUCUCAUACGCUUCAUCUUUUUAAUAUCUUUCAUGAGAAUGAUGGGAAGGAAAAAUGUGCUCAAGUGCUAGAAGAAGAAGUCUAUAAAAUGUUUGGCACUAAAUCUUUGAAUGAUGAGCAUGAUUGCAAUGUUGUUAGUAUGAACUUCUUGAAUAUCCAUAGUACUAAUGAUGAUUGCACUAGUCAUGAUGAAAAUAUCUCUUACAAGCAUGUCGAUUUUUGUGGAGUGCAUAGAGUUUGCAAGUACAUACCAAAUAGAGAAGAUAGAUUUUGCAAGAGGCAUAAGUAUUUAGAAACUAAAUGGUUGCAAGAAAGGCUAGAUGUUUGUGCUGAAAAUUUAAAUUUUCUUAGCCAUACUUGUGAACUUUGCAAUGAACGUGGUCAUUUAACUAUCCGAUGCAAAUUGUUUCAUGAUCUAAUCGUUUCCAAAAAUUGUGAUGAAUUGAUUUCCCUUGCACAUCAUAAUGAACUUAGUUUGCUUAUGGGUUAUGAAGAAAUGAAACGUAUAACUAACUAUCUUCCAGUAUUUGCCCGUGAUAAACUUCUUGAUUUUGAUCUAGAGGAAAUUUAUAUGUAUUGUGCGGUGAAUUGCAUUGAAAAUCCUUAUAUUGCCAAUUACAUAAAGAAAAGAAAGCAAAUAGAAGAUGAAGAGAAUACUAAUGAAAGGGAAGAGACUUCCCAAUAUCCUCCUAUUAUUUCUUAUGAUGAAUCAGGUAACGAGGAGGAGCCUUCUAUUCAACCAAUCUCAUUAAUAAGGAGCACCAAAAAGAGGAUUGAACCCACACAUGAUGUGGUGAAGAAGAAGAAAAGAAAAAGGAAGAGAGGUAAAAAGAUAUCUCUCCCAAAUAAUGUUGCUCCUAUUAUUGUUGUGCCUCAUGAAAAUGAAUCAAAAAUAAUUGUGGAAGAUGAUGCACUUGAUGAUGAUCUCGUUAUGCCUAUUGCUUGUUGUGAUGAUUAUGAUUGGGAAGAUAAUGAUACUUCUUAUGAUCAUGAAAAUCUUUUUGGCACUUGCUUGGAAAAAUAUGAUAAUAAUGUUUAAUAUAUUAUUGGUGAUAUCCAUACUAUUAAUGAUGAGAGUGAUUAUGCUUAUGAUAUGAAAAGGCCCAAGCUUGGGGAUGCUAUGUUUGAUGAGAAUGACAUGUUUGAGAAUAUUUUGCUGAAAUUAAUGUUUGUCCCAAUCUUGGGGAUGCUACGUUUAAUGAAGAUGAUAUUUUUAGCCUCCCAAGUUUUGAUGAGCAAAUUUAUUAUGAGGAUAGCAUGGCUCCUACUUAUGAUGAUUAUAUUGAUGAAAGUGGGUUUGGAAGAGUGUCAACUUUAGGAAGUAAGGAUCCCAUAUUUUGGAGGACGUUGAAUCUUAUUGUGAUGAAUAUGAAAGUGGAUUUGGAGACGUCAUGACUUUAUUUAGUGAUGAUUCCACUAUCUUGGAAGAGGUUUCAAUCGAUUAUGAUGAGAACAAAGUUGCUACUUAUGAUGAUUAUUGUGAUGAAACUUAUGCUAUAAAAAGUAGUGAUGACUAUAUUUAUAAAACUUGUCAUGAUUAUGAUUCCCCUUUUUUUGAACAUUACUCUUUUAAUGUGGAAACAAUUUAUAGUAUUCAAGUCUCUUAUGAUACUCCCACUAUCCCGAAUGAGAAGAAUUUUGCUUAUGUGGAGAGUAGUAAAUUUUCUAUGCUUGUAGAUCAUGAAAAGAAUGCUUUAGGUGCUGGUUAUAUUGUUGAAUUUAUUCAUGAUGCUACUGAAAAUUAUUAUGAGGGAGGAACAUAUGCUUGUAGAAAUUGCAAUAAUAUCAAGUUUCCUCUCUAUGUGCUUAAAAUCUUGAAGUUAUGCUUGUUUUACCUUCCUAUGCAAGUUGAUUAUUGUUCCCAUAAGUUGUUUGCUCACAAAAUCCCUAUGCAUAGGAAGUGGGUUAGAAUUAAAUGUGCUAGUCAUAUUCUUCAUGAUGCUCUCUUUAUGUUUCAAUUCCUAUCUUUUAUGUGAGCAUCAUUGAAAUCAUCAUGCCUAGCUUGGGGCGUUAAACGUAAGCGCUUGUUGGGAGGCAACCCAAUUUUAUUUUUGUUCCUUGCUUUUUGUUCCAGUUUAGUAAUAAAUAAUCUAUAUAGCCUCUGGUUAGAUGUGGUUUAUGUUUUAAUUAGUGUUUGUGCCAAGUAAGACCUGUAGGAUCUUCUUGGAUGAUAGUUAUUUGAUCUUGCUGAAAAUUCCAGAAACUUUCUGUUCACGAAAACAAUUGUUUAAAAUCACAAGAACGUGAUAAAAUACUGAUUCCAAUUGCAUCAGAUCAAUAAUCAAAUUAUCUAGGUCUUCUUGUUUUGGUAGAAUUGUUUGAGUUCCAGAAGUUUGCGUUAGUUACAUAUUACUACAGACUGUUCUGUUUUUGACAGAUUCUGUUUUUCGUGUGUUGUUUGCUUAUUUUGAUGAAUCUAUGGCUAGUAAAAUAGUUUAUAAACCAUAGAGAAGUUGGAAUAAAGUAGAUUUAACACCAAUACAAAUAAAGAAUGAGUUCAUUACAGUACCUUGAAGUGGUGGUUUGUUUUCUUUCGCUAACGGAGCUCACGAGUUUUCUGUUGAGUUUUGUGUUGUGAAGUUCUCAAGUUUUGGGUAAAGAUUCGAUGGACUAUGGAAUAAGGAGUGGCAAGAGCAUAAGCUUGGGGAUGCCCAAGGCACCCCAAGGUAAUAUUCAAGGACAACCAAGAGCCUAAGCUUGGGGAUGCCCCGGAUGGCAUCCCCUCUUUCGUCUUCAUUCAUCGGUAACUUUACUUGGAGCUAUAUUUUUAUUCACCACAUGAUAUGUGUUUUGCUUGGAGCGUCAUUUUAUUUUCUUUUGUUUUGCUUGCUGUUUGAAUAAAAUACCAAGAUCUGAAAUUCUUAAAUGAGAGAGAGUCUUCACAUAGCUACAUAAUUAUUUAACUACUCAUUGAUCUUCACUUAUAUCUUUUUGGAGUAGUUUGUCAUUUACUCGUGUGCUUCACUUAUAUCCUAUGAGUAAAUGGUGAAUGAUUUGAAUGUUAUAAAUCUGAAAUUAUAUAUGUUUCAUAUGCUUAUCCCAUGGGGAGUAAUGACUUCACAUAUAAGAAGUAGAGGUGGUAAAUUUAUUGAAGGUUAGCAAACAUUGUAUUGGUCACUUGAACAAUUCAUGAAAGAAUAUUGAAGGAAGAGAGAUUUCACAUAUAAAUAUACUAUCUUGGACAUCUUCUAUGAUUGUGAGCCCCAUUAAUUAUUUUCAAACCUGAGCAAAUUAGUUGAAGUUGGACAAGGAAGACAACAUAAUGAGUUAUGCUUGGGUAUAUUUGUAUAGAAGUUAUAUUGUUAUGGAUCCUCUAACAUGUGGUGCUUGCUAUUUAGAAUCCUUUGCUAGCCAAAAUAUCUGUACUAAGCGGGAAUACUGCUUGUGCAUCCAAAUUCCUUGAAGUUUCUCCAUGAGUGUCCACCAUAUCUACCUAUAUGCGGUAUUUACCUGCCAUUCCAAGUAAAUUUGCUUGUGCCAAACUCUAAACCUUCAAAUAAUAAUCUGUUUUGUAUGCCCGAAUCGCUCAUGUAGUGACUAGGGGCUGUCAGUAUCUUCCAUGCUAGGUGGGUUAUUCUCACGAUGAGUGGACUCCGCUCAUCAUUCACGAGAAAAUGGCUGGUAACUGGGAUGCCCAGUCCUAUGAUCAAAAGAUCAAAAACAAAUUCGCAAAUAAUUUAAACAAAACUCCCCCAGGAAUGUUGAUAGUUGGACGGCACCCGUUGUUUCGGAUAAGCCGUGGAGUGUGAAUGUUGGUGGAGGGGGAGUAAAAAAUUUACCUUUCUACGUGGGAACCGCCUAUAAUGUAUCUAGGAUGGAAGAUAUUGGGAACUCUUGGUCGUUAUGUUGACAAUCAAAUCAUACCUCUCAAAAUUAUUUUCAUCCCUGUUUUAGCUUCGAGCUCUGGCACCUCUGCAAAUCCCUGCUUCCCUCUACGAAGGCCUAUCUUUUACUUUUAUGUAAGAGUCAGUAGUAUUCCUUCUCAUUCCAACCUACUCUUUAGUUGGCAAGCAUCAUGUGAUGGAAAGAUCUAAGCAUAUAUGGCCAUUCAAAUAUGUUUGAGCAUGAAUUAUUAUUGUUGACAUUACCCUUGAGGUAAAAGGUUGGGAGGCGAAACAUUAAGCCCCUAUCUUUCUCUAUGUUCGAUGAAUACUAUUUGUUCUAAAAAUAUGCUUUGGUGGUAGCAAUCAUGGAAGACUAAAUGAUAGUUGAGUAUGUGAAGUUUGCGGAAUCAAAGCUCUGACAUAGACUCUUCCUGAAAAUAAGAUGAAUUGUAAUUGUUUGAUGGCUAAUAACACGGUUUGUUAGUUUUCAAGAAGGUUUAUGAUCUAUACUUUAACAUGUGAAUAGCUUGUUACUUGAUCAUGAGAAGCUUUAUGAGUUGAGCUAUUGUUAUGACAUAUGAUGAUGCUAGAAAAGGUGAUUGAAAUUAUCAUUGAUCAAACUUGUGCACCUGCUAGCAUUCACACUUCAUAAAUUAUUUCUUUUAUCAUUUACCUACUCGAGGACGAGCAGGAAUUAAGCUUGGGGAUGCUGAUACGUCUCCAACGUAUCUAUAAUUUAUGAAGUAUUCAUGCUAUUAUAUUAUCCAUCUUGGAUGUUUAAUGGGCCUUACUAUGCACUUUUAUAUUAUUUUUGGGACUAACUUAUUAACCCAGAGCCCAGUGCCAGUUUUCGUUUUUCUCCUUGUUUCAAUGUUUCGCAGAAAAGGAAUAUCAAACGGAGUCCAAACGGAAUGAAACCUUCGGGAAAGUUAUUUUUGGAACGGAAGCAAUCUAGAAGACUUGGAGUAUACGUAAGGGAAGCAACAAGGAAGGCACGAGGCAGGGGGCGCGCCCUCCACCCUCGUGGGCCCCUCGUGGCUCCCCUGACCGACUUCUUUCGCCUAUAUAUGUCCAUAUACCCUAAAACCAUCGGGGAGCAGAAUAGAUCGGGAGUUCCGCCGCCGCAAGCCUCUAUAGCCACCAAAAACCAAUCGGGACCCUGUUCCGGCACCCUGCCGGAGGGGGGAUCCCUCACCGGUGGCCAUCUUCAUCAUCCAGACGCUCUCCAUGACGAGGAGGGAGUAGUUCACCCUCGGGGCUGAGGGUAUGUACCAGUAGCUAUGUGUUUGAUCUCUCUCUCUCUCUCUCGUGUUCUUGAGGUGAUACGAUCUUGAUGUAUCGCGAGCUUUGCUAUUAUAGUUGGAUCUUAUGAUGUUUCUCCCCCUUACUCUCUUGUAAUGGAUUGAGUUUUCCCUUUGAAGUAAGCUUAUCGGAUUGAGUCUUUAAGGAUUUGAGAACACUUGAUGUAUGUCUUGCCGUGCUUAUCUGUGGUGACAAUGGGAUAUCACGUGAUCCACUUGAUGUAUGUUUUGGUGAUCAACUUGCGGGUUCCGCCCAUGAACCUAUGCAUAGGGGUUGGCACACGUUUUCGUCUUGACUCUCCGGUAGAAACUUUGGGGCGCUCUUUGAAGUUCUAUGUGUUGGUUGAAUAGAUGAAUCUGAGAUUUUUUGAUGCAUAUCGUAUAAUCUUACCCACGGAUACUUGAGGUGACAUUGGAGUAUCUAGGUGACAUUAGGGUUUUGGUUGAUUUGUGUCUUAAGGUGUUAUUCUAGUAUGAACUCUUGAAUAGAUCGAUCCGAAAGAAUAACUUUGAGGUGGUUUCGUACCCUACCAUAAUCUCUUUGUUUGUUCUCCGCUAUUAGUGACUUUGGAGUGACUCUUUGUUGCAUGUUGAGGGAUAGUUAUAUGAUCCAAUUAUGUUAUUAUUGUUGAGAGAACUUGCACUAGUGAAAGUAUGAACCCUAGGCCUUGUUUCCUAGCAUUGCAAUACCGUUUGCGCUCACUUUUAUCGCUUAGUUACCUUGCUGUUUUUAUAAUUUCAGAUUACAAAAACCUAUAUCUACUAUCCAUAUUACACUUGUAUCACCAUCUCUUCGUCGAACUAGUGCACCUAUACAAUUUACCAUUGUAUUGGGUGUGUUGGGGACACAAGAGACUCUUUGUUAUUUGGUUGCAGGGUUGUUUGAGAGAGACCAUCUUCAUCCUACGCCUCCCACGGAUUGAUAAACCUUAGGUCAUCCACUUGAGGGAAAUUUGCUACUGUCCUACAAACCUGUGCACUUGGAGGCCCAACAACGCCUACAAGAAGAAGGUUGUGUAGUAGACAUCAGCAGGCUGCAUGGGGCAUGCAGGCGCCCGGCCGAUCGACGUGAGGAGUCGGGGAUGAGGGAGCCGCCGGAUCCUCCUCGUCCAGAAGCUGCAAACGUGCACCCCUCCCAAUACCUGCACCAUGGUUAGACAACAAAGAGGGCGAAUGUGCAGCAUCUACAAAUUGAUCAGGCAAGGUAGUGGAUGGGUGCACAGGCGGUGUGGAGGCAGCAACGGAGGUGGGAAGAGCAGAAAAGGGGAAAACAUGUUCAUCAAAAACAACAUCGCGGGAAAUAUACACACAAUUAGACGGAACAUGAAGACAUUUAUACCCUUUGUGAACAGAACUAUCCCAAGGAAGACACAUUUUUUGGAUCUAAACUCAAGCUUGCGAUUAUUAUAGGGACGAAGGUGUGGCCAGCAUGCACACCCAAACACCUUAAGAAACGUGUAAUCAGGAAUUUGACCAAGCAAGAGUUUAAGUGGAGUUUUCAUAUGAAGGAGCCGCGAGGGAAGCCUAUUUAUAAGAAAACAGGCUGUAGUGAAAGCAUCACUCCAAAACCGAAACGGAACAGAUGCAUGUGCUAGCAAAGUUAACCCAGUUUCAACAAUAUGACGAUGCUUACGUUCGGCUGAACCAUUCUGCUGAUGUAUGUGUGGGCAGGACACACGAUGAGCAAUCCCAAGUUUUUCAAAGAAAGUGCUAAGAUUGCGGUACUCACCCCCCCCCCCCAAUCCGACUGUACAUGAAUGAUCUUAUGAUUGAGAAGAGGCUCAACAUGUGCUUGAAACUUAAGAAACACAUCAAAGACAUCAGACUUGAGUUUAAGAAGAUAUAACCAAGUAAAACGACUAUAAGCAUCAAUGAAACUGACAUAAUAUUCAUGACCACUAACAGAUAGUUGGGCAGGGCCCCAUACAUCUGAAAACACAAGCUCAAGAGGAGUUUUGACUAUAUGGUUGGAAACAGAAAAUGGUAACUGAUGACUCUUGCCUUGCUGACAGGCAUCACAGAUAGCAGCAUCAUUAGUUCUAGACUCUGACGGUAGUUCAUGACGGUGGAGAACAUGGCGAACAAUGGGUAAUGCUGGAUGACCAAGGUGAGAAUGCCAUAAUGCAGGAGACACGCGAACCCCGCUGAAGACCUGAAACUCAGCAGCAGCAGCAGCAGGAACGGCGGUGGGCGCAUCCAGAGCAUACAAGCCUUGGCGAAAACGACCUCUAAGAAGUAUGUCCCUCGUAGCUCGGUCCUUAACAAAAAGAUGAAACGGGUGAAACUCACAAAAGACAUUAUUAUCCUGAGUAAGUCUAGGAACAGAGAGUAAGUUACGAGUAACAGAGGGGACACGAAGAACAUUUCUAAGAUGCAAAUUCCUAGAGGUGUUUGUGAGAAGUGAUGCCUGACCAAUAUGAGAGAUGUGCAUACCUGCCCCAUCCGCUGUGUGAACCUUGUCGUGGCCAUGGUAGGGUUGCUGAACGGUGAGCUUGCCCAGUUCAUUCAUCACGUGGGCUGUAGCUCCAGUAUCCAUGUACCAAGAAGGAUCAACAGGAUAUGAGGACGUAUGCCCCUGUUGCGCCAUGAGGACUUGGCGAUCAUUGCCCUUGCCGUUGUUGCCGAGGCCGAGGAAGUCGGUCUUGAAGCGACGAUGACAGCGAGAGGCGACAUGACCCGGCAGGCCACAGAGUUGACACGGCUGAGCCGCACCACAAGCAGCACAACAUGCAUGUGGACGGCCAUCAAUGGUGACCACAGAGGAGCCAGGGCGCGACGGCGGCUGCUGUCCCGAGGAUGCACCACCGGGUUUGCCCCCCCCCCCAGCCGAGGGAGCAGAAGAAGGGUCACGACCACCUCCUUUGCCGCGAUACGCAGCGUUAACAGAGGGGUCCGCGGGGAUGUCUGGGCGGCGCGCGUUGAGCCGUUGCUCCGUCGAGAGGAGGCGGCUGUAGAGAUCCUGAGGACGGAUAGGAACCUUCGUUCAUUGAUCACCUCCGACAGCGAGUCGUAGUCGCUAUCAAGGCCCACGAGGAUGUAGGCCGUGAACUCAGUGUCACGAAGAGGCUCUCCAAUGGAAGCAAGAGUUUCGGCCAACUUCUUGAUCUUGUUGUAGAAGGCGGUCACCGAACCGCUGUCCUUACGGGUCUCGGCAAGUUUCGCGCGGAUGGACAUGCUCUGCGCAGUAGACUGAGAUGAAAAGCUCGACUCCAGGAUGUCCCACACCUCAUGAGAAGUAGCGGCGAAGAGAACCAGGCCGGCAACACCCUCCCCCAGGGAGGAUUGUAUCGCCGAGAGGAUGGCUUGGUCCUGAGCAAUCCACGCGCGAAACAUCGGAUGAUUCAGCGGUGGACACGGCAGGGUACCAUCGACGAAGCCCUCCAAGUAAUGGCUACGAAGUAAUGGAAGCACUUGCCCGCGCCAGUAGAGGUAGUUAUCCGGCUUGAGCUUCACCGGGAGGAGGUGCGAGAACAGGAACGGCGGCGAGGAGAUCGCAGCCAAAGCAUCUUCAAGGUCCAUGUAGGGCGGCGGCGCGGACGGAGGCUGAUGUGGGCGCCAUACGCCGAGGUGCCGUACGACGGGGGUGCACUGUACGCCGCCGGUGGGCCAUACGGCAAAGAGGCCGCGGGAGCGCCGGGACCAGGAUACGCGCCAUAUGGAGGACGCGCUGCUGGCGAAGGACCGUAUGGGGCACCGUACAGAGGAGAACCAACAUAGCCGACGUAGGCCGCGGGUGGUGCUGCGGUGUAGACGGGGGCAGCAGGGACAGACACAGCCGUGCGCAUCAUCGGAUGCGAGGCGGCUGAGGGCGGCGGCGGAGGCACCAUAGGGUACUUGGCGGCCGGGAGCAGCGUAGAGGCAGCAGAUGACGAGGAGUUGCCGGCAUACUGGUAGGCGACGGGACCGGCGUACUGGUAGCCAGCAGACCGCGUCGUCAGGGGGCCAAGCGUGCCCUCCGUCGUGUAGGGCGCAGCUCCUCCAUAGAGGAGAGCCGCGAGCGACGGCGGCAAGAACGCAUGAUCCAUGGGAGCCAUCGGCGAGGCGACGGGGCGGGGAACCGCACCAGCGGCGGCGGCAGUCGAUGCGGUGGCGAGGGCCGCUGCUAGGGCAGCAGCGGUGUCGGCGGCCGGGUGCGACAUGGCGGCGGCUGGCGGCGGGGGCGGAGCGGAAGACAUUAGGUUAGAUCGCUAGGCGUGCUACCAUGUAAAACAAAGGGUUUAGGGUUUGUGGCACACCUCCAACGUGGGGUGGCCUUUGUAUUAUAUAGGGGGUACAUCAUCGUGUACAAAUACAAUUCCAACUAUAAUACAUGUAGGCCCAGUAUAUACAGAGUCUAACACAAACAACAAGAAGGAAAUCCUUAUCCAACAGAUGAUGAAAUUAGAUUUUGGAAAUCAUGUGCAACUUGAUCAACUUGAACAUUACUAUUUUGUUGUUAGGUAAACUGAACGUGCAAAAACUUUGUACAUUCGCUAGCCUGAAUGUGUCAAAACCCUGUACACAAUACUUUGUACUGAACUGAACACUAGCUAGCCUGAACUCUGAAGGUGCAUCGGUUUAGUACUGAAUUGAAAAUGCAUAGAAGGCAGCGCAGCCGCGCAGGUGCAUGUCCAGAAGGGAAUCGCAGGCCAUCUACGUACUGAACUGAAAAUGCAUAGAAGGCGUCGGAGGUGCAUGUCCGGUUAGAGCCGCGAGAUUUUGAUGCAGCAGCCGAAGUGCUGUGUAUAUGCAACACUGUAUUUUACGGUUUGGCUGUUGUUGGAGGAUGUUUUUUGUCCCCUCGUGUUCUAGGCUUGUUCCAGAAAAUAAGGAUGCUAUUGGAGAUGACAUAUUAAAACUUUGGUGCCAAGCACAAAGCCAUGAGAGAAUUUCUUAUUUGGCCCUUUCUUAAAAUUUGCUUUUCUUUUUGGCCCAAGAAACUUCUUUCUUCUCUUUUUGACACUUAAACUUCAUUUUGUUCCCUACGUGACACAUUCAUCCAUUUUUCCAUCCGGCGAUGUGAAAUAGCAUGUACAAAGACAAUUUUACCCCUGGUGAUAGUAUGUCGCCAAGAAAGGGAAGACAAGGAGCGCGAAUAUGUUGAGAUCUCACGUUCAAAUAUUCAUAUCCACCACUGCCCAACUAGUCGCGUUGCAGCUUGAUCCCGCGGGAGCCCGCAUGACGUGCAUCCGGUUCGGAGUCCUGACGCUAGCCUCUUCCUCCUCACCACCACGCCCGUGACGUGUAGUUGGCUUUUAAAACGCUAGACCAAAUCACCCAGUUGCUCACGCACGAUACGCGCAAAGCUAGCUCUAGAAGCACGCUAGCUAGCACCUCGAUUGAUUUUGCCUGGAACAGUGCAUUGUGCACGCACGUCUAGCCGGCGUGUCACCUGCGUACGCGACCAGUGGAAGCUAACUCUUAAUUGAUCGGAUCGAUUCAAUUUCGACGGGAUACUCUCGUAACUUAUACGCUACAGUAGAGGCUGAAUGGGUUGUCACUGUUCCAUUCAUCAUAUUAUUAUUCCCGAAUUCUGAAUCGCGCAGCUGCGUUGGAUUGCUGUCUCGAGCGCACGCGCUACCGGACAAAAGCCCCACGUACCCUCGUCGCUGAAAAAAACACCGCUACCCAUCCACUAUCUCUCUCCAGAAAAGAACGCCUUAUCCUAAUCUCCUUUCCUCGUCUCAACCUGGUGGUGGCGAAGAACCAGAGGGCCACAGCCGCCGCCAGUGUCGUAGCCCGGGGUGUCGAGGGAGAGGCGACGGACUGGAGGAACCAGGCGAGCCGGUCGGCGGGUAACCGGAGCAGCAGCGCCAUCGUCUCCUCCCUUCGUCUUUCUUCUAGCUGGAGCGGGGUCGGCCAGCUGCCGCAUCCCCGUCGAGGAAGGGGCCACGGAGCUCACGCCGGAGAGUGGCCUAGUGCUUAGGUAAGGCUGCAGCCGCGCCGUCGUGUGGUCUGCUGACACCAAGGGCUGGUCCAUCGCCGGGGCGUGCAUCAGCAGCGACGCCUCCGAUAUUGGCCACCCGCCAUGGAUGUUCCUCUGGUCUGACCCUAGUGCCAUGGAACAAGUCAAGGUACCCCGCCUNNNNNNNNNNNNNNNNNNNNNNNNNNNNNNNNNNNNNNNNNNNNNNNNNNNNNNNNNNNNNNNNNNNNNNNNNNNNNNNNNNNNNNNNNNNNNNNNNNNNNNNNNNNNNNNNNNNNNNNNNNNNNNNNNNNNNNNNNNNNNNNNNNNNNNNNNNNNNNNNNNNNNNNNNNNNNNNNNNNNNNNNNNNNNNNNNNNNNNNNNNNNNNNNNNNNNNNNNNNNNNNNNNNNNNNNNNNNNNNNNNNNNNNNNNNNNNNNNNNNNNNNNNNNNNNNNNNNNNNNNNNNNNNNNNNNNNNNNNNNNNNNNNNNNNNNNNNNNNNNNNNNNNNNNNNNNNNNNNNNNNNNNNNNNNNNNNNNNCCCUCUGUUCGCUUGGAUUUGGCAGCCCUCACCUUGGAUUCUCUUUGUAUCCAGCACGCAUGGCAGCAGAUCGCUGCAGCCAUCCUUCUCACCUGGGAAGGAGGAGAGCCAUCAGCAGCAGCCCAGGUUCGUCUCUCUUUUUCCUCGUCCCUGCUCACUUCCUCAACUCUCUGCUCAGGUUCUGUGUGUUGCUGCUAGAUCCUCAAGUGUGAGUUUAGCCUGCUAGAUGUGUAUACUAGUUUCAGUUUAUCUAGAAGAAGAGGGGAGUGAGGAGACCAGUUUCGCUCGUGUCUUGCUCAAUUCUGUACUAGUUUCUCACCAAGUGUCUCCUGACAUGGGUUAGGUGGAUGGAUGGAUACAUAUAUCUAGCAAAAUGAACAUGAGUAAUUAUUGUCUACUGAUUAAGCCGAUUGAUGCAAGGUGUUCAUAUAUCUAUCUAUCUAUGUGUUACUACUUCUAGGAAAUGGAAUCAGUGUUUUUGCUUGGAGAUUGUACUGAUUUUUACGACCAGGAAUUUUUUUGUUUUUUGCAUUCUAGCUACCUCACUUUUUAGCAUGAGUUGCCUAGAGUUCCAAUUCCCCAACCCCCUUGCUUCUCCAUCUACUCCAACUUGUUCUAUCUAACCUGCUCCGAACUGCUGCAGGAUCUACUCAAUUUUGAUCCUUUUCUUAGUGCCUGCCAGUAGUUGCUUCAAAAUUUAGCAUCAGUUGCUUGAAAUUAUAGGCAAAGUUGUUGCAUUUUUUUUUACUUUUGCACACGAGAUCAUGUGUUAUCAUUUUUGUUUAGAAGGAUCAUGUUUGAGGGAACUUGGUGGGCAGAACAAAUCAACAUAUACAAGUAUAAGUCUAUCAUAUGCUCUGCUCUGCUCUGUCUCUUGAUUGAUGACAACAGAAUUCAGUAGGAGUACCGUUUGUUCAUCCAAUUGAUAAUUCAUUCCUGAACUGCCACCAUUUUUGCGAGAUGAAUAAUGGGCUAGAUUCAGAGAUAAGUGAAUUUUGCCUACAUAUAGAAUUAGAUUGCUACUAUUUUUUUUAUAAAAUGAAAUGAAUGUGCUCCAUGCAACUCAGGGGGUUUUGGUGUUGAUUUUGCAUGAGAUACAACUGAUUUCAAUGUCAUAAACACAUUUUUUUGUGCAACUUGUUGCUUCAAAGCAUGUGUAGUUGCUCAAGUUUAUAAUAUGGGUUGCCUGGAAUUAAACGAAAGGUUACUUUAAUUUUUACUAAAUCUAUAGGGCCUGGAAACAGGGGGAGGUGCGGAUUUUGUACUCCGCUGAGUGGCUUCUCUUGUGACGGGCGUCACGCCUGAUAUGGGGAUUGAAGGGGGUUGGGCAGCAUUGGAUUCGGAAGGCGACUUUCCACUCCAAGGAUAGAAUAGUUACUUGGAUUUCGUUAAAAGAGUUGCAUUUUGUGCGUGUACCGCAGUUGCUUAGUUUUGUUGGGGCAGUUGCUCGGAUUCGUUUUUGAACAUUUUUGUUGCAUUUUUGCCUCUUGUAAUGCGGUUGCUUGGUUUUCCUAGGACAGUUGCUUCCUUUUUACUAGAACAGCUUUGCAUUUUUGUGUUUUUUAAUUGAGUUUCUUGGAUUUUUGCUAGGCUAGAUGAGAAGUUGCAUGGAGAGGGGGGUCAGAUAGUUUUCCACAAAGGUUAUUCAAGUUUCUCACACCUUUUUUUUCUUCCUAAAGUAGUAGAUAAUCUAAGUAGUAAUGCUAGGGACAAUUACCUAUUUUUGCUAGGACAAUUUCACACUUUUCUGUUUCGAGUUGCUUCGAUUGUUUGCUGUAAGUUUUUUAGAUUAUCAUCUCAGAUUUGAAUACGCAUGCAGACUGAGAAGAUACAUCUAUGAAGUAGUUCCUGAUGGCCUAUAACUGAUGCGAUGAUUGACUUGCAUGGCUAUCAUCCCGAUCCUCCUCCCGUCGACGCGCUCCGUGCGAAGCACACCAUCGCCCCACCCUCUACCCUAAAGUAGAUGCUAGGGGAGUUGCUUGAUUUUUCUAGGACAAUUGCUUGGUUUUGCUAGGGUAGUUGCUUGUUUUUCUUGCUAGAACAAUUUUUGCAUUUUGUGUACUUUUGUAGUUGAGUUGUUUGGAUUUUUGCUAGAACAGAUGAGAAGUUACAUGGAGGAGGGGGGAUAAGAUAGUUGUCCACAAAGGUUAUUCAACUUACUCAUAUGUUUUUUUUCUGCCUAAAAUAGACAAUCUAAGUAGUAGUGCCAGAGACAUCUGCUUGUUUCUGCUACAAAAGUUUCCCACUUUUUGCGUUUCUUUGUAAUCGAAUUGCUUUGAUCUUCUGCUACAACAUACGAGAAGGUGGAUGAGAGGGGAGUUGCUUGGUUUUGCUAGGACAUUUUUUUCAUAAAAGGUUAUUCAAGUUGCUCAUACAUUUUUUUCCUCUGCCUAAAAUUGAUGGUAGGGGAGUUGCUUGGUUUUGCUAGGACAAUUGCUUGGUUUUGCUAGGGCAGUUGCUUGUUUUUUUUUUGCUAGAACAAUUUUGCAUUUUUGUGUUUUUUAUAUUGAGUUACAAGCAAAAGGGCUGCUCAACCUGAUGUUUCACAGGGUGAAAUGCUGGAUCGACAUGAGGUACCCAUGGUUUUUUCAGAUUUUUUUUGAUGAAACGGUGAUGAUGAAGAAGGAAAGCAACCGGAACGGGCGAAGAGAGGUGGAUAUGAAGUAAUUCUAAAAAAUACUGUAUUAGUAGAUUAAGUUGCAUCAGAAUAUAUAUGGAGCUGCUUAGUUCACAUCAACAGUUGAAUAAAAAUGCCUGGAACACAUUUUUGCUUUUUUAAUAGUUGUCCAUGAAUCACACUAAAGUUGCCUAUGUUAGAGAAUAUAUAUGUUGUCUCUAUUUGUUGUUUUUGUGGUUCUUUUUUUUCGCACAAGGGUUGCCUGAUAUUACUGCAAGGAGCUUAUGGGGCAGCAACCCCUCUUUUAAUGCAUGACACUAAUUGCUUCAAAUUUUAAAAGAGUUGUCCGAAAUCAUAGCAAAGUUGCUGCAUGUAUUUUUACUUUUGUUUUGGGGAUGCAUGCUACUUUUUAAUGCAAGGAACUCAUAUGGGGCAGCGGACCUUUUUUACAUGCCUGAUAGUAGUUGGACUCAUUGGAUGGUUAAAAGUGUCUACAGAGGCAGAUUCCGAUAUUUGGGGCGUUUUGGUGAUCCACGUUGGAGCUGACCUUAUGAUAGGCGAUUUAGAGGUGAAGCUAGUCAAUUGGUAGUCAUGGUAACCAACUUAUAAGGAUCCUCCGUUGAUGGGUAGUCAUACUAGGUGGGAAAAGGAGUUGCUUUUCUAUAACACUAAAGUUGCCUCUGCGGCACAUAAAGUUGCUCAGAAAAAAAAGUUCGGCGAAACCUACUCACAUGGGAUCUAGUUUUGAAGAACUCAUCACGAGAAACCCAACGGUGAAAAUGGAUUUGAAUUUUGAGAUUCUAUUCAAAAGUUACAAGUUUUUAAAGUUUUUGAUCCCCUAAUAAAUGCAGGUGUGAUGGAUAGCGUGAGCACAUAGGACCUGACAUUUUUGUGUGUGGACGUGACGUGGUAGUUUUGCCAGAUUUUUCUAUUCGCAUGCGAAUUCGCGCGCAGGGGUUGUCCUUUCCUUAUUCGGCUGCAUGGUCGCGCGCGCGGGAUGCCCCUUCCCUUUUCUGGUAGAGCACUAGCUAUUGCGAUCGGGCGCCCGUGUGCCAGCGAGCCGCAUCCAUUAUUAUUAGCCCCUGUAAUAUAUUUUAUGAUUAGUCAUAUAGUACUUUUUGUUUUUGUUUAUUCAAUCACGACAAAAUGUACCACAUUACUUCUAUGUUUGCUUGUGAAUAACCUGGUCCAACACUGGGGUAAAAUAGUCCUUUUAGAUCAUACUUAACGCCAUUACUAGCCAAAACUGACGGAAAUGUCACGUAGGGAACAAAAUAAAGUUUAUGUAUCAAAAAGGGAAGAAAAAAGUUUUUUGGGCAAAAAGGGAAGCAAAUUUUAAAAAAGGCCAAAUAAGGAAUUCUCUCCAAAGCCAUAGUGAGCACAAUGCUACAGGGAGAUCAGACCUGCGACUGAAAACUGGUGCAAAAUGCAGCGCAAGACCAGCUCAAUCGGCUCCACGCAACAGAGGACGCAGGCAGACGAUGCAUGAAGACAGUAUGAUUAGCACUCCAGUAGUCCCCGGCGCUUUCGUUGACCGCCAUGGCCCAGCCUAACAAGCCACGAGACAAAACCCUAUGCGCGCCACUGUGCCGCGCCAGUGCAGCGCCACGGCACCACAACUUGACGACGAAUCCUUGCACAAAUCGACGUUACUACAAAGCAGCAGAAUUACAUACAGGGAGCGAGCGGCUAAUCAGUGCGAUUACUACAUCAUCAGGCAUGCGAGAGAUGCGCGUCUCAGAGCAAGAGGCAGCAGCAGAGCAGCGCGGAGGCCGACGGCCAAAGGGCGCCGCCCCUCGUGAUCGCUCCGCCGGGGGAAGCGCCGGAGCUGCCGCCGCCGCCGCAGACGUCCACGCCGACCUCCUUCACGACGGCCCGGUCGUCCACGCACAGCCCCGGGUUGCCGCUCAGGUCGAGGUUCCGGCCGAGCCGCCGGAGGAACGCGCCGUCGAACGGCACGGCGCCGUCCAGCCCGUUCUUGCUCAGGUUCAGGUGGUACAUGCGCUUCAGCCGGCUCAGCCCCGCCGGGAUCCUGCCCGUCAGGUUGUUGUUCUGCAGCGACAGCGUCGUCAGGCUCGUCAGCCGCCCGAACGUCUCCGGGAUGGACCCCGAGUAGCCCGAGUUGGCCAGCCGGAGCUCCUGCAGCCGCGCGAUGCCGCCCAGCUCCGGCGGCAGCGGCACGCCCAUCGGGUUGUUCUCCAUGAUCAGGUACUGGAGGUCCCGGAGGCCGGCGAGGCCCGCGGGCAGGCGGCCGCUCAAGCCGUUGUUGCUCAGCGCCAGGAAGGUGAGGGAGCUGAGGCCGGAGAAGGUGGCCGGGACGCCGCCGGUGAGGUUGUUGGAGCUCAGGUCCAGCUUCUGCAGCUGCGCCAGCCGGCCGAGCUUGCUCGGGAUGGGGCCCGAGAAGGAGUUGUAGCUGAGGUCGAGGCCCUGGAGGCUCCGGAGCUCGCCGAUCCGCGCCGGUAUCGGGCCCGUGAGCGAGUUGUAGCUGAGGUCGAGGUGGACGAGGCCGGCGAGCUCGCCGAUGCCCCGCGGGACCUCACCGCGGACGAGCGGGUUCUGGGAGACGGUGAGCACCUGCAGCGACCGCAGGCCGGCGAGCUGCGGCGGCAGCGUGCCGGACAGCGAGGGGUUGGAGCGGAUGCUGAGCUGCUGCAGGCGGGACGCGGAGAGGUUGGCGGCGGGCGGGAGGGCGAGCGUGGCGGUUUUGGCGGGGUUCUUGAAGCAGUCGACGAGGAAGAGCGACUGGAGGUGGGGCAGCGCGGAGAAGGCGUGGGUCGGGAACGCCGCGGCCUCCCUGCAGGCCGGGUUGGGCGGCACGCCGAAGUCGAGCCGGGUGACGCGCAUCAGCCGCUUGUCGGCGGCGUCCGGCUUGCACUCGAGCCCCGGCCAGGGCGCGGCGCAGGGGUCGGGGGCCGAGGAGGAGCGCCAGUCGCGGUCGGAGGAGACGGCCUCCAUGACGCGCAGCAGCGCCUCCCGCUCGGCCGGGUCCAUGGCGGCGCCGGCCACGGCGAGGAGGGAGCAGAGGAGGAGCGCGACGGCGGUGGCCGGCAUCGUGCCGCGCGUCCGUGUGGGUGCUGGCUGGCGGGCUGGGUGGCUGCGUCUGCGGCCCGGGCCGGGGGGUGUCGCUUUUUGACGUCGUCUCGUCCGUCCAUGGUUUAUUGAUUGAGCUAUACUAUGGGAGUGAGUGAGGGCGGUGGGGGCAUCGGACUGACUGAUGACUGACCCGAGGUGACGGGACUGGGGCCUGGCUGCCCCUGCCCGUGCAGUACAGGCUACAGAAACAGCCAGGAGAAGAACAGCGUUCGUGCGUGCGUGCGGGCUUUGCCUGGGAAAUCCACUGUUACCACCACCAACCUCUCGCUCGAUUUGAUUCGAUCGGGACCUCGCCGGCCGGCCGGCCGGCACCGGAUGUGAUCGAUCGAUCUGCUGAAAGAAACCAUGGAAAACUCCAAGAAAUGGCCCCGUCUCUCCGCCGAUUCACACGCACGGGAAAAUAACUGUUUCCCCGUAAGAUUUAUUCACACCGGCCGUGAUACGCCUUUCCCAUGCUUUGCCGAGCACGGCCGGCCGCCACGGCUCAUAGCAUCUCUGACUGAUCCCCUCCCUAUCCACUCCGGUGUCAAUGGAGGAUAAAUUCCAUUAACCUAGGCAACCACUAAUAGUUUUCUUUUACAUUUUUUUAUCUCGUUUUUUCAUUCGUCAAUUGAAUUGAACUGAGUCAUUUGUAGUCAGGAUAGUGAGGUUGAGAGCGAUGAUCUUCAGGGACUCUUCGCCGUCGUACGAGAAAGAAGACGAUGACAAUUUCGAAAUGGCCAUUGGUAUGAUAUUUAAUGAGGAUUUUUGGUGGCCUAGAAGAGGACCGCAAUUCAGCCGUAUACACAUCAGUCGAGAUAGAGCGGUGGGCCAUUCCAAGAUUAUAAGAGAUUGUCUCGACCCCUAUCCAACCUAUUCAGUGAAUUAUUUUCGCCGGCGAUUUCGCAUGCGCACAAAUCUCUUUCUCACGAUUGCAAUAGCCAUGGGGAAGCAUGAUGAUUAGUUCAAACUCUGGAGGAGUGCAUCCAGAGAGAUAAGUGUGAGCCCUUUGAUGAUGUGAAUCACGGUUGUUCAACUGCUAGCAUAUGGGUGUUCGACAAACACUGUUGACGACAAUGUCCGUGUUGGAGAAGAUACAAAAUUGAAGACCAUUCGAAGGUACACAAAACCCGUGAUUAAGAUCUUUAGGCCAGAGUACUUGGGCACCGAGUGAUGAGGACACCAAGAGACUUUUGGCUUUGAGUCAAGAACGAGGAUGGCAUGGGACGCUUCGAUCAAUUGACUGCAUGCAGUAAACAUGAAAGAAUUGUCCUGCAUGAUGGAAAGGUCAAUACAAAGGCCACUGCAACGAUUCAGUAAUCAUUCUUGAGGUUGUUGCAUUGGAGGAUCUAUGGUUUUGUCAUUCAUUCUUUGGAUUUGUCUGGCUCUCAUAACGACCUAAAUGUGUUGUCGAGAUCACCACUGUUAGCUAGGCUUGUUGCCGAAGAUUCUCCACCUUGCAACUAUGUAGUCAAUGGCCGGAGCACAUGAUUGGUUACUAUCUUGCAGAUGACAUCUAUCCUUCAUGCGCCACAUUUGUAAAGACAAUCCCACGUCCUAGAGGUAACAAGAGAUCUCACUUUGCAAUGUGUCAGAAGUCGACAAGGAAGGAUGUGGAGAGAGCUUUUGGUGUGCUUCAGAAGUGCUUUAACAUCAUUCGUGGCCCUGCCGAGUAUUGGAACCCCAAGGUCAUAUGAAAAAUCAUAGCAUGUCGCGUCAUCUUGCUUAACAUGGUCAUUGAAGAUUAGAGAGGCGUGCGUGAGAACUACCGGUACAUCUUCAAUGGAUAUCCCGUUGAGCCGGAGCACGAUGCAAAUAGGAUACAAAGAUUCCUCGUAGCGUAUCACAUCAUCGAGAACCGACAAGUCUCCAACAUUAGGCCAACUCCAACGCGCGACCCCAUCCCGCCCGUCCCCGUUCGCUUGAGGCAAAACGGACAAACCAGACCGCCCAGCGCGCGACUGCCUGGACCCAUUUGGUCCGUUUUGUGUCGGGGCCGACCCAUUUCGAGCGCAAACAUGCGCCGGGUUUUGGUCGCGGCGGACAGCAAACGGACGCGUCGCUCAUCCGCUUCAGGGCCGCGUGACAGGAGGCCACCUACCUUCCAUCGCCCCACAUUAAUGCGCACGCGCGGUCGGCCCCACCUGUCAUCCGCCUAGGCGAACGGUCGAUGUCCUUCUUAAAUGGGAAGCCAUGGACCGGUCGCAGUCCACACUCCCCACUCCAGCCCGUGCUGCCUCCUCGAAACUGGUGCCCCACGCCGCCGCGGUCACCGGAGCGGGAGUCGUCGCCACGGGAGGAGGUGGUGCAGGCACCUCCCGCCUUCCAGCCCGCCCCAUGUACCAGGCACCGCCGUCCCACCUCUGGACGCCGCCGGCCUACGUCGACCUCGUCAGCGACAACAACGACAACAGCGGCCACUGAGAAGACGGCGGCGGCCACGGCAUCAACGGGCACGGCAGGAGCGCGCGGGCGGCGGAUUUCUUUUGUUUUUUUUAUGUUAAUUAUGUCUAUGUGAACUGUGAAACUGGGUCGUUUUGUGACUGUGAUGUUUAAUUAUGUUUUAUGUUUUUAUGUUUGCGUUUUUUUUUUCGGCAUUUCAUUUUAGUUUUUGUGUUUUUUUUAAUCAAUUCCACCCCGAACAGAUUUGGGGUGCGGCCGCGCGUUGGGCGCACCGACAACCCAACGGCCCAAAGCGGACAUGGGCGACCCCAUUGCCGCCCCAAGCAGACGAAAACAGGCCAAACCGGACGUCCGUUCGGGGUCGUGCGCUGGAGUUGGCCUUAUCUUCUUGAGCAUCAGUGGAAUCUCCGUAGCACUUCAUAGUUGUGAUUUUAUCAUGCUCUUUACUUCAUUUGAAUCAUUUUGUGUGUUUGAACUUGAGUUUGUAAACUAUGAAUUUGUAAUAGUCAUGAAUUGUGUGAACCUUAGUUAUUAUAUUUGGAUUUAAAAUAAAGUUGAAAUGUAGUAUUUAAACUAAAAUUAGAAAGAUUUGGGAAAAAAUUACUCCGUUAAGUCUAGGGGAUCAGUUAAAAACAAUAUUUCUUUUAGAGAAGCAAAUAUAUAUAUAUAUAUAUAUAUUUAUUCAUUUAUUUAUUUAUUUUGCGGGCAAAUAUACUCCUCUCCUUAGUCGUAUCCUUAAAUUAUACUCCCUUCUGUCCAUAAUGUAGUGCAUAUAGAUUUUUGAAAAGUCAAAUUUUGCAAAUUGUAUCAAGCUUCUAGAGAAAAAUAUUUAUAUGUACAAUGUCAAAUAUAUAAAAUGUAAACUACUUCUUUUGAUGAAUCUGAUGAUAUAUGUUCCACGCGUGUCCAAAAUUUAUGAGGUUUACUAUAUUCAAAUAAAUCUAUAUAUAUAUGCACUACUUUAUGGGAUGGAUAGAGCAAAUUAUAGGAUCCGCAAGACAUGCUUGAGCCGGGACACAUGGCUCAUUGAUUGCAGCCUUGCUGACUUGGCUCUUGGCUGACUACAGCAACACGAACUGUGGAAACCCAACCCUGCCGACUGGUACAGCAACAGCAUGCAGACUACAGAGAUCAAUCCCGAACAGUGGCCGGUUUAGUAGUACUACUAGCUAGUAAUAUAAGUCGACAUCUAUCGAUCGCACGUACGCACGCAUUGUUUGCUUGUCCAUGCAUGCAUGUGGGGAUCGACCUAUCAUGUACGUAUACAGGGAAAAGCUAGUUUCGUAGCCAUGCAUGUGAUCGGUGCGGCGCAUGGCUCUGAAUUAUUGAGGCGAGGGUUCCUUCUCUGUAGCCUGUGCACUCUAGUCUGUACUCUACACGUAUCGAUCGGCUCCACAGAACUGGAGCUCAUUGAUCCGUUGGUUGCUCAUAGGGCUGGUCGACAGUAUUCGUCGGUCGAGCAGGUGCUAGUUGUACGUGCUGCCGAUCGACGAGUUCUUGUACGGUACACUGCAUGCAGCUGAGCUGAGAGAUCACCGCCCGAGUGCCAGUGAGCGAAGCAUCAUAUGAUUGGUCAUCUGGGGCUGGGAGGCACCUCCUGUCCUGUCCUGGACGGCCGGCUUUCUCCUCAUCGCUCGUUGCCACAACGAGAAGACUCGCUGCAGCAGCUAGCUACAUCCAUACUGGCUCUACGAUGCGUACACGUAUACGUAUGCAUGGAGGGUACGUGCGUGCACAUGCAGUGUGGGAUCGCACGUACGUACAGGCGGGAGGCAGGAGCAUCUAGGCACACUGUAGCGAAUUUUUGUUCGUUUGGGACUGGAGUAAAGCAUGCAUUCAAACCGGAGGAGCAAGAAAAGUUGCCUGAGUUUUCCAUAGACAGAUCGGUGCACAUGUGGGUGUGGUGGAUCACCCAGUCCCACUACCCGGCGGGCCAAUCUCUACAGGGAAGACGCACAGUGCGGCGAUCGAUGGAUCGAUCGAUCAGAGGCUCGUGCAUUGAAUCGCUCGUCCGAUAUAUCAUCCCCUAGACCCGGCCGUCGUACCAGGGAUGCAGACGAAGCUGGAGCUCGUGUGUGUGCCGUGGAGGGGCAGGCAGGCAUGCAGACGCGGCGCAGGGGGCCAUCACCUCACCGGCCGUGUCAUGGGCACGCAUGCAUGCAUGGCGAGGCGAGGUCCCAGGUGAUGUGACAAAAGAUACCUGACGGGCCCUCCGUGUUGGGCGAAAGUUGACCGGAAAAGCAGAGGCUGAGAUGACCGAUCACGCCCUCACCUUCACGGCGUGCAGCUGCGGGUGCAGGCCGAGACGAGACGGACAGGCGCCAUGUGCGCGCGCACGUACGUGCCCGGACAUGGAGCCAUGGGCGUCGCGCGUCGCGGGCAGCGAAUCAUUCCGUCCAUCCCUAGUUUUCUACGCCGGCCGUGUCUGGAACAGGCCAUGCCGGUCCGUCGACAUUAACGCACGAUUUUGGAGCACGUAGCAGCUGGGGGCUAGCUAGCUCGGACCUGCACGUACCAUUCCUGGCUGGUUGAGAGUAGUUGAGUUCCUGACGAUGAAUGGGAUGGAGUAGGUAUGCUGGUAAGUAAUAGCCGAUCUGAACUCAACUCCUGGAAUGAUUGUGCGUCGCGCUUCAGCGCUGAGCCAGAGAUUCAGACUCGGCUUGGGCUUCAAAUAGCUCGCAUGCAGUGUCACAUGAGGUUGAGAGCUCGGCCAUCCGACGUGUAAAUCGAUUCAUCUCCAACUUUUUUGUGUACUGUAUACUGCUACGCUGACGAGUUGUCGAUGGAAUCCGGAGGGCCAGGCCAGGCCCCUACCUCCAGCAGCCCACAAACAGGCCACGUAUACAUGUCAAAUUGAUGGUAGGCCUUGUUUCAAGCUUGAAAGCAGAGGUGCACGGCGCAGAUCAUGUAGCAUAUGAUAUCAGAACGAACGAGGCAAGCAUGCUGAAAGUGGGCAGGCCAUGUUUACACACGGACGCGGUGAACUGUGCAUUGGCUCAUUCAGGUCCCAUCAGCUGCACGCGAGCAUCAUUCAGAGCGUAAACAGUCUCUGGCCAGCAAAGAAGAAAGAAGUUUCACCGCAGUGGAACCCGACGGCGGUCGGAGCAGGAACGGAAAGGAAAGUCACGAGCUGCAGCGCUGUAGCAAAAGUAAUGGUGCUCCCAAGGGAGAUGUCUGAGUGCACAUGAUUAUUCAUUCAGUUGCACAAAGCAAUGGCUGGCGUUUGGCGCCGUUGAAAACGAAAUAAGCUUUGGACGAAUGAUUUUCCCCGGAGUGUUUCCAUCUUUCAUUUCUAAAGCAACCAUGUAUUUAUAUUUUAGUGUGUCUAGGACACAUCAAGAUGUGACAUAACUAUGUCACAUCUAAGUCUUCUUCAUUAUAUAUAUUUCUAUCCCAACACUUUUUUUUGUGUGUUUUGAAGUUGUCCGUCUGAUCGACCGACGGCCCAUCUACAUAGAAGAGCAAUGUGCUACCACCAAAGAAUUCGCGCGCGUGCAUCAUCUGCUCCUCUCAGUCACUAACAAACCUAAAAGAGCUGCCAUUAUCACUGAUUUAAUUUAGCUUAGUACCACUAUGGCGUCAGUGGCAUGCCUAAGCGGUAGUGUAUACUACCAAUGUCAGCACAUGUACGUGCUUCCAAAAUUACAAGAGACACACACCCCUGGUGAGUCGAUGGUCGACAUGCAAUUGGAGACUCUUCAUAAACACACACAUUCCUAGUUGUGAGUCGAUGGUCGACAUGCAACUGGGGACCCUCGACAAAUACACACACCCCUAGUUGUAAGUCGAUGGUCGACAUGCAACUGGAGACCCUCGACAAACACACACACCUGUAGUUGCGAGUCGAUGGUCGGGUUGCAACUGGAGGCCACGACAAAACACACAUUUCCCUAGUUGUAAGUCGAUGGUCGACAUGCAACUGGAGACCCUCGACAAACACACACANNNNNNNNNNNNNNNNNNNNNNNNNNNNNNNNNNNNNNNNNNNNNNNNNNNNNNNNNNNNNNNNNNNNNNNNNNNNNNNNNNNNNNNNNNNNNNNNNNNNNNNNNNNNNNNNNNNNNNNNNNNNNNNNNNNNNNNNNNNNNNNNNNNNNNNNNNNNNNNNNNNNNNNNNNNNNNNNNNNNNNNNNNNNNNNNNNNNNNNNNNNNNNNNNNNNNNNNNNNNNNNNNNNNNNNNNNNNNNNNNNNNNNNNNNNNNNNNNNNNNNNNNNNNNNNNNNNNNNNNNNNNNNNNNNNNNNNNNNNNNNNNNNNNNNNNNNNNNNNNNNNNNNNNNNNNNNNNNNNNNNNNNNNNNNNNNNNNNNNNNNNNNNNNNNNNNNNNNNNNNNNNNNNNNNNNNNNNNNNNNNNNNNNNNNNNNNNNNNNNNNNNNNNNNNNNNNNNNNNNNNNNNNNNNNNNNNNNNNNNNNNNNNNNNNNNNNNNNNNNNNNNNNNNNNNNNNNNNNNNNNNNNNNNNNNNNNNNNNNNNNNNNNNNNNNNNNNNNNNNNNNNNNNNNNNNNNNNNNNNNNNNNNNNNNNNNNNNNNNNNNNNNNNNNNNNNNNNNNNNNNNNNNNNNNNNNNNNNNNNNNNNNNNNNNNNNNNNNNNNNNNNNNNNNNNNNNNNNNNNNNNNNNNNNNNNNNNNNNNNNNNNNNNNNNNNNNNNNNNNNNNNNNNNNNNNNNNNNNNNNNNNNNNNNNNNNNNNNNNNNNNNNNNNNNNNNNNNNNNNNNNNNNNNNNNNNNNNNNNNNNNNNNNNNNNNNNNNNNNNNNNNNNNNNNNNNNNNNNNNNNNNNNNNNNNNNNNNNNNNNNNNNNNNNNNNNNNNNNNNNNNNNNNNNNNNNNNNNNNNNNNNNNNNNNNNNNNNNNNNNNNNNNNNNNNNNNNNNNNNNNNNNNNNNNNNNNNNNNNNNNNNNNNNNNNNNNNNNNNNNNNNNNNNNNNNNNNNNNNNNNNNNNNNNNNNNNNNNNNNNNNNNNNNNNNNNNNNNNNNNNNNNNNNNNNNNNNNNNNNNNNNNNNNNNNNNNNNNNNNNNNNNNNNNNNNNNNNNNNNNNNNNNNNNNNNNNNNNNNNNNNNNNNNNNNNNNNNNNNNNNNNNNNNNNNNNNNNNNNNNNNNNNNNNNNNNNNNNNNNNNNNNNNNNNNNNNNNNNNNNNNNNNNNNNNNNNNNNNNNNNNNNNNNNNNNNNNNNNNNNNNNNNNNNNNNNNNNNNNNNNNNNNNNNNNNNNNNNNNNNNNNNNNNNNNNNNNNNNNNNNNNNNNNNNNNCUGGGGACCCUCCACACACACACACACACAGAGACACACACACACAUAUACACACCUAGUUGCGAGUCGAUGGUUGACAUGCAACUGGGUACCCUCGACAAACACACACAGACUCCUAGUUGCGAGUCGAUGGUCGGGUUGCAACUGGGGACCCUCGACAAACACACAUACACACCCCCGAGUUGCGACUCGAUGAUCGACAUGCAACUGGGGGCCACGACAAAACAUACACACCCUAGUUGCAAGUCGAUAAUGGACAUGCAACUGGAGCCACCACACACACACACACACAUUAAUCUUCAUGAGACUGAACAAAAUCUGAUUUGAAAAAUAUUCAAAUAUUUUUAAAUGUUCAUGAAUUUGAAAAAUCAUUUGAUAUAAGUGUUCACAAAAAAACUGAAUUUUAAUAAGUGUCAUGAACGGGACAAAACAUCGUGAACGGAACCUUAGUAUCGUAUAUACAUUAUAUGGGCCUACUAAAAACAAGUUAGCCUCUUCGAAUUCUUACAACACAGCCUACAAAGGACAAAAAAAAAA